rnacentral:lncRNA from 1 species
CACUAGGAACUUUUAGUGGCCGUCGUCAACCAACCUUUAGUCGUCACCCAUUAGACUUGAAAUCUCUUAACAAAUACAAUUUUAAAAAAGAGUUGUCAAAAAAAUUUGUGUUUUUAUUUUAACAAAAACAACCGUGUUUAUCAAAAGUAUUUAAAUAAAAUUGAUUUCUACAAAAAAAUAUAUUUUUAAGUCAUUCCAAAUUCCGCUUUUAGUUUAAUUAUAAUAAUAAAGAUACACUCCCAUUCUUCUGCUUGUUUUUUUUUUUUUUUUUUGCUCUUGGGUUUUUUAAACUUAUUAUUAUUAUUUGAUUAUCUUUUAAAAUUAUCUAUAUUUUCUUCUUUAUUUAUUAACAUUUCUUUCAUUUUAGGAGAUAACACUAGUGUAUCUAUAUAUAGUGUUAUAUAUGUGUAUAUAUUGGAAGAGCUGAAAAAAUAAAUUAGGUCACAUUUUGUUGUGCCUAAAAUAAUAGGUCAUUUAAACGGUAAUUAAGUAUAAUUAUUUAGGUUAUAUGUAUAGAAAUUGUUAAUUUUUAUAAAUAUAACAAACCGAAAAAAUAAACACAUAUAACAAAAUGAAAAAACUCAUUAUUAAGUUGUCCAUUCUUUUUAUGGUCUUUUUUUUCUUUUCCUUUUCUUUGUGUUCUUUUUUUUUUUUUCCAUCGUCUUUUUCUCUUCUUCUCCAUUUUUAUUUUUAUUUUUUCAGACUAUUAGUUGGUUCAAAAUCAUGUACCAAAUAUAAAAGAUUUUUUUUCUUCAAAUUGUUAUUUGGUUGUUUAAAUUGUGUGAAAAAUAUAAAAAAUCGUGAAAAAAAAUGGUUGGGAUAUUAGACGGUCAAAUCUAAAUGAUCGUAUACAAAAAAAUAGUUAAAAUAUAAACAAUUGUGUACCAAACAAUCAUUAAAAAAAUUAUUUAGUUUUGACAAUCCAAAUUUAAACGAUCGUGUACAAAAAAUAGUUAAAAUAUAAACAAUUGUGUACCGAAAAAUUAUUUAAAAAAUCGUUAAGAUUUAGAUUUGAGCGUUUAGAUUUGGUAAGCAAAAAAAUAAUCAAAUCUAAACAAUAAUUUUCCACAUACUAAAUGAUCGUUUUUCUAAUAUAUUACGCGUCAAUUAAUCGGGGACAUUUUUUAAAUUUCUUAUUGUGAGCAUAUGAGCUUUUUUUCGUUUUCGAAAUUGUUCUAUAUGAAGUAAAUAUUUUAACGCUUUGUUAUAUUUUUUAAAAGACACCUAUAGAAAUCUCUAUUUUAGUUUAAUAACAUUUUCAUUUUUUUUUUUUUGGUUGGUCAACUUAAUUGGGUUGAAGACUUAAAAUUAUCUUUUAAACUUAAAAUCAGGUGUUAAAAAAAAAAUUUAGAGGUCAAAUAAAAAUUAAAAUCCAAACUUUCUUAUGCUUUAUUCCUCAAAUAUAUUUGGAUAAAAAUAAAUUAUAAUUUUCCAAUAAUUGGGUUAAGAUUAAAAUACUUAGCAUAUUAGGAUUACAAAGGAAAGUUAUGAUUUUUCUAAGUUAUGAGAAAAAUCAGUUAGAGUGAAAAAAGUAUCUCCAAUUAAUGUGAAAACCUAAAAGGAUCAAUAUAUCAAAAUAUUAAACAAUUUAACCAACUAAUUAGAGAAGUGUAGGAUAUUUGAAAAUUUUGAAAUAUAGUCAAAUAAAUUAAAAUUUUUACAAACUAUACCAAAAUUUAGUUAUCAAUCACUAUCUAUCAAUGUCAAUGAUGGAAUGAUAUAAGUGUCUAUCAAUAUCUAUUAUGGAUAAAAUCAUGUCUUGUCUUACAAUUUCCUAGAAUAAAAUUGAGUAUUUGUUAAUUUACAUAUAUAAAAACAAAACUGAAAAUAUUUACGGCUUAUAUAACAAAAUUUUAAAAAAAACCAAUGAAACCUGUAUAACUUGAGUUAAUUUUUUCACAAAUUCUAGAUUUUGUCUUCCAGAAUUUCUUCAAUCUCCUCUUCCAGAUUUUAUUCCUUCUUCAGCAUAUCGCAUCUUCGGCAUCAUCUUUUUCAUAAAAACAAUAUUUUUUUUCUUAUUCUUUUUUUAUUAUCAAGCAUUGUGUCCUUCUUCUUUUUUUUAUUAUCAAGUAUUGUACCAAGAUCAUUUAGACUAGGUUCAAAUAGUACAAGAUCGUUUAGAAUGGGUAUAAGGGAAGAUCGUGUACCGAGAUUAUUUAGAUUUGGUACAAUAUCGUUUAGAUGAGAUACAAAAUCGUUUUAGACUAAGUAAAAGAGUACAAGAUCGUGUAAAAUAUGAGUACAAGGAUACAAGAUCGUUUAGUCUAGAUAUACAAGGUCCUUUAGAAUGGGGACAAGAUCAUUUUUUCGCAUAUGAGUGGUCGAUUAAUUGCGGGGUAUUUUCGUUAUUUCACGUUGAACUUAUGGACUUUUUCCUUUUUCAAAAUUGUUCUAUAUGAUGUAAAUAUUUUCUCGUUUUGUUAUAUUUUUAAAAAAAACUCAUUGAUUAUUUUUAGAAUAAUAGUAACUAUAAAUAAAAACGAUCUAGAAAAAGAAAAAAAACAUAAGAAAAGAAGUUUGAAACAAUUUUCUUGUGUUAUCUUUGUCACCAGUAUUUUAAUUACGCAAUUAUGAGUUAUAUGUUUUAUUUUAGAAGCAAUUAUUUUGUACCUUCAAAAGGGGAGUUUUAUGAAUGAAAUACAUGAAUCCGUAUGAUAUAUUUUUAAUCAUUUCAUGUUAACUAAGGUAUCUCCCAAAAUGACAAAAAAAAACAAAAAGAAAAAAAGAUAAAUGAAAAUCUUAAAUUUUCAUAAAUUGAUGUAAAAUAUAGUUUUAAUUAUAUUUUCAAAAAUAAUAUUUUAUAUACAUAAUUAUAUGUAUAAGAAAGAAUAAUAGUAAAAAAAACUAUGCAUGAUCUAAAAUAAUACAUUAAUAUACUUAAUGCAUUCAAUACACAUAUUAAAAUAAUAAGUACUCCAAAACCGUAUGCUAUAAACGAAACGUUGUUGUUUGUUGUCAACACUGUAACUAGCUUCUGCUUCAUGGUCCAUUAUGGUUACAUUUGACAUACAAACUCAAUUGUUGCUAAGUUCAAAUUCACGUUGAAAAUUAUUACUAAAACUACAUAAAUAAAGAGAUGACAUUAAGUGUCAAAAUCAAGAAAUAGAUUAAGAACUUCUAAAUUGGCAUAUCAACUAAAAUUUAAUGUCUAUCUCUUAAUCUAUUUCUUACUAAUGUAUCAUAUAUUUUCGCUUGGUGCUUUGGUAAGUUAUGAGUGCAAACAAAAUCUUACAUUUAUUAAGAAAAAAUGUGAUCAUGAAUAUAUAAAUAUGGACAACUAUCUCCAUUAGAAUAAAGCUUUUUAGGAUGAAACUAAAAGCAGAAAGCCAUAAUAGUCUAUGUCUAGAGUAAAAAAAUCCAUAACAUUGUGGAGAUGUUUAAGAGGGUUGCAUAAAGACCCCAAUGAAAGGAUCAUACAUUGAUAUAGUUGGUCAAAAGAGAAAGUUUAUGGUCGCCCACAAGCUUCCUUCAAAUCAAAUAAAAAUUUAAAAUUUACUAAACGUAACAACUAGUAGUAAUAGAUGGCAAAUCCGAAGAUCGAACCAAAAGGAAUUAAGCAUGAAACGUUAGUUGGAUUAUGCAUAUGUCUUUAGUUAAAGUGGUAAAUGGAGGGGGUUUGGUAUGGAGAAAAAGUAGAUAAAGCAUAAGAGUAAAAAUGCAAGAAUCUAAAAUAAAAAUGCACUUAUUUUGUAAGAUUCUAGCCUAUUAUAAUGGAGUGGAGGGACUCAUCACAUGAUGCUCGUCAAAGGGUUUUAAUUGAUCAACGCUCAUAUUCCUAGCAAAUUGAUUAUAGAAACCCGAAUUUAAUGUCUUAAUGGCCUAGUUAAGUAAACAUGCUAAGUCAAACCUGCACCCAACAUUCUUCUCUAAUAGCAUUAAGUUCAAGGGAUUGCAGCAGGAUGAAUAUUGAAUUUCCAUUGUAUAAUUAAAUACUUAGUUUGGUUUCUCCUUUGGUUAUAGAAACAAUACACAAAUGUCCUAAUAAUGCUUCUUAGGAUUGAUUGCUAAAUUCAUGUCACAUAUUAACAAUUUCUCUUAAGCUAUUAAUUACAUUCUUUGUCAGGCAAUUGAAUCAAUGAAAAUUCAUAAUCAAUUAAGAGAAGUGAUUAAACUAUAAGAUAGCCAUUAAUCAAUAUUACAAAAUCUCACGUCAAUAAAUUUUCCAAUCUAUUAAAUUAGAAUCCCAAGUUCAUUUUUCCAUAAAUAUGGAGGAAAUGACUUUAGAAUUGAUCAUAAUUAAGUAAAUAAUAAACGAGAAAAAACAAAAGAAAUUAAUAACAGUAUGGAGAAGAUAUCAAGAAGAUGAAGAAGAUGUCCAAGGAAGAGCCUUCACGAACACGUCGAACUCAUGUCGCCAAUGCCCCUCGAACCCACCAUAGGUGCAAUGAUUUGAGAUAAGAGUUCCCCAGCUCCUCAUUCUCUACCUCCAUGUUUUUUCAUGAUGAAUAACCUUAAAAUUAAGGAUUAUAAUCAUAGAAAACAGUAGAGCGUCGUGGCAUUUGGCAUCUUGUCUAAGCAAAGUGAUGCACGUUGUGCCAAGCGUGCAAGUUGUGCUAUGCGUGCAAGCUAAAAAUACAAGAGCGCCACAAGGUUUCACCAUGAAGAGCUAUUUGGAAAAAGCGUCGGGCAGUCACCAAGAUAGCGUUUGCUUUAAAAACUUUAAGGCUUGCUCUAUGUUUCCUCGUUUGCUUGCUAUCUCUUCUGAUUUAACACCAAAAGCAUUCUAAGUAGCCCAAUGUUGUCAAUUGCACGAUGACCUAUCAAGACACUAAGAUAAAAUAUUAAAUACCUAGAACAGACAUGAUUUAGACAAAGAAAGAUAGUUCUUUUGAGAAGCUAUCACCACCUCCAAUGUAAGGCCGUAAUCUCAUAUCACUAACUCGAAUGAAAGCCCUGCGAUAAGAAUAAUGUGCAAAGAGACUUCUGUUAGUAAAAUGCAAUUUACAAAUGAGUUAUGCGAUACGGAUCCCUACGCAGGGAAGGUGUGUGACAACCAAAUGGACAAGUUAACCUACUCCACCUAAAGACAGUGAUGUGAUUUAGAUAUAGUAGGUCGACGAUUGAUGGGACAUGACCUCCCAAUCUGAGUUUAGUAUAAGAUAGAGGCACGUAGUGUUUCAAAAUUGUGCCAUUUUCCACCGUCGGUUGGAGAAAAUGUUUCGGUAUGGAAAAACUCAUCGAAAAAGUCUACAAAUAGAGACUUUAGAUCAUUUGAAAUUACUUUUGCCCUGAUUUUGUUAAGAAAGAACUGGGGAAGUGUCAAGGAUUCAAGACAAGGAACGAGCUCAUUUUAGAUCAAGAUUCUGAAACGAGUAGGGAGACUUAGCCUUGGGAAGCUAAGCUAAGAAACUAGUCAACUGUGACAGUGAGUGGUUCUCUUUACUAAAUGUGUUUUCAAAUAAAGAAAAGAGCUUAUAAAAUCGUGUUUAAAAUUUUAUUGCCUACCUUCGAAUCCAGGAACAGUAUGAUCAUAUACUCUCUGAAUACUGUGUUGGUUUAUGUUUAAAAUGUGGAGAUUUAUGUUAUUUGGAGAUUUACGUUAUGUUUCGAAGGGAUUUGACCUUUGUACCCUCAAUGAUAUUUUGUCUUAUACUUGUUGUGUGAUCUAGAAUAAGAUGCUUUAUUCCUAAUGUGUGAUCUGGAAAAGGAUGCCUUAUUCAUGCUAUGUGAUUUUGAAUAGGAUGUCUCAUACUUGCUGUGUGAUUUGGUAUGAGAUGUCAUUUGCUUAUGUGAUUUGACAUUGGAAGACGCGUUAUGUGUAGAGAAUUUGAUGGAACUUGCUAUACGUGUUGAGCUUACUCCACAUAGUCGCAACUUAACAAAAGAGUGAGGUAAAUGUUUGAGCCAAAGAAAGGGUACAAGGAUGUAACUGAAUAUGCAAGUUGAUUCUGCGAUAUGACUAUCCAGUAUACGAGAGGCAUACAUGUGAUAAACUGUAAAAUGUUAAAUUACACUUUUUUAUAAUACCUUCUGAUAAUUGAUUUUGCGUCAAUAUAGUACAAUUGAGUUAUUUAAAGUGCCUGUUAAAAGAUCCCACUCACUAGGCAUUUUCGUCUAACCUUUCAAAUGUUUGUUUUAUUCCCCCCACCCCCAGGUAAUGAAGUGACAUCCAACGUUGAACUCGCAACCUUGAUCGCCUCAUGUGUCUUGUACUCGCAUCAUUUGGUAGUGGUCACUGUUAUUUCAUAUUGCAUGUAGGAGUUAAGCGAGUAAAGUCGAGUCAUUCUUGAGUUUGUAUUUCAUCCUUUUUGGAGAAGUUGUGUAUCAAUGAUCAAAUGUACCCUUAUAGUCGUUUGCUAAUGAAGCUUUCUUCUUCCUCUUAGUUUGACUUCUACAUUUACAAUUGUAGUUUAUGAAGUUGUUCUGCUUACUAGACAGACGUUCAACGUGUCAUCUGACGAGAAGAUGCACGAUGGGCGGCUGGGCGGCAUGCCUCAUCUUGGUCGAAUGAAGUGACCUUUGAAGCAUGACAUGACAUCCAACCUAAACCUUGCAAAUCCUCAAGCAAGAGAACACACAAUCAUGUUAGCAAACAACGAAUAAAAUAGAUGCAUGCUCAUUCAAACCAUAAUUCUAAGCAUGCUUCAAAUUUUCAAAGUAUGAACGUCAUGUAAGAUUAAGAUUCUUUGAACUUUUUUUAAGCCUUCUUACAUGUGUGUAUGAAAGAAAUUGACCUAAGAAAAACUCUCUAGACCUAAGACAACCUAAAGAUGUACUCCAAUUCAUCUCCUUAUGAUGUACUCCAAUCCAUCUCCCCCUACUUUGGCUCAGAAGGUCAAGUCUCAAGCUUUCUAAACUCAAGGUGGCAAUGCAAGUCAUAAGGGAAACCAAACAAUAUUCAUUCUACUUUUAUCUCUCACUUUUUCUUCUUCUUUUCUUUCUUUUUCUUUUUCUUUUCUUUCUUUCUCUCUCUUUUUAUUUUUCCUUUUCAUUAUUUUCUAACUUUACACAAAAGAGGAAAUCAAAUCUAAAAAAUGCUACCUUUCUUUUGGCAUACCAACGAUCGGGUGCAUGCAAGUAACCAAUUACGAGCAACGUCUCUUUCAAGGGGUGUUUAAGCUACUCAUUCUUCAAAGACACUUUUGGCGCAAAAGAAUUCUUGAGUUACCUAACUGUGACUUCUCAUAUCCCCAAGAAAUCCCCUUCGACUUUAUUCUUAGACUUGCUUUUACUUUACAACACUCUUACUUUGCAACUCACUUUUACUCUACAAUAGGCUUUUUCUGCAUAGAACUAAAGUUUGGUAAAAUCCCUAAGCUUACUGUACAUUGCUAAGUUGGGUUUUGGUUACCUAAUAAAUCUCACUUUGUGCCUUUUGGGGUGUCAACAAACUUGUGGACACCAUAAACCAAUCCUAAGCCCCAAGAGUAAAAAUAAAGGUCACAACUAGUGCACAUAGAAUGCAAGUAAGGUGAUAACUUAACAAAUACAAGUUAUUGUGACCUUUUAGGUAGAAUAAUAUGAUAAUAAGCGAUAUAAAUUAAGAUAACGAGUGAUUAUUUAAAUUUAAAUAAAAUAAAAGCAUUUUGCAAGCAACAAAAGAUGAAACUCCUAUUUUCACAAGUUUUAUUGUCUUAACGAAGAAUAAUGAAAAGAAGUGAAAUUACUAGCUGAAGAAGUGCAUUAGGCGACGUACACACGCGUCAAAUAACUAGCUCACAAAGUGACACACCUGGUUAGUGAGAGUGACAGAUAAAGAAGGAAAAGACAUCCCAACAUCGCAUACGCAGUGAUCAGAAAUCAGAAUAAGACAACGCAUAUUAUGUCCCAUCAACUCAAGGCCUAUAAAUUCAAGGUCACCUCCUUCAUUCGUGUGUGUGAAAAUUUGUGGAAACGAGUUCAACUUCAUCCCUAUAAUUUAUUUUCUUCUUUAGGUGAGAGCUUAGAGUGAGAGAUGUAAAUAACCUCAAUUCUCAUUUUCCCUUAGUGUAAUAGGCAAAAAUGGAGCAAGGGGACAUAAGAGAUUGUGUUCCAAGCCCCUUUCUUAUUCUUUACAUUUGUGAUUUCUUUUGGUGUUGUAUUUAUAAGUUAACUCCAUGGUCGAAGGGUCCUAAAGUUUUAUUUAUAAAUGCAAGAUAUUUUCAUUAUCGUUCUCCCAUCUCUUUAUCUAUCAUAUGCAUGUGUUCUUUGAAUUGAGAUGAUUGUAAAGUAAGUGUGAUGCAUAGAGCAUAUGGUUGUUUGUAUCAUCUAACUUGUUUAGUCAGAGUCAUACUGAACACAUUAUACUAUCUGAAAUGAAGAAUGAGAACACAUUAUACAAUUUGAAAUGAAGAAUGAGAUAUUAGACGUUAUUGCUUGAAAGACUAAUAACUAAAGAUCUCACUAAAUAGACAGCAAAGGGAUUGUAUUAAUACCAUCAUUUCAUUCAAUUUUUCUUUAACAUAUAUGUCAGAAAUGAUACUUAUGUGUUGCAACAACGCACUGAGAGGUCACGUGUCUUCAAAUAAGAGAAAUUAUAUAUAAUACACUCAAUUAGAUGAGAGAUAGUACAAAUGGUAAUUUCAAGUAUUUGAAUCUCGAAAGGUGAGUAAAUAUGAUGAAGACACCGAAAGGAUGUUUGUCUUAAUUAUGAAAUUAACAUGUGUUGCCUGUUGCCUCAAUGAACUACUUAGUUUUUUUACCAUGGUGCAAAUUGUAGAACAUGCCUUCAUUCAUCUCGCCUAGAUAUAGGUUCAAUCAUAUAACACUCCCUAUAGCCACACCACCUCAUCCACCUCACACUUAGCGUAAAUAAUAGGCAUUAGUUAAUACUUUGAAUAUUAAAUACUGUAUAGAUACCGCAUGAAACCAACUUAUGGGUUUUAAUAAAAAAAAGAUUAUAUAAGUUCCUCGAGUUCAACCAUGGCUUACCUAGAAAACCUCUAUUUUUGCCUAUACUUGAGCAAGAGAGAGGAAAACUUGUACUGCAUUGAUAAAUUAUUGGAAUUAAGCAACGCAUAGGUUAGAGUCUACCCUUUUUCGCUUGGAGCUUAGUCGCUUGGUUUAAGUUGCAAGCUUAGAUCGAUAACACCACAUUCACGAUAUCACAUGUACAAUGAUGCUUUUAAACAAACUAGAAGGCAAAUAAAAAUUUUAAAGAAGUAUGUCUAAUGCUCUGUUCAACAAAACAAACAAAGAAGCAUACAAAAAACAUUAAUAGUUUGCUCUAGUCAAACAAGCAUAUAAAAUAUGUUCAUAUAAAUAGGAUGCAUAAAAAUAGGUGAACUAAAAUGAAACUAGGAGAGACGAAUUAAAGCUACCAAAGCAACACACACUCAACCCCUGACCUAAAAUGAAGCAUUGUCUCUAAUGCAUGCAAUCAAGCAAAAACUGAAAACAAAUACCAAGGAAAAAAAAAUUGAACGUUAAAGAACAUAUGGGUAGGUUGCAUCGAUACAUCUCCAAAAGUAAAAAGAAAGAAAGAACCAACCCUGCAAAAGGAAAUUAAAAUGGGACCAAAUAGUCCAAGAAAUUAACCUAGCCUAAACUAAUCUACUUUGAACUAAACUAACAUAAACUAAACCAAAAUAAACCUAAAAUACCAAAAAAAGCAAAUCUAAACUACCUAGUGUACUAGUUAAUCUAACUAAAGGCAAAACAAAUGGGAGAGAGUAUUCCUCCUCUGAUUACGAGGAGCUAGAACUAACCUAGGGCAUUUAAAAAGCCACAUUAUGCUUAAGCAAUAAAUCAAAGUAAAACUCGCUAUAACACUUCCCUCUACUGAACCGCCUAGCCAACCUAUGGGUUUCUAUAUUUCAAGCAUUAUCCUUCCUAAAGUGACUCUGAAGUUGUUAGACAUCCUCUGCUAAAUGCUAUACAAUUUGAUCGAAAACAGCGACAACCGUUCUACUAAAGGGGCUCUCAGCAUUUCCCUUUCCUCGUACAAGUGAUGGUUGUUGGUUUGGAUUUAAUAACUUCGUGUGUGUAUAGUGCAAUCGCAAUACGUCACUAAGUCAGGCCAUCGAGCUUAAUGCGCUCAUCACAACUUUCUAUAUUGCUUGAUCUUAAUUUUGGGUGAUGAGUUAUAAAUCAUGAUCAUUGCAUUUGAGGUUCUCUCAUGUACUUCUUCAUUGAAUAGUUCUUAAAUCCUCGUUGAACCCAAGUUUUUCUAUUGCUCGCCCAAGUGCAAGCGAACAAUAGGUUUACCUGGGUGAUCUAGGGUCGAAAGGGAAUUGGUAUAAAUGUUAGUUCUAAGUUUCACUUAUCGUUUAGGCCUUAUAGAAAUUAAUAAAAAGAAUGUAAUGCUAACUACGACUAUUUAUUUACAACUUGAGACUCAUGCAUAGAGAGUAAAUUAAAGCUAGGUGGAAAAUGGGUCGAACUCACUUGGAUGAAGGAAAUUAUAUGUACUAUUAGAUGCAUAAGUGUUGCGAUAGUCUUAACGCGCUAUAACUACAUAAUCAGCACAUGAUUAAGGCGACCUUCUCUCGAAGUGUUUAAACGCCACACUUGUUCGCCUUUCGGGAUACAAAUGACUAUGCUUACUUAAGCAGAUUAUACCUAGAGAUUAUGACUUGUAAUACUUAUAGGACUUCUUGUUUAAUAACGACAACCUCUCGGUGUCUAUUGUUCACACUUGUUCUCAUUUCAGGAUACAAAUGUUGGAAGCUACCUCACUAAUGUGAAGUUUGUCUCCAAACUCUCCCUUGCGCGCAUUAGUUCUAUCCCUGCUACUUACCAUUUUGGACAGUUGGCGAUUUACACUGACCAAGUGAUGAACAUAACUCAACUAAUGCGAUAAGGUUUAUAAGUUGAACUCCUUAUCAAGAACUUAUCAUAACUCUCCUCAUUUAAUAACACAAAGAUUGAUGAGAAGUUAAGAAAUGGUGAAUUGAAAAGGUAUAAACAUGCAAUCUAUGUAUAAAGAAUAAGUCUUCGGCCAUUGUAUAAUAUGAACAAUACAUACAUUACAAUGAAAUAAAGAAUGGAUAGAUAGAAGAAUGGAAAACAUUACUACAAGUUAAGAGUUCAACAAAUGGUCUUUUCUUUUAUCACGACUACACAUUCUUCAGGUAGCUUGUUCCGACUCUCUCUUUAUCUGUGAUUUUUCCCAUACCAUUUUGAGUCUCUCUCUCCGGGUCUAUUCGGGCCCCCACUCUUCUUUCUGUGCGGAUAAAGUACUUGUAUAUAGAGAUGUCCAUGGGGCAGGCGAGGCUGGGGAUUCCACUCUUUGUCCCCGUCCCCGCCGCCCUAUCCCAUUUUCCAUCCCCACCAAUUUCUCCACAGGGGUCGAGUUCCCCAUUGGGAAAAUAUUUCUCGUUUUUUUAAAUUUAAUCUCAUUUUUCAAUCCACAACUUGAAAUGUAUAUACAUUUUCAAUAGUAUUUUAUUUUCGAUAGAAUAUUAUCAAUUUUCUUAUUUAAAACCAUUAAAAUGUCAAAUUCUAGCUCAUUGUUUAUAAAAAUAAAUAUUCAACUAUUAGAAGAUAGAUUUAGAAAUCAUCCAUAAAAUUCAAAAAUCUAUACAAAAAAAAAAAAUCAAAGAUCAAUCUAUAAGUAUUCUAACAAAGCCUUCAAUUUCAUCUUAAGUCACGACAAUAUAUUUUUUUAUGAAAAAUUUACCUAUCAAAAGUCAAGGUACAACAUAUACAUAUACAAGUUUACAACAUAAAAAUUGGAUUUAGAAAACAAAAUAACGAAAAUAAGGAAAUGAAGAAUAUCAAAAUAGGUUUUUUCUUUUUUUACUUUUUUACUAUUUUACAUAUUAUUAAAUAAACAAAUAUUUAUAUUUAAUUAAUUAUAUUUUUAAUCUGGGCGGGGUGAGGACAAGGCCGGGGUGGGGAAUAUAUUCUCUGUCCCUGACCCCGUGUUGCCAACGGGGAAAAUUUUUCCCCAUUCCCCGUGUGUUCAGAGAUUCCCUGUUCCGGGCCCUGCGAGUUAAAUGGACAUCUCUACUUGUAUAGGUUGCUUUUUGACAGGAAAACUAUGUUCCUCUGAGUGUGUCAACACUGUCAUCUGCCUAUGUGAAGUCACAUAAUUCAUUCUUGACUUUUUGUGAGCUUUCCUCACGUGAUGUUUAGGUUCAUCGUCUGGGAUUGUUAAUUGUUAGGCACGAUCCAUGGCAUUGUUUUUGCACGAGAUGUCGUGUGCGAAUUGCUCCUUUCUACUUUUUUCCACUUGUCCUGCAUUUAAAAAUAAUAACAGCGUAAAACAGGAACAACAUUUAUGUAAGCCAUAUUUCUAAGUAUUUAUGCAUUUACAACAUAAAUUAUGCGUUCUAAGUAUCCCUUAGGCGUUUUAACCACAUUAUUCUAACAAAAAUGGCUAUAAUAAUAGUCAUUUCCACAUGCUACCAAGUUCUUUCUACCUUGGCAUGCCAACACAACUUCAGGAAAAGACACAUGUGUCCUGGACCACUAAACAAGCAUUGGCCAUUGUUAGAGGAGUCCAUUGAUUACCCUACCAAUGUCAAUCGAUUGAGUUGUGCAAAGAGCAUAAAGUGAGCACAACAUCCAUUUUUUCUAUAAACUUAGGGUACUUAAGUCAUACUUUCAUAACCAUUUCAUUUUUUUUAAUUAAAAUCAAACCUAUAGACAUUUUUUUCAUCUCUAUCUUUUUUCCUUUAUUAUGUAUAUUUUUUGACUGGUUUAAAAGUCAAGCCAAACUUGAAAAAAAUAUAUUGUUUUUAGAAUUUGGCUAAAAAAUCAACCAUUAUAUUUAAGAAGAUACAAAUUUUUUGUAAAACGUGGGAAAAAUUAUAAUUAAUUUUUUUAAAAAAACUAUAUAAUUAUUAAACGAGACCUUAAAUGUUGUGAUUUAGGUUGGUGGAUAAAAGGACAGGUGAGCAACGAUAAACUAAAGAAGUGAAGAAGUCAAAAGAGAUGAAAGGAACGGACGUAGAAGGCAAAGGACUAUACUGUGUACUUUUUUUAGUAGACCAAUUUAGAAUCAUUUUACAAACCUAGUGUUGAGGCAAAUAUUGACUUAAUUUUAGUUGUCUUAUUUUCAAUUCAUAUUAUGCAUAUAUUUAUUAUUUUAAUAUUUUAUGCAGAAUAUGAAUGUAGACUCCGAUACAAACCCAACAACUCGAAAAUCACCUAAAUCGGAGUUCAAACAAAUUAGUAAAUCAUGAAAAAGUCAUGACACGUGUCAAGUCCCACAUGUAAUUAAUUACCAACUUUAAAAGUUUUUUACCAUUUUUUGGUUAAUGAGAAGCGCGCCCGAGCCUAGAGAUAAUGAGUUCGAACCAACUGGACCAUUAUUUUCAUUAUUUUCUAUAUAAACCUCUCAUAACCCUUAAUUUCAUCAAUCAAUUCACUAUUUUUUUUUCUUCCAAAUUAAUCUCAAAUUCUCCCAAAUCUCUCUCAAUUUCCAUAAUUAUCUCCUCCUUCUGCCAUUUGCCAUUUUUUCAUCCAAUUAGUUUUCAGGUUUCUUCAUUGAUGAAGGGCUAAUUACCCUGAGAAGUGGGCUUAGGGUUUAAUCAUUUUUUUUAAUUUUUUUCUUGUAAUUAGAUACGAUCAAUUCUUGAAUUUCUUGUAAGUUUUGAUUGAAUUCCUAAUUUUUUUGGUAUCAAAAAUUAAUUUCAUCUCUCAAUUAUAAUCAUUCUUAUCAAUUUAAUUCUUGAUUUUGAAUUUGAUUCCAUUUUUGUAUGCAACAUACUUUGAAUAUGAAAAUUAAUUCAACAUUAAUUAUAUUACCUUUUUCUACACAAAACUCAUUUUAAUUCUUGAUUGUGUCAUAUCAAAUCUUGUUCUUGGCAAUUUCUUUCAAUUUAAUCGCAUCAAUUUUGUUGCGCACAAUUGAUUCUAAUUAAUUCUUUGAUCGCAAAUUUGUGAAGGAAACUUUAAUCUUUUUUAAAGAACAAGAUUAGGCUUUAGAUAUUAUUGCGAGAAUAAACACUAAGGGACCGUUUGAGGGAAAGCUUAAGUGAAAGGAUUAUAAGAGAUUAUUAUAAUCCUUGUUUGGGAGAAUGAUUAUUUGGGAGAAGAAUUAUGACAAAAAAAAUUGUAUUUUAUUUUCAUUUGUGUAAUUUUUAUUUGCAUGUUAACUCCAAUAUGAUAAAGAAUACAUAACUACUUUUUUUUUCUGAAAAUGAAAUUAUUGUUUUUUUUUUCACGAACCCAAUACAAAAUGAAAAAUGUGCUAAUAUUUUUUGCAUUUAUAUAAAUUGUUGGUACCGUAAAACCUCUACAACAAAAAAUUGUAUUCAAAUUCAUUUUUUUUAGUUAGGUUGUACCAUAAUCCAAGCGUUUACAAAAAAAAUUGUAUUGAUUUUUUUUUAUUUUGUAUAAAUAUUUUUUUUAGUUGUAACGUACACUUAAUAUACUAUGAAAAGUAAAAUAUUUUCCCCAUUUGUACCAUAGUCUUUUCUUUCUUUUUUAAUAUUAAAUCAAGUACACAAAAUAAAGUGUAUUAAUUUUUUUUAGUUGUGUAAAAUAUGUUUAUGAAAUUUAUAUCGUAAAUUCAAUUCAUACAGAGAUUGUAUUAUUUAAUUUUUCGUUUGUUUUCAAUUUGUAGUUAAAUUUGAUCAGUAAAUCCAAUACAUUAAAAAUAUGCUUUUUUUAAAAAAAUUUAUGGCAACUAUUUGUUUUUUUCUACCGCAAUCCCAUAUGAGAAAGAAAUUGAAUUACAUUUUGUAUUAUUUUUUUCACUUAUGUAAAAUAUGUUUCUUCAAAUUGUACCGUAAAUAGAAUACAAAAAGAAAUUUGCAUUUUAAGUUUGUAUCAUCAAUACUUAGAACAAAAAAUUGUAUUAUGUUGUUUUUAUUUUUUUUCAUUUAUUAAUUUUUUUCUUCAUGGAAACGAUAAACAACAUACGAUAUAAGAUGACUAAUUCAUUUGGCACAAAGAGAAUGAAGAAGAAGAGAGGGUGAUUAAUUUGUUUGGGAAAAAGAAGAAAUAAAAGGAUUAAUUUGAAGAGAAGAAUAAAUGAACGAGGAAAGAAAAUAAGGAGAAGAAAAAUAAGGAUUAAAUUGGAAAAUUAAAAAAUUAUAUUGAGAAAUGAAAGAUUUAAGUGAGUAAUAAAUGAGGAAAGAGAAUGAAUAAGAGGGAUUAAUGAUAGUAUUUUCUCUUCCCUUAAUCUCCGAGCCAAACAAGGAAAGGUAGUUCUUCCAUUUCCUUACUUUUCCUUCCCCCAAACCGCUCCUAAAUCCUUAUGGAGAUCACUCCCUUUCUUGAAAUCUUGAUCAAAAUUCUUCCAAGAUCAAGCAAGUUGACCUUGAAAAGACACUUGAUCAAUUUAAUUAAGCAAAAAUCAUUUCAUGAUCAUCUUUAAUUCAACGAUAAGAAUUGAUUAGUACCCAUUCCCGCUCCCUCAUUUUUUUCAUUGGUUUCAAUUUUUACUUACAUUUUUUUGUGAAUUGACUUUGCAUAUUAAACUGACUUUGAUUAUUCGUUCCACUUGAUUUCUCCAAACUCUUUUCAAUGCUUCUCUUUUUGCUACUAACAUCAUUUGUUUGAAGCUUUAAUUCAAGAAACUUACUUAGACACCACUCUCUUGGGUUUCGUACUUCCACCAUGGUAAGGACCCUUUCUUGUGAAACUUUACGUAUUAAAUCACCUUCGAUUCUUAGUUCUACUUGAUUUUUCAAACUCAUUUCAAUGCUUUUCUUUUUGUUACUAACGUCGUUUGUUUGAAGUGUGAAGCUUUUAAUUUAAGAUUGGGUUCCAUACUUCCACCAAGGUAAGUACCCUUUUACAACAAUCAUUUUCAAACAUAGUUGGACUUAAUUGUAACGACUUACCUUUACAUAAUUCUUUUCAUAUAAAGAACUAAAAUUUGAACAACCAAAUAAAAUCAAGUUCAAACUCACAUUUUGCCCCAUAUAUAUUCAAUCGAUAUUCAAAUUCCACAAGAAUUUAAUUUAACCACAAAUUUUAACUAGUAUAUAAAAUAAAAUGUUGAAUAGCUACAAAAUGUCAAGAGUAGCUGUGAUUGGAUCCAGAUUGGCUUAAAGAUUCGUCUCACUUUGAAAAACCAUUUUCAUUCGCAACUAAUUAAUAGUGAUGGAUGUCUUAAUCUUUCAAUAGAGACGAUCUUGAAUUUACUUCAGGGCUUAAAUGGUUGGAAUCUCAAAUUUAUGUAAAUGCCAAUAAAAAUUUCGGUAAAAUGUAUAUGUAGCUUAUAGCUUACAAGAUCUAAAAGACAGAAUAAUAAUAUUACAAUCACACACCAGUUACUUUACAUAUGGUUACUAUUUUAAAAAUAUUUCAUCAGAUUUUUACAAUAUAAUGGAAGUGUCAAUCAAUAUAAAAUCCAAAACAUGUGAAAAUGUUUAAGAAAUACGACAUCCAAUUCUUAUGCAGCAAAGGAGAAAGAAAGAUGAUUUCAUUACAUCUAUCAUAUUGCAAAAAGGGAUAAUAGCAGAUCAGAAAGGGGAAUAAAACUGGAAACAGAGGAAAAGAAAUGGCAGUGAAAGAUAAUCCAAGUCUAUACCUUAACUCUGAUUCUUAUUUGAAAAUGUUUCUCCAAAGCAUUCAUACAUGGAGGCUGCUUCACAAUCAAGGGGGAAAGUAGAUUCAUAUCUUCCCAUUGAUGUGAAUGAUUGGGCACCCAUGUCAAUGAUGUCAUGCCCUAAAAUGGACACAUUUGAAAGAUAUUUCUCCAAAUCCUUGAUGUGGGAACAUACCAACAACAUGAAAUAUAGUUAUACAAAUUAUGAAAAGUUAUUUAUAUUACAAGUUUUAAGUCCAAACCAAAACAGCCAUCGUUGCUUGUAAAAUUUGUUAUGGUAAGCAUACAUAGGACUGGCAAAGCUUGAGUACCUGAGAAAAACAGAAGGCAAAACGGAAAAAUCAGAAGCCAGGCCAAACAAAUCAUACCUCAGGUUAAAUUACGGGAACUAAAAAGUCCUUAAACUGUUAAUUGUAUUUGGUAAGUUGUUUCAAAUAGAUCUCCCUAUACAACAUAUUUUAAACGUCAUGGGCGUACUAAACAAAUUUGAAAGAUUAGAGCUUCAUGGAUCAGCUUAUUCGGACACAAAUUUAAAAGUUGAGAAACUGUUAGCACAUUUUUAAAGUUUAAAGACUUACUAGAGAUUUAUUUAAGUUUAAAGACUUAUUAGAGAUUUAUUUAUGGGACGACUAAUUAGACAUAAACUUGGAUGAAAAAUGUAAGUACAAGGACUUACAAAUGUAUAUACAGCGGAAUCAUAUAGAGGCAGACUGCAAGUCCUUUUGACUCCCACUUUUAGUCUCAACAAAGAAGUCCUGAAGAGGGAUCAUUGAAACCGAACUUGACUUCAGGCUCUUUAUGGCUUCGGCAGUUGCCAACGCUCCAGCAACUGUCGUUAUUAUAGGUACUUUGUAUGCAAGAGCCAUCCUCCUCAGAUGGCGUCCAUCAAUCUGAUCAAGAUCAUCACCAGAACUAGUGAUUAUCAUCAACUGAAUCUGCCCAUUAGCAAGUAUGUCACCAGCAUGAGGCCGCCCCUCGUGUAGCUUCAGAACUCGUUCAACAGGAAGGCCUUCCAGUUCAAGAACGUGGGCAGUUCCAGAAGUUGCAGUGAUGCUGAAUCCAAGCUCUAAAAAUGCCUUGGCUAUUUUGGAAAGAUGGGGCUUUGUCAAGUCAUUCAAACUUAGGAACAGAGUUCCAGAAAGUGGCAACUUAUUCCCUGCAGCAAUUUGAGCUUUUGCAAAUGCAAUAGGAAACUGAAAAUCAAGACCCAUGACCUCACCAGUGCUUCUCAUCUCAGGCCCUAAUAGCACAUCGCUGCCUUGGAACUUCUCAAAAGGAAGGACAGCUUCCUUCACAGACACGUGUUUGGGGAUGACCUCUUUGGUGAAGCCAAGCUCAUAUAGAGACUUCCCAGACAUAACAAGCGAAGCAUACUUAGCCAAUGGAUGCCCAAUGGCUUUAGAUACAAAUGGUACCGUACGGGAAGCACGAGGAUUGGCCUCAAGCAAGAAAACCUCCCCUGCCAUAGUGAUCGCAUACUGACAGUUCAUUAGCCCACAGACAUUUAGUCUCUUUGCCAACUUUGUUGUCCAAUUCCUGAUAGUUUCGAGGCAAGAUGAGGGAAUUGUUUUCGUUGGGAGUGAACAAGCAGAGUCACCCGAAUGAACACCAGCCAACUCAAUAUGCUCCAUUAUCCCACCAAUUGUCACAUUCCCAUGUGAAUCAGCUAACGCAUCAACAUCAAUUUCAAUAGCAUCUGAUAGAUAUUUGUCGACUAAUACUGGACGUUCUGGAUCCACUUCCACAGCAUUUUCAAGAUAAGUCACUAGUUUAUCAUCACUAUACACAAUUUCCAUUGCCCGGCCACCUAGAACAUAAGAAGGUCGGACAACAACUGGGUAACCUAUAUCCUUGGCAAUGGAGAGUGCAUCUGCUUCACUCUUGGCAAUGCCCCCUCUUGGUUGUUCUAUCUUCAACUCGUUAAGGAUUGCAUUGAACCUUUCUCUGUCUUCAGCUGCAUCUAUAGAAUCUGGAGAAGUGCCCCAUAUGCGAACAUGUCCAUCACCACUGGCAGAUAUGAGCUUGGUUUCAUCUAAAUACCGCUGUAUUGGGAGAGCCAAUUUCAAAGGUGUUUGACCUCCAAAUUGCACAAUGAUGCCGUCUGGACGUUCUAAAUCGAUAACAUUAAAAACAUCUUCAAUCGUCAAGGGUUCAAAGUACAGGCGAUCACUAGUAUCAUAAUCUGUUGAUACUGUUUCAGGAUUUGAGUUCAUCAUGAUUGUCUCAUAUCCAGCAUCCUGAAAAAGCAAGAAGUUGUUACAAGCUAGGUUUUAAGAAUCAUUACCAAUAGAAGACGAUAAAAAGUAUGACAUGCAGCACAGUGCUUACAAUAUUAAUCAUAAAAACCUAAUAAGAUUGCAUCAGAUGGAAUCAAGUCAAUCUGUCACUCUGGAUUACCAAUGACCACUAAAUAUGGUUAACAUGCGGGUAUACUGAAAAAUGUUGGAAGAUAAGCUUCAUAAGCUGUAUCAGUUAAUUCGUAUGCACGUUUCAAUUAUUUAAAAGAACACAAACCUGUAGAGCAAACGAAGUAUGACAGCAACAGUAGUCAAAUUCAAUACCCUGACCAAUACGGUUUGGACCACCACCCAAUAUCAAGACCUUUUUCUUUUGAGUUGGGGCUGAUUCACAUUCAAAAUCAUAAGAAGAAUACAUAUAAGGGGUAUUUGCCUCAAAUUCUGCAGCACAUGUAUCCACCCGCUUAUAAGCUGGGAAGACACCCAAAGAUAUUCUCUUAGAGCGCACCUCAUUCUCAGUUGAUUUAGUGGCAAAUGCUAUCUGCUUAUCACUAAAACCUCUCUUUUUCACUUCAUAGAAAUCCUCCUUUGUCAGAUUCGAUAAGUGUUGAGCCAAGAGGUAUUGCUCGACAUCCACCAACUCCUUUAACUGAGUAAGAAACCAUUUGUCAAUGUAACUCAGCUCGUGAAUGUCAUCCAGUUUCAUCCCCUUCUUCAUUGCAGCAUAUACAGCAUGGAUGCGAUCUGGAUUAGGAACUCGAAGGCUAUACUUCAAUUGUUCCCAAUCCCAAUCAAGUUGUUUAAUGGGUUCACAACCCCAUCCAGAGUAGCCACAUUCCAAUGAUCUUACAGCUUUUUGAAACGAUUCUUGGAAAGUGCGGCCAAGAGCCAUAGCUUCACCAACUGAUUUCAUCUGAGUUGUCAAUAUUGGUUGAGAACCUGGGAACUUUUCGAAAGCAAAUCUAGGAAUCUGCAACAACAAAAAAAUGCAGAAACAACAUAUUACAAGGAAGAAGAGAGACAUAGAGGUAUGUAGAAACCAGAGUCACCAGUAUUGAAGAUGAAAACAUGUAUAAAAUAUCAAUUGUCAUCAAGUCAGCUAACAAGAAGAUAUAGGAAUGCUGUAUUAAUCAUAUACAUAUAUUAAUUUUUUUAGAUACAUAUAUCAAACUUUCUAAAAAUGAAUAUGUUGAAAAUCAAGGAAAAGACAAAAAGUUUGAAGGAAAUUGGUUACCAUAGACAAUGAAGAAUAUUUAUACUCAAAAUCCCCUCUUAAAAUACGCUCAAUAUUCUUAAAACCAUACAAAUUUAGAUUUUGUACACACCAACUAACUAAUUAGGACUUCGAAUACACAAACUGUGUUUCUCUAAGUUAAUUACAUAAGGAAACAGCUCAACCUAUUGCUUUCCAAUCUAGGUAGAAGUAUUGCUUCGACAAAGCUGAAGUUUAAAAUGAAUCACAAUUCACCAGUCACAACCAUGCUAAACUUACCAGUAUCAUGUCUUGAGUACAUAGUUUAAUCCAUGGACCAAUAUCCCAUUAAUUCCAAUUCCAAAACCACAGAAAAGAUAGCAAACAAAUUUCAAGUAAGAAGUAGGAAUAAAAAAAACUUGCCUUUGUCACCACGUAAUCAAUUGAAGGCUCAAAACUAGCAGGCGUUUUCUUGGUUAUGUCAUUGGGAAUCUGAUCCAAUGAAUAACCAAUAGACAACUUUGCUGCCAUCUUUGCUAUUGGAAAACCCGUAGCCUUGGAAGCCAAAGCAGAGGACCUUGAAACUCUCGGAUUCAUUUCGAUCACCAUCACCUCACCAUCAGCUGGAUUGACAGCAAAUUGCACAUUCGAACCACCACACUCAACACCAAUUUCCCUAAUAAUAGCAAUGGAGUAAUCUCUCAGCCUCUGAUAUUCCUUGUCAGUUAAAGUUUGAGCAGGUGCCACUGUUAUGGAAUCCCCAGUAUGAACUCCCAUGGGAUCAAUAUUCUCAAUAGAGCAAAUGAUCACCACGUUAUCGGCAAGAUCCCUCAUGACCUCAAGCUCAUACUCCUUCCAACCCAGUAAAGAUUUCUCCACCAGAACUUGGGACGUCAAACUCGCCGCUAAACCUGCCUUACAAAUAGACUCAAAUUCCUCCUUAUUGUAGGCAAUCCCACCUCCAGUUCCCCCCAACGUAAAAGCAGGUCUAAUGAUCAAAGGGAAUUCUCCAAUCUCACCAGCAAUUUCAAUACAUUCCUCAAGCGUAGUCCCAAUCCCUGAAGGUGGUGUCUUAAUCCCAAUAUUCUUCAUAGCCUGUUUAAACAACUCCCUAUCUUCAGCUUUCUUUAUUGCAUCAAGCUUGGCUCCAAUCAACUCAAUCCCAUAUUUCUCCAGAGCACCACUUUCAGCUAAAGCAACCGCCAAAUUUAACGCAGUCUGGCCACCCAUAGUGGGCAAGAGAGCAUCAGGGCGUUCCUUCUCAAGAACUUUCUCAACAAGCUCCGGUGUCAUGGGAGUAACAUAGGUUCUAUCAGCCAAUUCCGGGUCCGUCAUGAUCGUAGCCGGAUUGGAAUUAAUCAAUACAACUUCAUAACCCUCUUCUUUCAAGGCCUUGCAAGCUUGAGUACCAGAAUAAUCAAACUCACAAGCCUGCCCAAUCACAAUGGGACCGGCACCAAGAAUCAUAAUCUUCUUCAAAUCAGUUCUCUUGCCAAUUUUCCCAGCUUUAACCUCUUUGAUCGGGUUCUCGUCAUUUUUCAGACAUCGAACCAAACCCUUUUGGGUGUAGAGCUUCCCAAACGGAGAAAGACGGUGGUGGCAUGGGUGAAUGUUGAGCGAAGAUGAUCCAAGUCUGGUAGUGUAAGAAAAAAAGUUGGCAAGGGUGGGAUUGGAGAAAGAGGAAGCGGGAAAACGAGAAAUGGAGGAGGAUGGAGACAAAAAGGACUUGGCUGUGAGAGAUUGAGAGGGAAUCAAACAGUAACCCAUCUCUCAGCCCCACUCCAAGAGCUGAGAACAGAAAUGGCGAAGGCGUCAGAGAGCAAGAGAGGGGGGGGGGGGGGGGGGGGGGGAAGGAACGAGAAAAGGAGAAAGAAAGGGGAGAGAAGAAUGAGUGAGUAUGAGAUUUAUGUAAGGUGAAAAUGGAAGUGAUAAUGAAAAUGGAGUGAGUGCAACUCAGAGAGUGAGUUGGUGAGAAGAAGAAGAAGAAGAAGAAGAAAUGACGCAGAGAGAGAGACAGAAGGGUUUGAAUAUUAGGGUUUCUAUGGAUAGGCCGCGUGUCAUUUCUAAUGGGCCCUUUCAGUUGGCCCACUGCCUUCUUUCCCUUUUUGUUUUUUUUUGUUUUUCUUAAUUUUUUAAUUUAAAAAUAUACGAUUUUGAACUAAUUUCCUAUUUCAAUUUGAUUGGGUAUCUCUUUUUAGUUUUUAUAAUAAUUAGGACGGUAUUUCACAAAGUUGGAUGUGAUCAGAUUCAUUGUGGAUUAAAAUUUGUGAGUUUGGAAUGAUUGGGAAUCAAAUACAAAACGGAAAUGGAAAUUCUAAAUAGUAAAAAAAAAAAACAAUGUAAGAAAGGAUUGGAUGGAAACUCAUUCCCCUCAAAUACGCCUAACCCUAUUAACAGUUUUUAAAUAAUUGCAACCAUCACUAAUGGACUCUCUCCAUCCUAAAUUCUUGCAACUAUUUUGGUCCCUACUUAUAUGGUUAAUAAUUAUUUACAUCUUACUUAUAUUUUUAUUUUGAAAUACUUCCAUUCAAAAUAUUAGUAUAUAUGUAACAAUAUUUUGAAAUUACAAAUAUAAUAGAAUCUAUCAAAGUCUAUUAAUUUUCAAAACAAGAUAGUUAUUUCGUAAAACCUAAAAUUUUUAUAAAUUACACACUCAAACUAAAAGUGUUUUCUCGAUAGGUUUUAGUUCUUACACUUCCUGUCUAUGUCUCACUUCAAAAUUAUUGGUUUGUACAUAAAAGAGCCUUAAAACAAGGUCCUUAUUACAUAAUUUUUCAUUUUUCUUUUUUUACAAAAGAGCUUAUUAAGUUUCAAUUUUUUUUAUUAACAUUAGUGGUUGACUCAUUAAUAUAUAUAUAAAUAAAUGUAAAACAAAGGAAAAUUUAAUGUUUGAUUAUCUCUCCCUUGUGCAGAAUGUUAAGGUUUCUUGCCAAUUAAUGAUGUUUUUUAAAUUGAUAAAACCUUUAAAAACCCUAUUCUUUCUUCUUCGUCAUCGCUCUUCCCCCAUUCUUUCUUCCUCCUCCUCUCUCUCUGUCUUCUUCUCGAUGGUGGUUGUAAACAGAACAGUGGAGCAUAGGGUGAAGCUCCUAGCAUCAAGCAUGGAAUGAAGUUUUCGAGGUCAUUCUUUGAUUGGUCAUUCAUUUGGUUUACAAUAUAGACUUUAGACGAGAUGAAGAUAGGAAGAAGAAGAAAAGAAGAUGGACAUAGAAUUCUUAGACAUAUGGUUAGUUUUCAAAAUUUGGUAACUUUUUUUGGAAAUGAAAACUAAAUCUCUCAAUUUGAGAUGAAUAGUACAAUCAAAAAUUGAAUUGAGUUUGGUCUAUUUCAUCCCUCUUAUAAGUUAAGUUGAUCAUAAUGUUUUAAAAAAAUUUACAUGGUAUGGUUAAGUUGGCAAGAUUUAAUUUAAAUUAUAUGCAGCGAUUAGACAUUUCUAAAUAAAAACAACUUAAGUAAUUUAAUAACAAUCUUUUGGAAAGAAAUGCAUUGUUUGUAUAAAGUAAGUUGAACAACAAUAAGAAAAUAAAAUUAAUAAAUAUAGGUGAUGACGAAUAUUCCAUUUUUUUCUUUUUGUUUUCUCUCAACUGCUCAGAUUUUAUUAUUAUUAUUAUUAUGUUUUUCUCAAAGAAUUAAGGCUGCACCCAACAACUUUACGAAGGAUUAAUAAAUGAUUAGGGAAUUAUUGUAAUUAAAAUAUCCACUAACAUCAACUUUUUCUACACUUAGUUAACUCAUAAUUUAAAAGUAAUUAAACAAGUUUUAAUCAUAUUGAAAUUAACGUUUGGAUGGUGACAUUCCUUCCCCCACAAAAGAUUAAUUAUAAUGUAUUUGAUUUAGGAGUUGAGUUCUAUAGCCUAAUAACAAAAUCAUGUUUGUUAUUUAAUAUCAAAAGUUUGUCUAUUUUUAAGUUAGAGAUUUGUUAAUUAAUCAUAUCUUAAAAUAAGGUUUUUAAUCAUACUUUUCACACAAAAUUUCAAAUUGUUGGUUGUAUCAAUUUAAAUUAUAAAAUAAUAAUUAUAUUAAUUAAAAUUAUGAAUUGUUAUUAACCAACCUUGAAAAAUAUUAAUAAGAACUAUUUUAUAGUAUAUAAAAAAAUCAAACAAACGUGUAUAUAAUAAUACUUUAAAAAAAAAAAAAGUUGUCAAAUACAUUUGACUUCUUAUCUUAAGAAGUUCAAUUUAGAAGUGGUUAAAUAAAAAUGGAUUUUUAAAAAUGUACAAUCUUUUUAGUUGGCCAAUAAUUUAACUAGAAUAUUUUUUAGACUUAAAAAUUAAAAUGUUGGAAACAAUGCAUAUUAGAAGAUAAAUAAAAUUAAAAUUUAAUCUUGAGGAGAUAUUCCUUUUAUUCCUCAAGUAUAAUUUGAUAAAAAAAAUAUAUAAUUUUUCAAUUGAAUUUAAGAUUAAAAUAUUAAUUUUAUUUCAAUUAGAAGUGAGCAUAAUACGGUAAAAAGAGUAAAUAAACUGCAAAUCAUAUAAGGUGACAAAAAUCUAUGAAAAUUAUUUCGAAACCUAGCAGAAUCAAAUCAUCAAAUUAUUAAACGGUAAAUCAAAUGAAAUUAAAUUUAAUCAAAUGUCUAUUUAAAAAAAAUAUUCAUCUAAUUUUUUUAAAGUUUAUUUUACAAUUGACGAAAGUUAUAUAAGAAAAUACUUCAUAAAGACAAGUUUUAAAAAUUCUCCACUUGAUGUUCAUACACUUGGAACACAAUUUUAUUCAACAAUCGCUACCCUAAACUUGCAUUUUAAAUACAAUUUCUUAAAUUCAAACUCCCUAAACCUAAAUCUAAACUCCAGAUUUAACGUUAUUUUAGAGUUAUCAUAUAUUAAAAUUAAAUUAACAUGUAAGAUAUUAUGUUAGGAUAUUAAUAAUAUUCUUGAGUUUCGAUUACGUGACAUUUUUUCCACCAACUAUUUAGUUAUCGUGGAAGUUUUUUGAAUUAUAGUCCCUUUGUAUAACAAUAAAAUGGAUAGUUAGUUUUGGUAGAACUUUUCAAAUUUAUAUUAUAGUCUAAUAAUAAAAUAACAUGAUACAAUCAAUGUCCACUUAAGAUGAUUCAUCAAAAUGGUCCAACAAAAGUUAGUGGAAGCGAAAUUGAGAAAUAGAAGACUCCAUUCUAAUUAAUAUUGAUAAUAAAGUAUCUUUGGAAGUCAUAUUCACCAACAAAAAAGAAAAGAGAAAGAGAAAGAGAAAAAGAAGACUGUGAUGUAUCUAAUACCCCCCUCCUUUUAUUCUCAUUUUCUUUAAGUAAACAAGGCCUACUCUAAUGAAUCAUUCUCAUUCCCUUUUGAAUAAACAAUCAAGUGUUGGUGCUGAUCAUGCAAGAGUCAUGAAAUAAUCAACAUAUAGUCUGCUAAUUAAUCGAGGGUGUCGGAGGUUUGAUCAACUUACUGUUAAGAGUGCGUGGAAAGAUUUGUGUUUUGGGCAUCCCAGAGUAUCUUGAUUGAGUUUUAACUGACUUGGGGAAAUAUUCCUCGCCUUUUCUUUUGUGCUUGGUUGGUUGUGCAGGAUGGACUGAGGACAAGGUAUUGGUUGUGUUAGAAUGGUAGAUGAAACUUGAGUGAGUAUUAUUAUAUUUGGGGAGUCUAAGCCUACGGAUCAUUUAUUCUUUGAGUGUGCUUUUGGACGUCAGGUGUGAGAUGCAAUUAUGAGUUCAACGGACUCUUCUAGUGGAAAGGGUUAUUGGACGAGGUUGAGUUGCAAUAGGCUUGUGUGGUUGGGUUUGGUAAGGGUAUCAAACAUAAGUAUUGUGACAUGCAUUAUGGUUUGAUGCUAUUUAUUUUAUGCGUGACAUGAGCUUAAUUGGUGAUGGCAUGGGAUCAAGCUCAUGAUACUUCUAUGAUUGUGGUUACUCUUCUUGAUAUUGUUUGUGUUCAUGCUACUUCUUAGCCUAGGAAUAUUUCUAGUCUGCCUUAGGGUUUGAUUUUUGUUUUCCCUAUGUUCUCUGUUAGUUUGUGUUUAUUUUUUUCUUGGCUUGUUCUAUGUGAUGUAUUGAGUUUGGGGUGUUCUGGUUGGGUGUUUUCUGUCAUUGUGGUGUGUUUUAUUUUGUGCCUUAGCCUCAGAUUGUAAAGUCCUUUUGUUGUUUUGUUGUAUAAUAUAUAUAUGUGUGUCCUUUUUAAAAAGAAAAUGAAUAUGGCUGGAAAUUCAUUCUCUUGGAUCCUUUUUAUGAACAAGGAUGCUUUCUUUCUUUCUUUCUUUUGUAUGAGACUUAGUUUUGCAAAUAAUAUUUGGUACCUCCAUCUUAAAAGAAAAACCCAACAAAUUAUUGAAUAAAUAAUAGAUCCAUGUUUCUGUCUUGUACAUGAUUUGUUUUAAUAGAGCUUUGGUAGGAUAGGAUGGACCACUUUCCCAUUAACAAAAUGAAAAGCAUAGUGAACUUAUUUAAUAAGAAUCUAAUUGAUACAUAAAUACAAAAUGUUGUUAUGUCACCCUAUUGGAUUUGAGAGCCUUAGUUUCUACCUCAUGCAUAAUUGAAUACACAACACAAGAGGUGAGAGAUAAAAGAUUAUAUCUUUUUACACAUCAUUUGUGCACCCUCCACGAGAACUAUGAUAGAAUUUAAAAUUUUGCUCAGCAUUAUUGUCAUUUAUAUCUUUGGAGUUGUAUUAAUUUAAAUCUCAAAUUAAUAGUUGUAUCAAACUAAACCAUAAACUUUUCUAGGAUGUGAGAUGCACGCUCGAGCUCUAUGAAGCCUCCAAAAAAGGAAGGGUUUGCGGCGCUAAAAGAUGAGGAGUUUUAUCUCAAUUUUUGUACAUGAACUUAAAUAAUUUUAUCAACAUAUUAUGUUUUAUUUAUGUACACUUAUGAAAGUUGAUGAAAUUGAUACAUUCAUGAAAGCUCAAACUUUAAAUUGAUACACUUAUAAAAGCUUAAGGUUUAAAUUGAUUUACAUAUAAAAAGUUUACGAUUUAAAAUGAUACAACUAUUAAUUCGGAGUUUAAAUUAACACAAUCCUCAAAAUUUAAAGUUUAAAUUGAUGUAAUUAUUUGUUUAAGGUUUAAAUUGAUACAACACUCAAAAUUUGAAGUUUAAACUUGAUAUUUACUCUAAUAUUUUUUUAAUUCAAUUUUAGUUAUGAAAUAUCAAUUUGAAGUUUAAAACUUUGAAGCUUAUAUUUUAAAUUUAGUAACAAAUUUUUAGAAUAUCUAUUUAAUAUUACUAGAAAACAUUAUUUUAAAUUUAGUAACAAAUUUUUAGAAUAUCUAUUUAAUAUUACUAGAAAACAUUAUUUUUGUUGCACAAAUGAAUAUUAUAUUGAAAUUUUUUAUAUCUAAGAGGUUGUCUAAUAGUUGAGUUAAUUAUUAUAGUACGUGGAUUAUAAAAGUAUAUAUUUAAGGUGCUUACUAUCUCAGUUAAAAUUAUAUUAGUUUGGAGGUUUAGUGUCCAUUAUUUUAGUUUAGGUCGUAUAGCUACAUUUGAUAUAGUAUAUAUUUAAGGUGGUUACUGUCUCAGUUAAAAUUAUAUUAGUUUGGAGGUUUAGUGUCCAUUAUUUUAGUUUAGGUCGUAUAGCUACAUUUGAUAUAUGUGCAUGUUAAUUGGAUAAGGGGUUAUCAGAGGUGAUUGUUAGAGUUAAUUAUUGAAGGUAGUUGUUAGAGCAAGUCAUUAGGGUGGUCGUGACCAAAUCUUAUUUGAAUUUAUGUUUAUGUUUAACUCGAGGACGAAAAAAACUAAGUUUGGGAUAAUCUAAUAACACUUAAUUAAAUAUUUUAUUUCACUCUACUUUAACUUGGGAUUGUUAGAUAUUUUAAUGUGUUUAACUGAUGAUUUUGUAGGUUUUAAGCACCUAAGAGGUAGAUCAAAUGUCUAGAAUGAAAAUACAAUUAAAACGAAUCAUUUGAAUCCCUACUGAAGUAACUAGGUUAAAGACAGUUGUGAGACGAUGAAUUUACCCCUAAAGGCCUCAUCCAAAAGCUAAAAACAUGAAUAGCAGUACGACAUUGUCGCAUUACUUAUUGGAUAAGGAAAAAAAGUCAUAACGUCAUGUCACUAUUCCGUAGGAUGUCAUGAGGUUGUGGUAAAUUAUGCCUUCGAGAAUUCAAAAGUUGACUUAAUUAUAUUUCUUUUCAAAGGUAGUAUGUCAUUCAACUCUCUUACAAAGUUUUAAACAAUGCUCUUGAUGUCAAUCAUACUAUCUCGAGAUACUUAUCCCUAUUGUCACUACCUCCCCCAAGGCUUAACACUAAGCUCUAUAUGUCUUAAAGUUUUUGAAAGGAUAAAAGUCCUAUGACAGCUGAAGAAUUUAAAGAACUAUUACUCAAAUUAAUUUGGAAAUCUUAAAAUACCAAUACAUUGGCAAAAUUUUGGAAUCAAAAUUCUAAAUCAAAACUAAGCAUGCUUUUAAAUUGAAAGAUACAAAGAACUUACUUUCGAUGACGUCUUUGAAUCUACAAAUCACCGAAUUAGAGACACAACUCGUCGAACACCUUCCUAUCCUCUAGAAUGAGAUUGGUUUGUGGAAACCAAUUGAGAUGGAAAAAUGUUUAGAGAUAUUUGAAAGAAAUUCGCUUUUUUCUGGAUGCAAUAUCUUCAAUUAAUUAAUACCUAAAUUAAAUAUAUUAUAUUUAACUUAAAUUAAAUUUGACUCAUAUUCAAAUAUAAGUUUAAUAUGAAUCCAAUUCACAUUAAAUUAAUAUUUGAAGUUAUUCAAAUGUUUUAUCUUUCAUAAAUUAAUUUUGAAUCAUAUCCAAAAUUAAAUUUAUAUAAUAAAGUUUGCAAAUUUUAUAUUAUAAUGUAUCACCAUACAUUAAACUAAUUCCCAAAAUAAUUUUGAACAUUUCAAAUUACAACCAAUGUAAAUAAAUCUCGUUAACCUUUACGAGCUACGAAGAGGACCUAAUGGACCUACAAAUCAGAACCUACAACAAUAUGAGAUUACUUGGCUAAACUCAUUAACCACAUUAAUCAAUAUUCGUUAAUUGUGUGUACACUCCACUAAAGACUCACUACUGAACUCUUCUCAUUGUAGAUAUAAUUUUGUGUCCACGGAUAUAGAUCAAUAACAGUAAGUUAGUCAUUCACGAGUGUUCGUGUAACAUCCCAAAAAUUAAGGAAAUUUUGAUUUUAAUUAUCUUGGAUUUAUUUAGGUGUUAUUUUUAGAUAAUUGGAAGUUUUGUUAGAUUUAGUGAUAUUUAAAGAUAUUGGUUGUUUAUAGUUAUAUAUAUAUAAUUUAUGGAAUAUUAAAAAUAAUUAUAUUAUGGGGAUAAUAUAACUAUUAAAGAGGAAUAAUUUUAAAUGAUUUAGUAUUUUAAGGAAAGAUAUUUGGAGGGAAAGAAAAAUAAUUAUAUUAUGAAAAAUAUAAUUAUUUUAAAAAAAUAUUGGAUUUUGGGAAAGUAAAAAAGGAGAUGAUUUGAUUGGAUAAUUAACAAGGAGAGAGGAAAAGUUGAUUGGUUUAUGAGAGAGAAAAGAAAAGAAAAGAAGAAAAGUUGUUAAUGGGUACUUAAGGUGGAGAGAGAUCUUUAUUUGGAAAGGCAAAAUGUGAAAGAAAAGUUAAUUAAAAGAUAUAAUAAUGAUAUUUAUUAUUAUUAUUAUCAAUAUUAUCAUUAUUAAAUAAGUCUCUUCUCGAUUAACAUGCACCGUCUCUUCUACCACAAUAAAUUCAUACUCACUUUUUUAAAUAUUUAAUUUUCAAGUAAGGGCAAACUGGCGAAUGAUAAGAAGUGAUCGUGGAUUGCCAUAGGGAAUAGUUCAGUUUUCUUCCGCAUUUGUAUUUUAGUAAUUAUAUUUUCAGAGGUUUAUUUCAGAACUUCGAUUCAAUUAUUUUAAGUAUUUCUUCUAUUUUUAUGGGCCCAAACCAGUAUUUUGAUUAGUUAUUUUAAUUAAUUAUUUAUUUUUAUUAUUUAAAGCUUUUCUUCAAUUUUUAAAUUAUAUUCUUGUAUAUUUAAAAAAAUAAAAAUCUAUAUUUAUUUAAAUAAUAAUGACCUCAACUUACUAGGAAAAUUGGGUCGUUAAAGUUCGUAACACCAGGUGGGUCAAUUUACCAUUUUACCCCUAUAUUACCUCUAAUCCUUAAAUACCAGUGCUCCUUCAAUAAACAACAUGUUCAUGGUCCUACCAAUAAACAGAAACCCCUCUCGUGCCAUAGAGAGGGUAGAGCCCUUUGUUCAAGACUUGGAGGAUACCAUUUAAGGGAACACUCAUCUACUUACCAUAAAGUAGGGAAUGAGUGAAUUUCAUCUUGUGUAAUUGUGUUUUCAGCUCCCAACUACGUCUUGUCCCCAAAAUGAUAAGCUUUUUGAGUCGAUGAUCUGGUCACUCUCACCCGUACAAAUCAAAGGACAAUUCCUCGCGAAUAGGAGUUCAUAACACACUCAGGAUUAAGACUAAGUUACUUAGGUCAUCUCAGUGAAAUAGAAACCUAACUAGUUAACGGAGUUGCAUCUAGUGGUUAUUAUUUCUCGGUCCGGUCUUAUGCAAACUUUGCAUAGGAUACCCUCACUUGCAUGUCAACUGCACAAACGCGUUAGAUCAUUGCAUUUGUAUCAAAUACAAAGUGAACUGUAUCAAUAGUGUUACCAGGAUAAGGUACCAAACCGUAUCCCUAUAUUAUAGACAUUUUAAGCUGAUCUUGAACAUUGAUCCCUGUAUGUCUCUACAUACUAUCAAGACUCAUUAAACAACUUAGGAUGCUAGUUUAUUGAAUUUGGGUUAUUAAGACAAAACUAAUAAUUUAAUCAAUAGCAAUUAUUUUUAUUAAUAACGGUCAAUGCAAUAUAUUUACAAUCUACGAGUUUUAGGACAUAAAUCCCAACAGUUUUAACGAUGUAAAACAUGUUGUUUAGCAACUUUUUAUAAUACUACCAGUGGACAUACAUUAAUUUUACUGAAGAUAUGCUCUAACUCGUUACUUAAUGCUCCUUGAGAUAACUCUUUGCUUAUGCUUACUUAACUUUUCCUUAGACGUUAUCUUAGCUUAACUUUAUUUUAAAAUGUCACAUGUUUUACUAAUCUUUAUUGCAAACAUGUUGAAAAAAUUCUUUGCUUAGUCUUCUAAUUAGACUUUCUUCUUAGCUUAACUUGUACAAUACUUAAGUCUUCUUAGCAAUCUUACUAAUAUUUAUUUUAAUACUUUCUCUUCUAACUCCUACACUUGAAUGAAUAUCUUUACAUAUAAAACAUGUUGGGUAUCUUACUCAAUUACACAUCUUCUUAGACUUAUACUUUGUACUUGAAAGCUUAGUUGGUAACUCAUGUUUAAUAACUAAGUAAACUCAUUAAAGGAAAUUAUGAUUUUUACAACUCAAAGCAUACUUUAAAGUUCUAUCUUAAAUCUCAUGUCUAAAUCAGAAUUCAAACACAUUCGAUCAUUCACCGUUUUAAGCUAUAUUCCUUAGGCAUCGUGGACUUACUCUUUUGCUUUCUUGACUUGUAAUUAAAGAAAUAAAUGCCUAAUUAAUCAUGUUAGCCCUUGAAAAUUUUAAAUUCGCUAAAUAAUUCCAAAAACACAAAAAUUGCCCAUUUGACACCAAAACAUAGGUGAGAUGCAGAAGGCUGCUCUGUGCAGGAUGACCUUGUGGGGGUGCCAGGCCAAUGCUAACCUCGCUUGCCCAAUUGCACAUCCACCAUGGCCGCUCCAAGCUUAGUUGCAAACCAUCCUUCGAGCGCAAGCCUUGUCACAUGACACAUGCCUCGCCGCAUGCAUGGCCAUGCACUAAGCUUUCCCAACGCCACACUGAAACAUGCUUUGCCUACCCUUUGCACGCCUCUUCCAUGCAUAACCUCCAAACGCUCAGUUAAUGCCCCUUGUAGUUGCCAAGAUGUCCCAACUUCGUAAGUAAAAUCCAAAAUUUACUUUCAACUUCUAAAAAUCAUAACUGAAAAUCCACUCCUCAAAACAAAAAACUUCCUUCUACAAAGUUCUUAAAAUCUUCUUAACUAUCGUACCUCAAAAUUGCAGCUCAUAAUUCCAAGCAUUGAAUUCUCUAACUUUGGAUCAUUGAAGAUUGAUAUGGAAUUGCUCUAAAACCGAUCCUUCAUGUUGUCCAUCAAUAAUUGAGUUCUUUUCCAGAAUUUGAUAACUUGUAGAAAUACAAGUUAUUGAGGUCUUUUAGGUAAAAUAAUGGGGUUAAAACGAAAAAUAAAGAACCAAAACAUGUAGCUUUUAGUGAAAAUUUAUAAUGUUAAGAGAAUGCACCUUACAUAAGUCAUCAUGCCUGAUUAACUAUGCUUUUGAAGUGUUUUUACAAGCAAUAUGGCGAAAAGAAGAAAUGAAGCAAAUCGUAAGAAGAAUCACGUGCAAGAACUUAGCGAGAAGCCACUGCCUGGUGAUUUACAUCAUGAGACAAGAUGCCAACACAUCACGCCAUAUGAUCCGCUAGAAGACAAGAGUGGUAGUUGGAGUUGAUGUGUCAAAAAACGACUACUUUCUGUGUUGACAUUUAUAGGCAAGGACGAAUGUGCAACAUAGGCAGAAUGAAUGUGCAACAUAGCGUAAUUAAUUUCUUGCCUAAGUAUAUGCCUACAAGAGCCUCCAACUCCACCAUGAACAAAGAUCAAAUAAGGUCCUCCCAUAAGGAGGUCGGUGGAAGGAUAGGUUUUAGAGUCACUUUCCCAUAUGUAGUAGUAGAUAUUCUUCCACCUCUUCUCCGGUUAACUUCUGAGUGAGAGCUUAGAGAGAGAUUAUAAAGAGAGAAGCUUAUCCACCAUUACCCUAACUUGUAAAAGAGCCAAGGAAUGCAUGAAAAUGCAAUCUAUGACUCGACUCAUUUUUUUUUGUUUCCAUUUUUGUAUGUUGUAAUGUGUUGUUUGAUUGUAUUAUUCUCAUGCCCGCGAGGUCUACAUUUAUCAAUACAAUGCCUAUUUUAUCCACUGUCUCUCUUUCAUCUUUUUACUAUUCACCAUCUUGUUCAAGUGUUUUAAGUAGUUUAAGUAUGUGCUUAUGUGCUUGAUAAGGGUUCUUUAAUUAUAAGACUCAUCUUGUUUAGCCUAAGCUUAACUCAAUCGCCUGAUCAACACUUGUCUCCAACUGCUUGAGAGAGUAAGUUGCAAAGACCUUGCUAAACACGUGUAAAAAGGAGUUUAAAAACAAACUUCGUUCUGAUAUUUUUCCUCCAAUCAUUUUUGUCCCGAAAGGAGGACAAGUGUGGUGUUUAGGCGCUGAGAGGUUGCUCACCUUAAAUGGAGAGGAAAUAUGAUGCUUAUAAGUAAGGAAACCUAGAUAUAUAUCACUUGAUCUAUCUUUGCCAUCUGUGUAUCGAAAAGAUAACAAGUGUGGUGUUUAGACGCCAAGAGGUUGCUCGCCUUGAAUAAAAGAUGGUUAAAUGAUCUAUGUCGCAUCAAGGAUAUCUCGCAUGACUUAGAUUGCCUACAAUGGAGAGACGUGUGAGUCUCUCUUUCACUUGAAGUUAUCUUUACUCUUCACUUAUAAAUUUCCAUCACUUGUGUAACUUAGGUUCCCCUAAGUUAAUGAGAAAUCCCUUUUUAAUUGAGUAAACUUUAGGCUUUCAAAAAAUAAUGCACUGUGAUCGGAUUCAACAUAGUCUUCAACAAAUUACUCACAAAAACAACUACCACAUAUAUAGAUAAAUGAAAUCUUUGAAUAUAAAACUUCUCUUUUAAGAAUAAUGAAGAACAAUUCAAAACAUAUGUGACAAACCCCAACAAUCAAUAAAAACAUGUGCUUAAAUAGCACAUUCGAGAAAGGAAACAAUCCACGAAAAGAAUUGACACUACACUAAAAAAGGAAAACACCCUAACAUAAUCAAAUUGCAAAAUAAAGUAACAAGGACAAAAAAUAUUAGGUAGGAUCCACAACUUCCAGAACAACUGCUAGAACUGAAACAAAUUUUGAGACAACUAUGAAAACAGUUGGACAACAAGCUAGGAAACAAGCAAAAUAUAUUUAACCAAUUUCGAAGACGCCGACACAAAACACCCUUAAAAAUAGUAUAAAUUUAAAUUAGGUUUCUAACCUACAAAAAAGGUUACAUUUUUAUUUAUAAACUUUAAUUUUUUAAAAAAAAAAUAAUUUUGGAAAUGUCUUUUAUUUCGGUUAAAACAAGACGGAAAAUGAUUUGAUGGCUAUAAUUUGCAAGCACUAAAAAGCAAACGAGAAUCAUUUACAACAAUACAAGGGACACUUGCAAAAAUGGCAAAACAAGUUAUAAUAAUUAAGUAUAUAGCACACAUACUUUAUUAUUUGUGAAAAUGACAAAAACAAAGUCUAGGCCACACUUCAAGAGGUCCAAUGUCACAAAUGUCCUCAUUACUAAUAUACAUUUGGUACACCUUAUACACGUCUGAUGCACCUAAUACCCUUUGAUACACAUGAUACUUCUUGAUACACAUGAUACAUUUGAUAGUUACACUUUAUGCAUCUGAUACUCUUUGAUAAACUCGAUACUUUUUUAUACACACCUGAAACAUCUUGAUACACAUAAUACUUAUCGCUACACUUGAUUCUUCUUGAUACACUUGAUACUCGUUAAGCCUUUAUACACUUUAAGGCUUCACUUAUAAGUUUGAUACACUUAAUACACCGCUAAUAAACUUGUUAUGCUUCAUUGGUACACUCAACAAAAUUGAUACAUUUGAUGUACAUGAUAUGUUUGAUACACCUGAUGCACUUCAUUGGUACAUUUAGUAUUCUUCACUUAUACAUUUGAUUGAUUAAAUACACUUGAUAUGCUUGAAGUCCUACUUAUACAUUUGAUAUAUACUAUUGAUAUACACUUGUAAACUUGAUUCAUAUACUUGAUAAUGAUUUACUUUACUGAUAUGCUUUAACAAUAUAUUGUUGAUAUACUUGAUAAUGAUACACUGAGUUAUAUCAUUAAUAUACUUAAUAAUACUAUAAUCAACUACAUAAAAUUUGAAAGAAAAAAAAUCACGUAGUAAGUAUAUCGACCAACUAAUACAUAUAAUAUAAGUAUAUCAAAACAUUGAUAUACAAAAUUGAGACAAAGUAAAACUAAAACAAAAUCAAUGUAAAAAAAUAAAACAAAAUUAUUUGAAAUGAGAUUCAAUUCAGAAUGCACAUCGAAGAAAGUAGAAAAAAUAAAAUAUGAAGUUAAAUUAUUCUGAUCAACAACUAUUAUAUUUCAUAUUGCAAUUAUUGUACUACUGAUAUUCUAAAAUCAAGAUUAAGACAUAAAUAACAAAUAGUUUUUCUCGUAUAAUAAUAAAUAAAUAACUAUGGCCUUAAAAAGUGGGAGAAUAAAUAAAUAAUGAGCGAAAAACAAGUUAUUACAGGGUAGUUUAGGAAUAAUAACAAAUUUAAGAUGAAAAGUAUUUUUAUAAGUAAAAUUUUUGUCAUAUUUGCAAAAUUCUAAAACACUGUGAUAUAUUUGUUAUAUCAUAUUUUCAAAAUGCUACCAUCUACAAUUUCUCGUAAUACAAUAUCCAUAUACUGAUUCAAUAAGCAGUGUUUGAAAUUGUCAAAAUGAGUUUGGUUUAGUAGUAUUAGCAUGACUUCCAUUCCAAGAGGUUGGAGAUUUAAUCCACACUCCACAGUUGUUGUCCUAAAAAAACUAGUGUCUAAAAUUUUAUUAUAUAAAUGAUUUUAACAAUAUUUGUUUAGUAGGACGACUGCCGAAUAUGAAAUUGAACUUUUGACUUCUAGAAAAGAAGAUGAAACAAAUUUUUGUUAAACCUAAGUUAUUUUAAUGAUAUGAACGAUAUUUUCUUCACUAAAAUAAAUGAUCAUAUUGAUUAGUUUUUUAUAUAGCUAUAAAUAAAAAGAAACAUUUUCAAAUAUAAUAUCAUGAACUAAAAUAUUUACAAAAUAUCUUAUUAGUGUUUACCAUAAAUAAUAUCUAAAAUUUUACUAUAUUUUAUAAAUAUUUAGCCGUUUUUCUAUUUACCAUAGUUUUUUCUAAAGAAUAUCAUAUACGUUUUUUAACUUUUAUACAUCAAUGAAAAUAUUUCCAUCUCAGAAAGUUCAUUUUUUACUGAGGAAUUGUGAUAAAUAGUAAAAAAUUGAGACUAUUUACAAAAUAUAGCAAAAGAAAAAAAAACUCGAACAGACUAUGAAAAAUUUGAUGAUUUUGUUAUAGUUUGUAAAUAGUUUCAAUUUAUGUGUUAUAUUUGAAAAUGCUCAUUUUUUAUUUUAAUGAUAAAAUAUAUUUUUUAAUGGUUUCGGAUUCAAAGACACAAAUAUAUAUUUUCUGUUGAGUUAUUUCUAACUGUGAAUAUAGAAAUAGAACUUCGAAAAGUUUUACUUUUACAUUUUACACUCAUGCUAUAAAGAAAGCUUUAACUCAAAAUUGAAGUGUAAUUUGUAAAAUCUAAUCUGUAUUCUUUUUGAAUAGACAAGUUUAGGAAGUUUAUAAUUGCAAUCAACUUAUCAUAAAUGUUAGUAAUAAUAUAUUUAAAAAAUAGAAAUGAGAAGUUGUGUACAAUUUAUUAUUUGACCUUUCACUACGUAAAAGACCAAAAUAGGGAUAUAAAUCCAAAACCCCUAACCUAACCUUUCAAGAAACCCAAAGGGAAUCCGUCAUUUCCGUAGUGUUGCAAAAUGCAAAGGUGUUUUCCCAUUCUUUCACUUUCAUUCAUUCACUUUAUAUCCGAUUACUUUCAAUUCUUAUAAAUUAAUUCAAAUAUCAAAAAUUGUGAUUCAAAUUUUAUUUUAGACAUACCUCAAUUUAUGAUCACUACUUGCAAGUUUUUUUUUUCUCUUUUGAGGGUAUGGAGUUUAUAUUUAUUUUAUAAAAUUAACUUUUUUAAAAAUGUAUAACCUUUCUAAGUUGGAUCAUCAUACAUACGAAUUGAAAAAGUUACAAAAAGCUAUAUAAAUUGAAAUGGUUACAAAAGGCCAUGACAUAUCCUCUCAUAUAUUGGUGAGAGUUGGAUCAUAUAUAUGAAACAACACCAUUUAACAAUGGAGAUAUGUUUGAAUGAAAAACUACCGUCUUCGUCUCGCUACAACUAUAUUUAGGUCAAAUUAGUGUAUAUUGUUUUAUGCAUGUGUGUGGUUUAAGUUAUAGAUAUGACAUAUCACUCUCUAAUGAUGAAAGCAUUUUUCACAAACAACCACAUCAAUUUUCUGCUACAACUAUUUGGAUUAAAAUAGUUCAAACGAUAAAGGUGAUAUAUGUUUUGUACGUGAAUAUGAUUUAGAUCAAAAAUAUGAAACAUUAAUAUUGAGAUAAGUUAAAAGUUUAUUAAAUGUUUAAUUUAUUUCUACUAGAAUAAUUGAAAGUUUAUUAAAUGCUUAAUUUGUUUCUCUUAAAAUAAUUACAAAUGGUUUAGUUAAAACAAUGUGAAAUAUUACUUCAUAAUUAGAUUUUUUUUUCUUCUAAAAACAAAGUACUAAUUUUUUAAUUAGAAGAAAAGAAAAGUAAAAUAAUAAUAAUAAUAAUAGAAAGAGAAGUUUACUUUUGAUAUGUAGUGGAUUGAUUUGAUAGGGAGUGGUGAUAAAUAAAUGGAUGGGACGCAACAAAGUUCAAACUACUUGCCCUCAUGUGGCUUUGUCCCUUACUUACUUACCAUUGAUAUUUGUGAGUGAGCCCACGCCAUUGUCAUCUCAAACAAAUUGCUCUCUCUAGGUUGAGUGUUUUAUUUGUUCUUUUCCUCCAUGGAAGUCAUCUGUGACAAAAAAUGGAGCCACUUGGCACUGCAAAAUGGGAGCCAACCGGCUGAAUUAAAGCUUUAUUAUUAUUAUUUUGAAGCAAAGGCUGAAUUAAUUUGGCUCCUAAUACCUUCUUUUUAAGUUCAAUUUUACAUGAAAAUAUGAGUUAGGAUAUCAAAUUGUCUACCAAAUAAUCUGUGUGUUUGUCUCUGCUCAUAUCAAUAAUUACUUACUGUCUACACAUAUCAAUAACCAACUGUACACUUGCUCAAUAGAUUUUGAAAUUGCUAUUGUUUCAUAUCAUUCUAACUUUAAUACUCACCCUAUCAGAGCUUAAGAAGUUAUAAUGUCCUACAAUCAAAAUUUGAAAUUGAGAUUUAGAUUAAAGUUGUUUUCACACGAACUAACACAAGUUCUUGUACCAUAUUUUGUUCUCGCUCACAUAUUUUUUGAAAAAAAUCUCAAAAUAUCACCUAACAUAGAAUUUCUCUUCCAAAGCUAAACAUGUUUAACUUUGACUGAGCCACAUAAAAAGAAGGUGCACCGUACUAGUUAUAGAUAGUAAAUUUUAAUUCUUUUAUGCAUUUUUUAACUAUAUUUUCAUGUCUUUAGAAUCCUCCUCAUUCGAAUUUAAUCUUGAUUCAUCUACCUCUCUUCCUAAACAACUUGUAACAUUACAUAAACAAACUCAUAAUGGACUGUAUAGAAGAUAAAAUAAUCAUGAACGUAGAACUCGAUAAAAGUGAUACAGUGUACAAAUUGAUUUCGGAUGAAAUCACAUAAAGACAUAUGAGAUAGGGUUGCAAGUGUGUUGUAACCAAUAACCAAAAGUGAAUUUGUUUGCUCUUUGUUUUGGAAAAACAAAGACUUCAAUAAAUAAGAAAAGUUGCCACAUGGGUAACAUGCCAAGGAAACUUCUCAACAACAAAACUACAAAGACAAAGAACUCCCACCUCCUUUGAGAAUUAAAGUUAGAGAAGACAUUGAAUCAAACUAGAUGAGACAAGUGUUUUUCCCCUCUUUGGGCAUGACACUAAUUAGAUUCCACAUACUUACGUUUUAACAUUUUGCAUGCAAUAUAUAUCUUAUCCUUGGUCCAUGACAUAAACACUAUGUACUUUGUUUAUACCUUUAAUUUUUGGUAUGUUGUAUUCAUUAAAAUAUAUCAUAUAUUAAUAAUUGUAUAUCAAUUGGCACAUUGUUUUUCAUUUGAAAAGCAUAAUGUUGUAUAAGAUUGGUACAAAUAUUGUUAGAGGGGAGAAUAUGGUUUUGUUAAGAGUGUUGGUCCUACUUCCUUUAUUUAGUUAUUCUUGUUGGAUUGAGUUGUUUUAAUUAUGCUAUUAUCUUGGUUGUUCGAUUAGGUUUGGUCCUAUCUUUUAGGUUGCUACUCACGGUUGGUUUUUGUAUUUUAUUUUGUACAGGUUGGGCUUAGGUGGUGUGUAGAAACUUAGAGUAACUUGAAGAAACUGAAGGCAUCAUUCUUUAGACGUCGAUGAAUUGGAGAUUACAGUGAGUGUAUCUCCUAUGACAUAUAAAUUCUCAACAACUAUGAUUGAAGAGGAGGUGAUCAAGUGGGAGCUUGACAGAGUUAUUGUUUGGUACUUCAGGUUCAGGAGGAGUUUUUUUUUCUUAGUGUUAAUUGGGUGCAAUUAUGAGAUUCUAGCACGUAUGAGACCAGUGGGUGCUAGAAUCACUCAAAUCACCUAGAUUCUAACACACGUGGGACUUGUGGGACCAGUUUUUCUCUCAAAUCCCGGGGGAGCUUUAGAGAGUUAGUGUUAAUUGAGCAAUUAUAGGACCUUAUGAGAUUCUAGCACGUAUGGGACCAGUGACUUAUUGUUGGGCAUGACCAUCAUUUAUACAGUGUUAUAACUGAUAUUUCAAUUAUAAAUUAAUAAAUAUUAUUACUUAACUUAUUUUAUAAUUCUAAUUAUUAUUCUUUAUAUAUUUAUUACGUAAAGAAAAGUCUUGGGGCAAUAAGUGACUAUUCUUGCAAAAACCCUAGUUAUUUCCUCAUUUUCAUAUGAGCUAUCAUUUUCCUUUUAAUUUCAUUCUUAACUCAAGCGAGCACGCAUGAGUUGAGAAAGUUGUGUUAACCUUGGGGAGCAAUCGACAUAAACAAUUUAGCACUGAGGUCGCGUUGAAUUUUGCUUUCAGGACAGUGUAUCAACACGACACAACUAUGAUCAACAUUUGUUUUUCCAACAAUUGAAAGCAAAAUUCUCAAAUGUGAUCAAGCCGAACCCUCAUCCUCAAAUCACGAUGCGGCUACCGUUUCAACCGCCGGUUCCAUUCAAUUUUUUAUUGAGAAUGUAACAACCCAACUCUCCUACUAAGCUGGAAUCAUUAUAUUUAAAUAAGUAUAAAGUUUUUAUUUUUUUUAAAAAAAAGAAAAUACUAAAAUUUAAUUGAACAUUUUAAAUAAUUAGUUAAAAUAAUAGUAAAAUAUAUAUAUAAAGAGAGAAUGAAACAAUUAGUUAAAUAAUCAAAAUACUAUUGUGGGCCCAAAAUAUAAUUAAAGAAAAGACUUGAAAUAAACAUGAGUUUCUAAAUAUAAAUUAGUGAUGAGUGCGGAAGAAACUUGAACUAUUCCCUAUGACGAACUAUGAUCACUUCUUGUCAUUUGUUGGCUUGCUUUUACCUGUAAAAAUUAAACAUGUAAAAGAAUGAGUAUAAAUUUAUACCCAGUAAGGGACCCACUAUUAGUCCCGCUAUGUGUCUGUUAACAUCCCGUUAGAAUUUUAUAAUAAAGUACCUCUUACUAUUGUGCUCCCGAACACACGCUAUCCAACGGUCCCGUAGGGACACAUAUAGGCUCUCGGUGAAUCGAAGAAAUCACCCUAAAGGAGAGUCGGGCUGUAUGUGACCCCGUCGAAUCACACAUCAAAUUAGCCAUACAGGCAUACAUAGGUGGUGAUCCCAAGUGACACCCAUAUGGUUACGACUCUAACACGUGGAAUUAACAAAACACUAUCGUCUAUACAUAUAUAUCAUAUCAUCAAUAUCACAACUCAGUCAUACAUAACUCAGACAUAGCACAUUUAAUCAUAGCAUGCCUCAUUCAUACUGCAGCUCAAUCAUAAUAUGGAUACCGAAGUAACCAUUAUAAGGUCAUCUUAAAUAGUCAUAAUAUACCUCCAAUCAUAAUAUAUCUCCCUUAGCAUACUACUGAGUAAUAUAGUAAUACAUAACAUACAUUCAAAGUAAGGUCUAAUAGGAAAAUCUCUUACUUGGAGAGAAAAUCUCUUACUUGGAGAUUUGCCAAAAAUAAUAAUUCACUGACUAACAGUCAAAUUCUCCCAAUACUCAGUCCUAAACAUGAACAAAAUUAAAAUUAAUAAUUUUGCUAACUAUCACCCUACUGUUUAACUAAGCAACCAAGCCUAUCCAACCUUACCCCAAUAUUAAGGUUGAACCCAACACAACCUUAAAUGGAAAAUUCAGAGUCUCAAUUUCUUCAACUACACUUUAACCUUCAAGCAACCAUAAAUCAACUUAUUCCAAAUACAAUUUCAUUUAAGAUCAAAAAAUAUUUUAAUUGGGUGUACCAAACCCACACUACUCACCCCAAAGGCUCAAAAGGUUGCAAGAGGCUAAACUUGAAGAGGGCUCGGCUCGGACGUGGCUUGGUGAAGGAUCUUCGGCUAGGACACAUGACUCAACUAAGGAACGGCUCUGGUGCGACUCGGUGAAGAGGGACGCGUGCGGCUGGAGAGGGCUCGACUGCGAUGGGCGACGAGGCUUCGUCUAAAGCUUGACGGAGAAGUGUGGCCGGUGAACGACGAGCAUCACUAGUGGCACUCUUCAACGGCGGGGCUGCGACGAAGAAUGGAGCUGGAGGGAUGCGGAUGAACGACUGCGGCGGGACGGGUUCAACUUUGGCAACCUAGUGUAAAAUGACUCGCGACGUUCUCGGCUAGUUGACAGUUCUUGUCUCCGUCUGAGCAAGUGACAAACGAAUUUGGAUUUAAAAUAUAUGUUUACAAAGUAAAUAUUUAUAAAACAAUAGUAAACUACACUUCACAGUGUAUCUAUAAUAUACAGUGUGAAUAUCAUACAUAUAUAUUAUCACUUAAUACACAUAUAUACCACUUCAUAUACACAAUAACACAUGUAUAAUGAUAUACAGUAAGACCUCAAAAUUUUUCCUACGGUAAUUUUUAAAUUAACAAUAUAUGCUUUAAUAUUAUCACUUUAUAUAUAUUUUAAAAGAACAAUAUAUACUUUAAUAUAUCCGUAAAAUAUAAUAUUUUUGUUAUGUGAUUUAGUAUAUAUAUACACCAUCUUAUUUAUAACAUUAAUAUUUAGUGACAUAUAGGUCACUAUCAGGUCACAUUUUUCGCUUGUAUGGUAAUGUUGUCAGUUGGAAAGUUACCCUACAACUAGUUGUUGCUUUGUCGACUACUAAGUUAGAAUAUAUUUCUCUUGGUGAAGCAGUGAAGGAAGCAGUGUGAUUGAAAAGAAUUGUUGGGUGAGUUGUUACCGCAAGAGUUUAUUCCAAUCAUCCAUUGUGAUAGCUAGAGUGCUAUUCAUCUUGCGAAAAAUCCAUAUCAUCAUGAACGGUCUAAGCAUAUCGAUGUCAAAUUUCAUUAUAUCAGAAAUGUUAUUGGUCAGAAAGAUGUUGAACUGGUCAAAGUUCAUACCGUUGAGAAUUUGUCAGAUAUGUUAACCAAAGUUCUUCCAACUCAUAGGUUUAAAUACCUAUUAGAUGAGCUGAAUGUUAAAUCUGGAUGAUAGGGGGUUGGGAGAAUCAAUUUGGUGUGUCUUAGAUAGCUUGUCAUGAGGGAGAUUUGUAGAAAAAUGACAAGUAUUUAAGGGUUUGAAAAAUGGUAUUUAAGUUAAGAGUAGAGUGGUAAUUUGCCUUUAUGGCAAAUUUGUAAUUAUUUACAUCUUCUUCCUUAGGUUUUUGAAAUUAGACGAAACAAAAGGGGGGGAAACGUGAGGCAGCCGACAGUCACAAAAGAGAGAAAAAAUUGAGAGAGUGAAGCAACAAUCGACGGGUUAGAUACAUUCGGCGUUCGACGGAGCUUAGCCGUUGGCGACUUUGAGGCAGUGGUGUUUCAGUUUUAGUUCGGCGUCGGGGUCCGUUGGAGUCAUAUUAGGCCGGAAUUGGGUCUCUGUCUAAGUGGUUUCAGCGUGGGUCUCUCGUAUACUCUUGGAGUUUCAGUGGACGGUAUAGUCAGUUUUGUCGUGGUUGAUUACAGAUUACUUAUUGUGUUGAACUGUGUAAUUGUAUCCUAUUUUGCUCUUAACAAAAUCUCUCCAAGCUGGUUUUCAAAGUGGAUGUAGACCGAAUUGGUCGAACCACUAUAUAUCAUUGUGUUUACUCUUUUAUCGCUUUGUGUGUAUUCUGAAUUGUGCGUUCUAUUUUGCAUCGUUCUCUAUUUAGUCCCGAAAGUAUAACAAUACCCUCUUGGAUCAAGUUUAUACCUUACUGUUGAAAUUUUACAACCACACACAUAUAUGCAUCAUGUAUUUUAUGUAUGUAAAUCAUCUAGAAGAAAUAAUGCUUUCUUAUCACCAUUGGAGGAUGUAUUUGUAUAUUCCAGUGGCUGUACUGUUUUUAUCAUAUGAGGUCAAGACUUUUGAUAAUACAAUUGCCCAUCACUGGUAUGUAUGCUCUAUAUCCACUUCAUUAUAAUUAACAUACCAAGUGUGUUGGAUAAAGGCUAUUUACAGAAGUUUGGUGAUCAUGUUUCUUGACUUAGAAUUUAUUAUUUUGUGUGUUGUAUUGCCAUUAAUACCACAAACUAAAGGGUUGAUCAACAAUUAGAAUAGACUUUCAAAUUGGAGAGUAAAUAUUGGGUAGAAUAAAUUUAAAGAAUUGAUGAUCCAAUUAAAUUGUCAUAUAUGUGACAAAGGAAUUGGAUUUCUCUUGUGGUUUUGGUGAUUUAUUCCACAAAAUGCCUCCAUUUUCUCUCCUUCAAAUCACUAUAUUGUUUAUUUUUUGUGUAAAAUGAAAAACUUGUUGAGUUGAUUCUUUACUAUGGUUUGGCCUUCCUAUAUAGUUUAAGACUCAACAAUGUUUCAAUUUUUUUUAUACAUGAUAUGGGAAUUUGACAAUUUUAUUUCAUAGCUAUAUUUGAGCAUGAUAUUCAAUAUAUGCUUGAUAAAUUUAUGUUAAAUAUUUAUUGGCAAGCAUAUUAGUUUAUAGUUAUUGUAUUGCUAUUAAUACUAUAAAUGGAAUGUCGUUGUGAUAAAUUUGAGUUAGUCAACAAAAUGACACUGUUGAACUUUGGAAGUGUGAAGGUGUCAACCUAAGGUAUCAUAUUUUGUGUUCAAGAAAUAUUUAGUAUGAUUAAAAGCUUUUGACUAUUUUUAUUGAUUAUGCUCACAAUAGUACCACAUAUAGAUUUAUAAGUUUAAAUAAUAAAUCAAUUUGUGAAUACUGAGACACUAUUGUGAUCUACUUGAACUUGUCUAUUAGCAUGUUAGUAUGAGUAGAAAUAUUUAUCAAGUAUGUUAUAUUUGACAAAGUUUAUGUAUGACUUACGUCAUGAAUUGUUAAGUUUGGUAGUACAACAUCAUUUGCAUAUUACUAAAGUUGGCUAGUAGUAUGAAAUAUGCAAAUUCAUUGUUUCUGAAGCUCAUAAGAUUUUAUGGAAGUUUAAGAUAUUGUCUAAGCUAUCAAAUAUGUGAUAUUUUAUAAGGCACGAGGACUUAUACCUUAAGUUGUCCCUAUAAGUGGUCUCAUAGUCACAUCGUUCUUGGUUUAGCUUUGUUGAUAUAAAUCUCAGGUCGAACAAAGGUGUAGUGAAACCUUAAUUAAAAGCAGUAAUGUUGUUAUCCAUGGUUGAGCUAUAUUGAAUAAGCAAUAUGUUCUAGAGAGGAGUUAACCUAUCUACACAAGUGUUAAAUGAAUGAGUGUCUAUUUUAGGGGAGGUUCAGUUGGAACUUUGUUUGAGAAAAGGAUCGUUGGGAAUGCGACCAAAGUCUCACAUUAGAUAAAAAAAAAACUGAUCAUAAGUACACAGGUGCAACUUUAGACUUAUCAAAAAUAUUUUGAAUCAAACAUGGAAUUUAAAAUAUUUUGAUUCUUGUUAUGACUAAAUUAGCCACCGUAGAGCGCCUUCAAAGCUUUUAUUAUAGUUGUAUGUGGUCCUCUAAAAGUGUAUGUAAAGAUGGUAGUCCUUAUUGGUAACUAGUCAAAUUUCUUUAUGAUCUUUAACUAGUUUUUGAAAGUUUAAUGAGAAAAACUUUAACAACAUUUUAGUAAACAAUGUCAUAUGAACAGAAGUGAAUUAUUGAUAUAUGUGUUUACUAAAAGUUGUUUGGAGUUGAUUGUGUGAUUAUAUGUUUGUAUGUUGGUGUAAUUUAUGUGAUACAAAUAUAAACGUUAGUAAUAUUAUAAAGUUAUCACAUUUUGAAGUGAAAGAUUUAUGUGAGACUAAAUUAAAUGUAAGGCACUUAGUACUAUUGAGAAUAUUUUUAUUUAUGUCAAUCACACAUUGAAUGCCAUUAAAGAGAUAUGAUAUUUUAAUGAUGCUCUUGUAAGAACAUCUUAUGAUGCUAGUUUGAGCCUCAAGGAAAAUAAAUUAAUGAGAUAGUGUUUCUCAAUCCGAAUAUGUAAAGAUUAUAGAAAGUACUAUGUUUUGAUAAACUGUAUACAUAUGUGUUAUUGCAUAUGUUGUGAGAAGAUUGAGUACAUAUAUACACAUAAUUCUGAUUAAGAUUAUUUUAUUGCUCUUUGUCAUUUAUUGAGAUAUCUUAAGGUUACAAUAGAUUUUGGUUUGCAUUUUAAUUAUUGUCUACCAUACCUAGAGAGGUAAUGUAUGCAAACCAGGUAACUUAGAAUGACGAAGUAAGCUUUACCAGUGGAUAUGUGUUCUUAAUGAAAAAUGUAACAUUGUAUGGGGACAUGAGUAUGAAUGAUAUAGAAGCCUAAUGCAGGUGUACCAUUGUGGGGGCUCUAUACCAGUAUAAUUUUAUUAAGACUUAUACUCUAUGAUACAGAAAUUUCCAAGAAUAGUAUGUUAUGGCAAUAGAAGGCAUAUUCGCCUAAAACAUGGAGUUGUGAAAUGAUAGUUAAACAAAAGAACCAUCUUCUUGAAGUUGAGGAACUUUGUAAAUCAUUUCUUCAAAGGCCUAACAAGGAGAGUAAUUCUAGGAUUUUCAAGACUUAAACCUUUGAUGGUCCAUAGCCCUUUAUUUGAGUAGUCUAUUGCGAUAGACUUGAUGUCCAUAGCCCUUUAUUUGGGUGGUCUAUUCUGAUAGACUUGAUGGUCCAUAGCCCUUUAAUUUGAUGGUUUACUGUGAUAGACUUGAUGGUUCGUAGCCCUUUUCAGGGUGGUCUACUACGAUAGGCUUGAUGGUCCAUAACCACGUGUGGGCAAUCCUUAAAUGAAUUUGACGGAUGAAAUUAAGACCUUAAUUUGAAAAUUCCAUAGCCCUUCUUUGGGUGGUCCUGGUAUGGACUUGAUGGAUGAUUGUAAGUCUUCAUAGCUCAGUUUUGAGUGGUUUGUCUUUGACAGACUUGAUGAAGUUGGUCUUGAUAUGGACUAGAUUUGAAGCCUUCAUAGCUCAGUUUUUAGUGGUCUAUGGUGAUAGACUUGAUGAAGCAAUAAACGUGAUUGUGAAGGUGUAGCUGUCUUCUAUGAAAAAAAUUAAGUAUCUUUUUCUAGAGCUUUCACGUUGAUCCGAGGUUCUAUAUGCAUGGCCUUAAAUGACACAAUUUUGAGUAGUCCAUUGUGAUAGACUUUAUUGUGGAAUCAAUGGAAAUUUAAGAAGUAAAACGUGUUGUGGGAGUCUCAAUCGUUGUUAUCAAAAGUUGAAAAGGUAACUUACUUUCAAUAAUUUGGAUUGUUGCCCCACCUCACUGCGCAUCAAUUCAAAUAAAAAGAUAUUGAUAUUUAAGUUUAUACUACUUCUUUCUUUGCUCAGAGAAAAUCUUUCCUUACUAUUUUAACUAGAAUGCAAUGAUAGUCAUUUGUGGGGAUUGUUGGGAAUGACCAUCAUUUGUACUUGUUUUAUAAUUGAUAUUUCAAUUAUAAAUUAAUUAUUAUUAUUUAUUUUAUUUUAUAAUUAUAAUUAUUAUUCUUUAUAUAUAUAUUACGUAAAGAAAAGUCUUGGGGUGAUAAGUGCUUAUUCUUGCAAAAAUCCUAGUUCUUUCCACAUUUUCAUAUGAGCAAUCAUUUUCCUUUGAUCAACAUUUGUUUUUCCAACACUUUUAAGUUAAGGUUGCUCGGAAAGUUGUCUAGGAUUCAUAACGUCUUCCAUGUUUGAAUGUUGCAAAAGUAUGUUUUAGAUUGGUAGCAUAUACUUCAAGAGCAGCCCAUAGAAGUGAAAGAAAACUUAAUCUAUGAAGAGAGAUCUUUGUGUGUGUUAGACAUAAAAGAACAAGUAUUGAGAUCAAAGGUGAUCCCCAUGUUAAAAAAUUUGUGUAAAAAUCAUGGCAUUGAAGAACCCACUUGCAAAAGUGAAAAACUAAUGAAAGUUAAGUAUCCACAACUCUUCACAUAAACUUACUGAAUUUCGAGGACAAAAUACCAUAAGGAGGUAGUAGUUAUAAGGCUAGUUCUAGUUCUAAGGUUGACCUCUGCGAUAAAACUGUUAUGCGAGGAGAAGUGACUACGCGAGAGGAAUUGUUAUGCAUUUUUAGCUUACCUCACAGGGAAAUAGUGAUGUCAUCCUUGUGUAAGAAAGCCAAUAAUUGAUUUGACUUUGUAAAAUUCAGGAUAAUGUAAUGACAGUGACAUAUGGGGUUCUAUCAUUGGACCAAUUCUCACCGUCAGACAAAUGUAAUCUUUUCAGCAUAGGAGACUUCAUUGGAGAGGCUUAUAAAUAAAAGAAAUUUGAUCGUUUUGAAGCUGCUUUUACCUUGAGCUUAAUUAAGAAAGAAUAUAGAGGAUUUUCAAGGUUUUUCAGAGAUUCAAAACAAGCCUAAAUCUGACAAGGAUUGAAAAGAAGUGCAAGAGAGCUCUUGACUGAGAAGCUAGGCGAAAAAGUUAGUUGAUUGUGAUUGUGAGUGGUUGUUCAUGAAAUGUUUUCCAAAAUAAAAAGGAUUAAAAAAUGUAUUUAAACCCUUAAAUAUAUUUUUAUUGAGACCAUGAACUAUAUGGUUCCUCUUAUGCUUUCUAAAUUUCUAAAUGCAUAUGAUUCAUAAAUGAAUUGAGAAAUGUAUAAGAUUUGAUAUAAAUUGAAAUGUUGAAAUGAGAUGAUUUUUUGUACCUAUGGUCUGGUGUGGGAUGCCUUAUUCUUGUUGUGUGGUUUAGGAUAAGAUGCUCUAUUCUUGUUGUAUAAUAUGGAACAAAAUGUCUCAAACUUGCUGCGAUAUCUGGUAUGAGAAACCCUUUGCUUGUUGUGUGAUCUGGCAUUGGAAGACACGUUAUGCAUGCUGAAAUUAAUGAAACUUGCUAAAUGCAUUGAGUCUACUCCGUAUAAUUGCAACUUGACAAAAGAGUGUGGUAAGCGCUUCAGCUAAGAAAAGAGUACAAAGAUGUAAUUAAAUAAGCAGAAUGAUUUUGUGAGAUAACUUAUGAGAUGUUGUGUGUGAGAUGCAUAUUAUGCUAUAUGAUUUAUGAGGAAAGAGUUGAAAAGAAAUGAUUUGAAAGGAAUAAUUUCACAUGAUUUAUGAAAGUUGUUGAUAAAAUGAAGAUGUUGUAAAUCACCUAACGCACUGAAAUAGUUUGAUUUAAACUCAAUGUCUUGUUGAUUGAAAUGUGUAUUAUCUGUAUCACAUGAUUUAGCAAAAUAAUUUAUGAUGUGUUAAAGGAGAAAUUGAUUUGUUAAAGGUGUUGAUAAAAAUAUAUUUUCGUCUAACCCUUCAAAUAUUUGUUUUGAUUUCUUCCUUCCCCCAGGUAGCGAAGGACAUCUAAUGUUGAACUUGCAGCCUUGAAUGAAAUAUGUUGUGCCAUUCGUGAAUGCAUCUUUUAGGUAAUGACCAUUGUCAACUCGCAUAGCAUGUAGAAGCUAGGUGCGAAUAGUCUAAAUGUUAUUUUGAGUUGUGUAUAGUUCUAUGAAGGAAAUUUUGUAUUAAGUACUAAAUGUACUAUGUUAAUUGAAUAUCAAUGAAGUUCCUUAUUUUAUUUGAGUUCAUAUUCUGCAAUUAAGUUUAUUGGUUGUAUUUAAUCCGUUUACUAGGUGUUUGACGCUUUUUCUUGCGGAGAGAAUCAUAUAAAAUGUCUAGGCGAUCACUUCUUCACUUAAUCGCAUAGAGUGACUUUUGAGGCAGGACAUGACGUGACAUUCCCUUUAUAAGUUCAUAGUUUUUGUGGUUGAUGGAGUUAUAAAUACAAAGUAAUUGUUCAAACCUAAAUGAAAAUGAAAUUAUGAAGUUCAACGUAAUUGCAAAUAAACGAGCUCUCUUUCUUAUUUUUCUUUGUCAAAUUUUAUUUGAAUUUAUAUUUUAUUAUCGAAUUAGAUUUUAAUCUGGGGUGUUUUAAACAAUAUAACAAAGCCGUAAAAAUAUUACAUUAUAUAGAAUAAUUUCGAAAACGGAAAAAGCUAAUAGACCCACAAUGGAAAAUACAAAAAAUGUUUCAUGGUUAAUUGGCACCUAGCUCGUAUAAUAUAUUUAAGCUCGUAUAAUAUAUUUGGUUAACGAUAGUUUAGAUUUAGAUAUUCUUUUCUACACAAUCGUUUAGAAUUAGGUUUUUUCAAGAUUCUUUAUACACGAUCAUUUAGAUUUGGCUAUUCUUUGGUAGAUUUAAUAGCCAAAUUUAAACGAUUUUUCCAAGAUUUUUUGGUACAUGAUUGUUUAGAUUUGGUAUAUGAUCGUUUAGAUUUGUUUGUUUAAAUUUGGGUAGCCAAAUCUAAAUAGUUUUUUAAAAUUAUUUUGGUACACAAUCGUUUAUAUUUGGUACACGACUGUUUAAAUUUUGGUACACAUCGUUUAGAUUUGGUAGAUUUGGCUAUCCAAUAUCCCAACGAUUUUUUUCACUAUCUUUUAUAUUUGGCACAUAAUCUUAAACAACCAAAUAACAAUUAAAAAAAAUUAAAUAUAUAAAUAUAUAUAUAUAUAUAUAUAUAUAUAUAUAUUAUAUUUGAUACACGAUAUUGAAUCGAAUAACAGUUUGGAAAAAAAAAAUAAAUGAAAAAUUGCAGAAGAGAGACAAAAGAAUGAAAAGAAAAAAAAAGUUACAAAAGAGUAAAAAGAGAAAGACGAUUAAAAGGUUGAACAAACAUGAAAUAUUUUUUAAAAAAGGCAAACCUGGUGACUUUUUCAUUUUGCUACACGAAUGUAAAUAUUUUGACAAUUUGUUAUGUUUAUGAAAACUAACAUUUUAUCUAACCAUUUUUCGAAUUAAUCACAGAACAAAAACUUCCUUAUUUUCCUCUCCACUUUAUUUAUAUAUGUAUAAUUGAAUAAUAAAAAUCAUUAUCAUUUUAAUAAUAGUAAUCAUCAUCAUUAUUUAGCAAUCUAAAUAAAAUAGGAUAACAAAAAACCUAAAUCUCAUCUUCUUAAGUUAUAAGUCGCUCUCCCAAAUCUCAUUUUCUCCUCAAUCUCACGUUUUUGAUCACUGAUUAAACAACAUUUUCUUAAACUUCAUCAUCUUGGCUAGCUUUUGACGAUCACCAUCUCUAGGUUACCUGACCUUGGUCACUCGCACAUAUGUUUAAUAAAUUUUUUUCUACUUUGAACAUCAUUUUCAAUAAUGUUUUCUAGAAUUGGUGGCAUUUAAAUUUGCCUUUCAAAGAUCCUAUGAGCAAAUUGGUCACAUGAAAUGAAAAGACGAUGAAAUUCCCUACAACUUGUUUGUUAUCUUUCAUAUUUCCAAUAGUCACAUUGUCUUGAAGUUGGAAUUCCUUCAAAUACUCACUUGCCAACAACUUCACUUGUAAAAUCAACUAUCGUUGGCUUCUCUCACAUACAAGUGCUCCAUAAACAAGAGUAUUAAGGACCAUAUCAAGUGAUAUUUAUUUUUUGCUUAUGAAAGGUUUAGAUACACUAUAUUUUAUGUAUAGGAUUAGUUUGGGUUAGUUAUAGAGUUUUUUAAAAUUGUUUAGGAACUCUCCAAGUUGAAUUCAUUAACAUUUUAGGUUUUAAUUCGAAUGAGAGUAUUUUUUACAAUUUCACACUUUUGUUUUUUUAUUUAUUCUAUUUUUCUAUUUUAAUAAUUAAAUUUUCUUUUUGCUUUUUCACCAAAGUAAACCUUUAAUUUUGUCAUUUAUGUAGUCACCUCAUUUUUCAACCUCCUUUAGCUCAAUUCCAAUGCUAGUUCAAUCUAGUCAACACCGAAUGAGCUCAAAAUUCAAUUUAACCAAACAAAAGGAUAACACUUUAAGAAAAAUGGCACCGAAUAGCACAAUUUAAAAAAUAAAUAAAAUCGAUAGCACAAGGAAAGAAUAUUUGCAAAAAUGACAACUUUUAACCGAUCAUAUGGUAAAUUUAUUUUAAAUACCAAAUUUCCCUUUAGUUUCCUUCUCAUUGACAAGUUGUUAUUGACAUUGAUAUGUUCAAAAGAAUAAAAGUUUUUUUUGUAACAACCCAACUUCUUAUACUAAGCUGAGGUCAUUACUAGUAAAACAAAUAAAACUUUAUUUAUUUAAAAAAGUAAGAAAACACUAAGUUUUAAAGGAAACGCCUCAAAUAUGCAUUUUAAGAAAAAUAGAAGUAAAGUAUGUGAAGAUUAUAAUGAGUAAAAUAGUAGUUCGAGCCCUAGUUAAAAUAAAAAGAAGUAUCUAAAAGUAGACAUGAAUUCUAAAAUAAAUUUCUGAAAAUUCAAUAUUGAAAACAUCAAUGCUGAAGAAAAUAUAAACUGCCCUCUAUGGCAAACCCUGAUCACUUCUUGUGAUUCACCAACUUGCUUUUACCUCUACCUUUGCUUGAAAAAUUAAACAUAGAAAAGAGUGAGUAUAAAUUUAUACUCAGUAAGGGACUCACUACUAGUCCCGCUAGUGUCUGUUAACUUCCUGUUAGAGUCUUAUAAGAGAGUACGACAUAUCUAUUGUGCUCCCAAACGCAUGUUAUCCAGUGAUCCUAUAGGGACACAUCUGGGCUCUCGGUGAACCCAAAUGAAUCACUCUAAAGGAGAAUCGGGCUGUAAGUGAUCCCGUCGAAUAACACAUAAAACGAGCCACACAGGUGUAAAUAGGUGGUGAUCUCGAGGGACAUCUAUAAGAUACGACUCUAACAGGUAAAGCUAACGGAACAUCAUAGCCUAUACGUAUAUCAUAACAUAAAUAUUAUAACUCAAACAUAAAAUAUCUCAACCAUAGUAUAUCUCAUUUAUCUCAACCAUGGUAUAUCACAUUCACAACAUAAGAUUUUCUAUGUAGCUAUCACUAUCUAACACAAGGAUACAACAUCAUUUAGCUUAGGUACAAGAGUACAACAUCGUGUACCAAGAUCGUUUAUAUUGGAUACAAGAUUGUUUAGACUAGGUACAAAAUUGUUUAGACUGGGUAGAAAGGUACAAGAUCAUAUAUCAAGAUCAUUUAGAUUUGGUACAAGAUCAUUUAUACUAGGUACAAUGAUACAAGCUAAGAUUGUUUAGACUGGGUUCAAGAUUAUUUUAUUUACGCAUGUGUGAUCGAUUAAUCGCUAGGUGUUUUUAUUAUCUCAUGUUGUAGGCUUUUUCUUUUUCAAAAUUAUUCUAUACGAUAUAAAUAUUUUUGCGCUUUAUUUUAUUUUUUUUUAAAUCUAAUUUAUAUAUAUACAUAAGUCAAGAAACACACACGUACAAUAGUGCACAUGAAAUCUCGUAGUUUCAAUUAGUUUCUUUUUAAUAUUAAUUUCUCGAUAUAUAAUAAAUAAAGGGAGAAGUUGAUAAUGUAUUAAUUCUUUUUAAUAUUUUCAUAUUAUCAUUUUUGGAAGAAAAAAAAUCUUCUAUUUGGUUUAAAAAGAAUAAAUGUGUUCUAGGUAAUUAAAUUAUUGAAUUUAAUAGGUUAAUAUUUCACUAUUAUAAUAUAUAAAAUGCAAUAACUCUUAUUCUAAUAUUUUUAAAUGCCACACAUCAUUGUUUUAUAGUAUUAAUUACUUCAUUCAUUCAAUUAAAUCCUUUCUUCUCUCAAUGUUUUCUGUAAAUUUUGGAUCUCUUUAAUUAAAUUACUUUUAAAAAGGAGAAUUGUCAAAAAAAAAAAAAAAACAAAAAACAAAAAAACAAAACAAAACAAAAACAAAAACAAAACAAAAACAAAAACAAAUUUAACAAAAUAUUUACAAAAUAUCAAAAUUUUAGAUAGUAUCAAUUAUCAAAUAUAACACACCUUUACCUCGAACAUAUGCAUCCUAUCUCGAAGAGUUGUCCAUCAUAAACAAAUGCACCAAGUCACCUAAUAUUUUACUUAACAGGUAACAACUACUAGAUGAAAGGGUAAAUUCUCCCUACAUAGCCUUUUUUAAAAGAUAUUGUAAUACAACUUGGGAUGGAGGAAUUAAACUAGGGACCUUUUGUCCUCGAAUACAUACAGAUGUCAAUUGAGUCAAGCUCAUAUUAGCUACAUAGCCUCUUUUGAUAUAGUUAACAUGUGUCAUGCAAGUGACAUUUGUAUCUCAUUUUCAUUUUAUUAUCAAGCUUAAUUUUUUUUCCUGAUAACAAUCUUUUCUGUUAAGUAUCUUCAUUUUCAAUUGAUUAAUUUUGCUAAACAAUAGAAUAGUUCAUGAAUAGUUCUUAAAAUGGAAUAGCAAUAAUCAUUGCUUAACAAUUCUACUUUACAACUAUUAGAAAAAUAAAUUAACUAUAUUACAUUACAAAAUUCUAAAAACGUUUUUAAAUGAAAGUUUAGAAUUUUUAUUAUAUACUCGAUGAUCACUUGAUUUACAAUUUAACCUUUUGCAUUAUUAUUGAUAGAGUGUUGGUAGAUGUCAAAAGAAAAUUAUUCAAACUCCUUUAAUAAAUAACUUCAUAUUAUGUAAUCUAAUAAUUUAACUGAAAAGUUUUGUAUCAAUUUAAAACAUAACUAUUACAAGUAGAAAAAAAAAAAGAAAUAAAAAGAAAAGAAAAAGUAAAUAGAAAAGGUAAGAUAUUUUUACAAUAAUUGAUGACAUAUAACCAAACCCGGAAGCAUAGACAGUGGAUUUUAAAUGCAUUACGGGGAGAUACCCUUUUUGUAUAGUAACCACUAACUUUUGUUGGGAUGUCACUUUUUUCCUAAGUGGAUAGGAUAAGCAAUUAAUUAAAUUAAAUGAUAUGUGAAUACAUUUUUCAUUCCAUCUAUAUAGUAUUUUUUUUAUAUAUAAAAAAAUCUUUAAAAUGGAGAUAUUUAAAAAUUUGGAGAUGAAAAUAAAACAAAAUUGAAUAUAUAAAAAAUAAUUUUGUAAGGAAGAAGAAGAAGUAAAAGGGGUAAGAAAAUGAAAAAAGGGAAUUAGGGUGUGUGUAUGAGGAAAGUAGUGGGGGGUGGAGCCGGUGGUUGUAGAAGGAGAGAGGGCCCGCCCACAUAUUAAAGACUUGGAGUAGAAUUGAUUCAUUAUUCCAACAAAUGCAUAUUAGGAUGGGUUUGUUUCUACAACCCUUUCCAACUCACAUCUUCCACGUCAACACUGACUUCCCACCCUCCUCUUCAUUUUUCAAUUUUUCAUCUUUUUAAUUCUUUUUUUUUCUUUUUUUUUUUUUUUACUUUUUAUAUGUUAGUUACUACAAUUAGAACCCUAACAAUAACAACAAGGUACACAACAAUUUUAUUCACACGUUCGAUUUUUUUUCAAAGACAUAGCACCUUCUAGUAGUGUGUUGUAGAAUGUACAAACGAUCUUUGUAACCUUUGUUUGUGGGGUUGUAAGAUAAUGGUGAUAAGAACAAUCUAAAUUAAAAAUGGUUAUGAGAUGAAUGACGAAGAAGAUUAAGAGUGGUGUGUUUGGAUUGUCUAUGAAAAAUGUUCUUUUAGGAAUACAUAUUUUCUAAACAUUUUUUAUAACUUGUAGAAAUAUAAGCUAUUGCCAAUAGAAUUUUAUCCUUGUUUUGACAAAGUUUUAACAUGUUUUUUUGCAGAAUGUUAAGUGACAAAGAGUAAGAAUAUCACAUGAAGUAAUCCCCUAAGCUUUUGGGGGAAAAGAAGUAGACGUUGAGUGAUCAAGUGACACUAGCUGACAAAAGAUAGUGGUUGAAAUUUUAGAAAAGGACUAGUAGACUAAGUUGCACAGCAAAGCGACAACUUUUUAGAGUCUUAAUGGAGUGUCGGCACGUCAACACCAAUUGUUCUGUAUACAAACCUAUCCACCCCUCCUCAAUGGGUGUGCACAAAUUGGCCGGACACGCAAUACUUUUACAAUCUUUGUAUUCUCCCUAUCAUCAUAUGCCCGAUGAGAGCCUGAGCACAAGACAAAGGAGAAUUCCACAACCCCACUACUCUUCCCCUCCUAUCUAGGCAACAUUUCAACCAAAGAGAAUGGUUUAUCAAACUCGGAGGCGUAACCAUUCACUUAUGGUUUCACCUAUUGAUUUUAUUUUUGUAUUGUUUUGUGGUCAAAACAUUAGGAUCGAAAGGCUCAAUUUGUUAUGUUUAAAGGCAAUGCAUUUCUACUACUCUGUCAUUUCUUUAUCUCUUUCAUACACAUCAUCCAUGAUUAAAUAGCUAUAUAUACAUGAGUGAUGUGCACGAUACGAAGAAAACCAUAUUGUGUGUAAUAUUAGUUUUUUUUAAAAGAGCAAGGAUAGAGAACAUAAUCAUAACUUACUUUGAACUAGGCAAGUGGUGAAAAUGAAUACAGUGAUGUAUUCGCAUCGCUGAGCUCUCUCCUUAACAUGCAUCUUUGAGAAGAUGGUGUGUGGUAAAACAUGCUGAGAGGUAUGGACCUUAAUCAAGGGUAUGCUACUAUUAUUGCAUGUAUAAAUGAGUCACAAUUUAAUGUCAUUUAACUCGUGUAUUUACAUCCCAAAACGUGAGUGAGUAUGGUAGUGCACUAAGAGGUGUCAACCUUAAUUCGAGAUUGAAGUAUCUAAAUCGCAUUGAAGUAUCAAGACAUCAACUAGUUUGUAUAGUUAAUUCAAUUUCCUUCACUAUCUAGCCUAAGAGGAAACUAUACUUAUCUGCUUCGUAACUCAAAAGUCACUUUGCACCGCCAAGCACCGUAGUGUAAAUAGUUAAGGAAAUUUUGCAUACUAUUUAUACAACUUAUCAUGAUUUGCACGUAUUAUGUUGAAAUAAGAGCUAAAAAUAAUUUUCUGUGUUCGACCCUAGACUACCUGUAAACCUACUGCUUUGCUUGCACUUGGGCAAGCAGUAGGAAAACUUGUACUCAACAAGGACUUAAAGAUUAUGCGAUGAAGAUGCCACUUUGAGUAUUUCGCAAAACUAUGAUCAUGACGUAUGACUCAUCGCCUACAGUGGAAGCAUGCGAUACAGAGACUUACAAUGAGCACAUUACGUGUGAUGAUUUGAUUCGGUGAUGUAUUGCAAUCAUAGUAUACAUGAAUGAAAUUAUUAAGUUCAAUUAAUUAACAAGCAAUUUUUUAGAAAAUGAGUUUAAAAUCUAAACAACUUACAUGUUUGGUUCGAUCUCUUUUUAAGUAUUUAUAUGCAAAAUUGUGUUUGGUUUGUUAAACAUUAAUUUUUUUUCUCUUUUUUUUUCAAUUCAAUUUUAGAAACACAAAUAUAUUGAAAUAUAAAUACAUAACCAUAAAAAAUAAUAAUUUAUUUCCAAAAACAAAAUAUAAAUAAGAUCAAUAAUUUUUUCAAGACAAUAUAAUAUCAACUAAACAAAAAGGUGUACAAUUUAAUUAUGUUCUUCAUUCAUUUCAUUUCACGAAUUGAACGACAUGUUCUUCAUCGAUGUCCUCAUGAUUUCUUAUUUUCUUUGACAGAUAUUAAGACGAAGUAGAUUUGGCUAUGAGAGAAACAUUUGCAAACCCCUAUAUCUAAAUGUCUGUAUAUGAACACAUUGAAAAACAUAUUCAAAGUAUUUAAAAGUCAAAGAAACAACAAGAAGGAUGGAGCAAAAAAUAGAUAUGAAAAAGGAAUAAAAAAAAUAAAGAAAGAAAAAUAGAUAUUUAGGAGGGAUUCCUAUUAAACACGAUAUAAACAUUUGUUUUAAAACUUGGUUGCAUGUGUUUUCUCUAAAAUGGUUUAUUUCAUAAUCUCAUUUUUUAAAAAGUUAUUUUCCACAAAUGUCAAACACCUCAAUUUAUCUUAAAAUGAAUUAUUUUAAAAAUUAAACACUUCAAAAAUCAAUCAAAACACACCUUAAAAGCAAAAUGUGUUCUUUUUAUAAGUCCCAAAUUCGUGUGCUAACCCCGACAUUCUUUGCUUAAUUCCAUACCACUUAAUAAUUUUUUUAUUCUUAGUGCCUCACUUUGUCGACCACUAUCUUGGAAGACUCUCAACUUAAUGCCUAGCUAAUUUUAAAAAACACCUCAUAGUUUCAUAGUGUCACGAUCGUAGCCUACCAAAUUCGAGACGGACGAUUGUGCGACACUUGUUCUAACCUGAUAAACAAGUCAACCGAUUAAAAUCUGAAAGUCACGGACAAAGUCAACAUAUGAUGUAACAUUCCUUCGUGUUCUUGAGAAAAUUGUUUAUAAAGAGAGAAAAAGAAAAAAAUACAUUGAAAUCGACAUUAUAAUAUGCAUUGAAGACUCUCAGUUACAAAGGAAAAGAUUUGCUUGCAAAUAGUACAAUAAUGCUUGGGCGGGGAUUUAACUACUAUGUCUCCUCUAUAGUACAUUUUCAACAUUUUUAGCUCGCUUGCAUAUAAAAAUGUCAAAAUGUCACACCCAAUCUUUAUGGCUUAAAAUAGAAAACAACUAGCUAAACUAGAUAUAUGACAUAAAGAUAAGAUAAAUUGGGGGUAUUCAGACAUACAGCCAUAGGCAAACAAGCCCUGGACAAGUAUGACCGUGACAAACUCCCCCACUUAAACAAUUUACCUCCCUGUCGACUGACAAAGUUGGAAUCCUUCAAUCUUCUACUUCCACACUUCAUGGUCUUUGGUACAUCUUCCACUUGUUUCUUCUAUGGGGAGGCUCUUCCACUUCACUUUGUGUGUCCCCCUCGUGGGUCUUUUAUUUUUCCUCACUUCCUUAGCAAGGACUUCUUUUCGCUUUUGCUAGUCCCUCGUGUCUUCUCACGAGGUGGCGACCUUUGUAUCUUCAUAACCGAGUAUGUUCAGAUCGCAAUUUAAUAAGGAUCUGAUCUCCCCCACGAAAGUCAGGGGGCGACGCAUUUUAUCUACCCACUUUAAGGCUUCCUCUAAACCGACCCAAAAGAUGUAUGAUUUCCACUUCCACUUCUUGAUAAUGGUGCGAGUCUGAGGACUCUUCCUAACAUAAGGCGGAUCAAUAACGCGCGACAGUACAACUUGUCUACCACCAACAAUCUCAAUUAGGCUUCUGCCAUUUGACGAACUCAUCACAGUUUUAACAAAAAGUUGGGUUACCUUCAACAACUAAAUCUCAUUCUUGUGUACUGACUUACCAGGCUUAGCCAAACUCACGCCAUUUUGAGCGACAAAGUUUUUAUGCAAGGAUUCCUUCGACGCGUCCCAAAUUGGGCCAUCAAUUAGAUAUGCCUGUAUACGAGUCAACAUAUAUGGAAUCACAUGAUUAUUUCUUUGACUAAGGGCAUCAGCUGCUCGAUUACUCGCUCCUUUCCUAUGUUCUAACCCAAAAUCAAGUUCGAGCAGGUCUCUCUACCCCAUUUCUUAACUUGAAGUCAGAUUCGGUUGAGUAGUGAAGUGAAUGGUAAUAUUGUUGUUCACCUCUUUGACAUAAGUAGAUCUCUGAGAAUAUUGUCUCCCAUCCCUCAGACUGUGUACCAUGGCAAGUGUUUCUUUGUCAAACACUGUAUAACUCCUUUCUGUGGUACUCGGUUUUUUACACUUUGAUGCGAUGGGUUAUCCAUUUUGCACGAGGACAUUGCCCAACGCAUAAUCAAAUGCAUCGGCAUAAGCUUUAAUAGGUUAGGUCACAUCCACGGACCCAAGAGUUGGUCAUUCCCUCAGGGCUUGCUUCAAGACACGGUUGUUGACACCCUACCAUAAUUUUUCAUUCUCUUCCUUCUGUAGAAAGACUUGGGCUUCAUACGAAGCUGUUGCAGAUCUAAUGAAUCCAGCACUCAACAAUCCCUUCGACUAUAUUUGAAGUUCAGUUAACUCUGGCGGUGCCACACGAUAAGCAUUCUUCGUAGGCGAUUCUAACUUGGACAAACUAUGAAGCAUCCCAUUACAAUAUUUCUCUAAGACACACCUUGUGUCUCUGUGAACUGUCUCCCCCGAGCUAUUUUCUAACUCAAACGGGGUGGCCUCAGAUGUUGUUUCAUCUCAAUUGAGGCCCUCUCUCAGUUGCAUGGUCGAGAUCAUUCUCAAUCAUUUGAGUUGACGAAAGUCUAUCUGUACAACAGUAGGGGUAGACCUAGUAAUCACCAAACAUUUGGCCAAAAGCAUUAUGAUCACUUGAUGUUUAAGGAGAAAUUCCAUUUCGAGUACUACAUCAAAGUCAUCCAUACCUACAACUACGAAGUCAACAAGACUACUUUAUCCUCUCAACUGUAUCACUGUUCGUUUCACUAUUCUAACGAUAGGUAAAGCUGUAGAAUUCACGACCUUCAUUUUUUUGUAUCCUUCUUCGAAUGAAGGUUUGGCCGUCUAGCUUCUGCCAUCGUUAUGAAAUUGUGGGUUGCACCAAAGUCAACCAUAGUGUUAUUUGCGUGCUUCUGGUUAACCCAGGUGUCGACAUAUAUUAGACCCCCUUUUGUACGUCUACUUGUCUCUCCUGUUUUCUUUUGAAGAGACGACAAGAAUCUCAUGGUCCUUGCUUUAGGAUUCUCAAUUUCCUCCACUUGACCAACUUCCCCUUCUGAUUGACUCAACUUGUCAUCUGAUUCUGGAGUCAAAGAGACCUGAAAGUCAUAAAAGUUCGAUUCGUUCAAGCAUUCCUUAACCUGAUAUGGCCCCUUACAUAUGUAGCAAUUGAGAGGAUGAUUUGGGGUGUUUUGAUUAUAGUGUCCUCGCCAGUUGUUCCCUACGCUGGAUUCGGAAGGCUUGCAAUCUCUACCAGGGUAUCUGUCUUCACCGACAGCUUUGGGAGAAUUUGGUCGGCUAUUUCUAUUUCUUCUAGGUGAAAAACUUUAGUCACAUCUCGUAUCUUGAGGGUCACUAGACAUAUCAAACAAACGUUCAGCUGCUGCAUAAGUAGACGUGAGAUCCUAAACCAUCUGUUCGUAUAGCUUACUCUUAGCCCACGGCUUCAGCCCUUCAACAAAACAGAAGAUUUUGUCUAUUUUUGACAUGUCACAUAUGUCCAACAUUAGCCCCACAAAUUGUUUCACGUAAUCUCGAAUGAUGUCAGUGUGUUUCAAUUCACACAGUUUUUGACGAGUCAACAUUCUCGGGAAGAAACUAUGAACGAAGUUCCUUCCUUAGACUGUCCCAGGUAUUUAUCGUGCAACAUCCUUUCUAAAUAUCAACAUACUGGGACCUCCACCAUAACUUUGCAUGUUUAGACAGAUGCAUGGUCGCCAAUAUCACUUUCGCUUCUUCUGUAAUGGUGUUUGUGGCCUUAAAGUAUUGUUCGAUAUCAAAGAUGAAAAUUUUCAAUGUCUUUACAUCUCUUGCCCCACAAAAGAGAUUGGGUUCAGGGAUUUUUAUCUUACGCUAACUGAAAUUGCUCCUCCAGCCAGAGCUUGGUUUGUUAUUGCUCGCAUUGUAAGGUUCACUUUCAUGUUCACCUCUGCGAUUUCAUUCCUUACGACAUCGAGGGUAGCUCAAAAAUCCUCUGUCAUGUCGUUUAUCAUUUCUAACAUAUUCUUGUGCGAGUUAACCAGUUCAAUAACUCGUUCUUCCAUCUAGGCAGUAGACUCCGACGAACUGUCCUCACGUUCACAGGUGACAUUUGCAGUUCUCACAAUUUGUGACUCUAGAAUGUCAACUCUAGUCAAUAAAUCUUGUAUGGAUAAUUCAUUCAGACAACUGAACACGGUGUUAACAUUAUCGAGAAACCGCAUGGAAUCAAAAACUUCCACCAAGUGGAGCAUCUGCUUUUUUAGCCUCACCAAUCGUUCAUUAUAGGUCUUACCUGUCUAUUUCACACUCGACAUCUUUCUGUCUCAAGUGUCAAUUAGCCAAUUUGGCUCUGGUACCACUUGGCACAAUUGUAGCCUUUCAAACUCGGGACGGACGAUUGUGCGGCACUUAUUCUAACCCAAUGAACAAGUCAGUCAAUUAAAAUCUGAAAGUCACGGUCAAAGUCGACGUAUGAUGUAACCUUCCUUCUUGAGAAAAUUGUUUAUAAAACGCGGAAAAGAAAGAAAUACAUUGAAAUCCACGUUACAAUAUGCAUUGAAGACUGUCAAUUGCAAGUAAAAAUGUUUGCUUGCAAAGAGUGCGACAAUGCUUGGGCGGGGAUUCAACUACUAUGUCUCCCAUAUAGUACAUUUUGAACAUCUUCAACUCUGGUAGGCUUGCAUAUGAAAAUAUCGAAACGUCACACCCAAGCUUUAUGAAUUAAAAUGAAAAGCAACUACCUAAACUAGAUAUAAGAUAAAUUGGAGGUAUUCGAGCAUACGGUCAUAGGCAAUCACGCCUUAGACAAGUAUGACCGUGACACAUAGCCUUCCUUGCACACAUACAUGUGUGGCCAUCUAACUCUCAACUCAUGCUUGGCCACUUACUAGCACAUGCUCUAAUACUAACUUACUAUGGUCACAUGCCUCUUACUCAUGUUUAACACAUAGUCGCUAAGCUAGGUUUACUCACUAAUUUUUUAGCCCCAAGGUCUUUGGGCAUCUCUUAACACAUAGUUCAAAUUAGUCGCUUAACACCUGUUGCAUAAUCAAUUUGGCCGCAUAGCUCAUUCCUUUGCUCAUUUUGGCCACUUAGCUCGUAACUCAUAGCAUUCAUGUUGGUCGCAUAGCUUGGGAUUUAGUGUAUUUGGCCACCCACUAUAAUGUACAUAUCUAGCGUACACUUUGGUCACUUAACAACGACCUUCGCCUCAUAACCCUUUUUCAUGAAACUUGGUUUUUGCCGCCUACUCAUCAAUGACCACGGGGACCUAGGCGCUGAACACUCAGGUAAUAUUUCUUUCUCUAACUUCAUCUCUCAACAAUUAUGGUUUAUUAUGAAAAAUUCUUAAGUAUUACUAGCAUCAAAUAAUAAAUCACAUAAUGAAACUUAAGCACGUUCAAUGAAAUAGUUCAGGCUGACGUAGAUAUAUAGUCUAUUUUUUGCGCAAUCAAACACCCCCAACUUCAUUCUUGAUCAUCCCAAGUAAGAUAUAAUAAAGCAAACAAUCAUACAAAAUAGAUAUGCUCACCUAAAUUUAGUGGUUAGUUCUCAAGCCUCAACAGUCCACAAGAAAAUAACUUGCAACUUAAUUUGGUGUUGAACAUUUAACCAGACAUAGAUAUACCUGACACCAACUUAAUUUUUAACAUCGUACCCAAUGUGGCAAAUAUAAGAAAAACAAGGGGCAAAUUAAAGACAAAUAGAUAACUUUUCUAAAAUUUUGGUACAUGGGCUCUGACAAAGAAUAAUUAUUUCCAUCCGCUUACAUAAAAGCCUAAAAUCAAGAAAGAUAGGAAUAAUUAGUUCAAAUAAAGGGAAAAAUACUAUAAAAAAAACUCUACACAAAGAAAACAAUAAAAAUCAUGGUUGCCUCCAGGUAGCGCAAUUAUUUUAAGGUCAUUAUACUCGACCUUACUUGAAUUCAUAAAUUUGUCUUCGACUGCCAAGUUGUCAACCUCCUCCUCCAACUUAGAAGGUGAACUACUAUCAUGUAAAAGUAAAGAACUAAAGAAAACAUUAUAAGUAGUAUGAGAAGUAUGAGAAAUAAAAAUAUAUCUUAAGUUAAUUGUGGUUAAGAGUUAGGGAACUUUUAUCAACUUCUAUUUUAGCAUCAGCAAUUUUUAAGAAUUUUUACCUAACAGCACAGAUUGGAAGAAGGUAAAUAACUUAUGUUUAUCACAUAAAAACCAGAGAGGAAGGUCAGACCAUUAACUCUGACAAGCAUAUCUCUAACAACCCCUAAUGGUUUAACAGAAGAGUGGUUACCUAACUAUGUUAAUUAUUGAAAGUGAUAAACCAACAAAAACAUUAAUUACAAGAAAAAUUGAUACCAGAAUAAAAACCAUGAUAUUUAUUUUUUUUUACUAUUUUUUUAUAAUUACAAAAUGGUACAAGAGGGGGAAUAAAUAGAAUAAUACAAUGAGAUAAAAAACGAAAGAUAUUUAGGGAAAAUUUCUCUAUGGACCAAGCCCACAAACUCUUACAUUCCCCCUCAAGUUGGGACGUAAAUAUCAAUGAGACCCAACUGGGUAACACAAAAGUCGAAGUUUGGUUUGAGAAGUACCUUAGUGAGAACAUUAGCAACCUGUUGGAUUGAAGGAAUGUAUGAAAUGCAUAUGCUCUCACUGUCAAGUCUUUCUUUCUUGAAAAUAUCGAUCAAUCUCAAUAUGUUUGGUUUUAUCAUGUUGAAUUGGAUUGUUGGUGAUGAAAUGGAUCAUUCUCAAUACUCCUAUUGAAUUCAACUAUAAACUAGGAAAUUUAGGUGAUCAAGUUCCAAUUGAUAAAGAACAAUAUCAACACCUUAUGGGUAAAUUGAUUUACUUAUCUCAUACUCAUCUAUAUAUUUCAUUUACUGUGAGUGUUGUCAGCUAGUUUAUGCAAGCUCCUUAUGAGGAACAUAUGAAGGUCGUCAACAGAAUUAUGAGAUGCUUGAAAACGACACCUAGUAAAGGAUUAAUGUUUAGAAAAAUAGACAAAAAAAAACCAUUGAGGCCUAUAGUGAUUCAUAUUGAGCAAGAUUGUUGUUGACAUAAAAUCUACCUUCGAUUAAUGUACAUUUGUAUGGGGAAAUCUUGUAACUUGGAGAAGUAAGAAGCAAAGUUUCAUUGCAAGGAGCAAUGCUAAGGUCGAAUACAAGGUUAUGAGUUUGGGGAUAUGUGAGGCUUUGGCUCUAGAAAGUCUUGUCUGAUCUUCAUCAAGUGUAUGAGACACCAAUAAAGCUAUUAUGUGAUAAGGAAGACCCAGGUAAGAUGAGUAUGAUCAUCAACGAAAGUUACAAGGAAGACCCAGAUAAGAUGGGUAUGAUCAUCAAUGAAAGUUACAAACCACUAUUUUCCUCUAAGGCUCUAAUCCAAAAAAGAAAAUAUUAUUGAGAAGGAUCCUUGUUAGAAGGUUGUUUCGUGUAAGUGUUGAGAAAGAGGCAGGAAACGCAAAGAGAAAAGCAUAAGCCAAAAGUUCUAUCGCAUGAAGCUGAGUAACGCGAUAAGAAUAGCUGGCAAGGAAGGCGAGGCGUUGGCAGGAUACUGCAACAAGAAGUAUUUGUGCCCAAGAGAUUAAGGCGAGGAAGUAAACGUCUUAUCAAGCCAUAUGACAACUCGUUGUGGGGGAAAAUACGAAAGUAGCUUCUUCAGGAAGAGAACUGAGGCAGUCGAACAAUUAAGAGUUUGACUUUUCAAAGGGAUAAGUUAUGAGUCUCAAGAGAAAGUUAAAUCGUCAUGACGAAUAGGCUACAUGUGGAGUUUGGGUUGGUAGCAUAGUGCGAUGUGUUAGUAAGACGACAUGUGUAAGCAUAAAAGUGACCCUUUGAUGUGAAAGGCCUCUACACAUAGGGCCGAAAGCCAAAAGAAAAGGGAGUUUUUCCAAAAAGAAAAGAAGAAGAAAAAGUGUUAAAUUUCUCUAAUGAAAGUAACAAGAGAAAGUUCUUAAUAUUGAACGAACAGAUCCUCCAAUUGUCAGACGUGAAAAGAAAGUCGAGAAGGGGAAGUUGAGGCUAAGUAUUUAGUGUGAGUGACAAAAUGAUUUACAUGUUUUGUUAUGGACACUACAUUAUUCUGUUUUACGAGCAUUGUUUGAAAGUAAUAAAUGUGAUUUAUUGCCCUUCUGUGAAUGAUCAAGUAUAUGUUAUGAGUCUUAUUUCCAUUACUGAUAAGAUCCAUUUCAUAAACAUUUUCUAAAAAUAAGUGAAAGUUAAAUGUUUUCCAUGAACAUGAGUAUUCUUUGAAAAAUGAUAAAAUGUGAUUUAUAAACGAUGGUAAAUGGUUAUUCGAUCUCUAGUAUGAUUUCUAAAACCAUUCUAAUGAUCUUCAUUCUGAAAGGUGGUGUUUUGUAAAUGUUAUAUGUUGAGCCUUCUUUCAUCUAUGAUGAUGUUUAUGAAAUACCUUAUUAAUCUGUGUUGAUCUAUGAUAUGAGUAAGCAAUGAUAUUGUGCUUCCUUAUUAAGUUUGUGUGGUUGUACGUUGUGAUGUUGCUUGAUCUAUCAUAUGAUGUUGGAUGGAAUCCUAGGAAACUCGUGCGAUACUGGUGAGUGUGAAUCUCAGGUCUAGGCGAGGGGAGAAUUUCCAAAUUAGGGCGAGUUGUGAUAAGAAUGUGAGUGUGGCAAGACGAUGUUGGAUAUCCUAGUAACUCGUGUGAUACUUGCGAGAGAAAAUCUUAGGUCUAAGCGAGGAGAGAUUUUCAAGUCUCAGAAUGAACUUGUGGUGAAAUGAAUCCAUAAACUGAGGACAAUGGCGACGCGUGGAGGUACAGAUUGCCAAAAGGGUAUGGUGGUUGGACUUGGGAUGCCAAAUAGGAGAAAAUAAGCUCGUCAUGGAGGCAUUUGACUACAAUGUGUGGGCAACUAUUUUCGGCAUGUGAAGGCCAUUCACAACGCUGGGUGCUUGGAAUUGUUUUGUUUCAUGGAACUUAGGAUGGAAUAUGUUGUGCAGUGCUGGUAAGAUCAACGAUUGUUGAUAGUCGUUCUCACACAACCUGGUUUAUUUCGCUUGGUUGUAGUUUAUUUGUUUGUAUGUUUGGUUUGUGGGUUUGUACAACACUCCCACUCAUCCAUGCCUACAACCCUACCUAGUUGGUCAACUCCACAAUUUGGUGAUGUAGGUUUAAUGCCAUGGGAAAUAGUGAUGUUGCCUAUGUUGGUAUAAUGCUUUUGAGUUCAAAUCACAUGAUGUGUCAUUGAUUCAGGAUUAUUGCAUGCAAAAUGCUCUUCAUGAAUCUCUUCAUCGUGUGAGUGGAUAUGAUCACUGCAUGUAAAAUGCUCCCAAUAUCCUCCAUCACUGGUAAGUCCUCAUUGUAUAAGUUUUCUUAUUGUUUGCCCAAGUGUAAACGAAGUAAUAGGUUUUUCUGAGUGAACUAGGAUUGAACACAGAAAAUUAAUAUCAAAGCUUAGUUCUAGAGUCUACUUCUUAAUUAGACGGCAUAAAAGAAUAAAAUAAUGAAAUUUUAUAAAAGAAUGAGAGUAUAAAACUACAUCUACUUAUGUACACCAAGAGUACUCUGAUGAUUUGAUGAGGGUGGUGGAGAUGGUAUAAAUGUGAACUAACUUGUAUUAAAUGUGAACUACAUCUACUUAUGUACAUCAAGAGUCCUCUCACUUGGUCUCCUAUUAGGAUCCAAAUGACUAAGUCUUGCCAAAUGCCUACACUUGUUCACCUUUUAGGAUACAAAUGAUGGAAGUUAUCUUGUCAAGGUGGAGUUUGUCUCCAAACUCCCUCUUGCGCAUGUUAGCUAUAUCCUUACUACUUGCCCUCUCGAGUAGUUAGCAAUGUACACUAGUCAAGUGAUGAAAAUAGCUCAGUUAACGCGAUAAGAGUUAUAAGCUAAACUUCUUAUCAAGAAUGAAUCACAAACCUAAACUACAAAUAACAUAAGGACAGAUGGAUAGUAAAGAGAUAGAUGGAUUGAAUAAAUGGAUAAGUAUACAUUGUAUUAAAGAAUGAAGGUCUUCGACCACAGUACAAUAUGAACAGAUACAAUGUAAAGAAAUACAAAAAUGGUAAGAAAUAAGAGUGAAAUUACAAGUUAAGGGGAAAUGGGAGAUGGAAUCUUCUUCAUUCAGCUCUCAAGCUCUCACUCUACAACUGAUCGGAGAAGAGGAAAGAAUACUUUACACAUGGUGGAAAGGCUACUCCUUCCCAUCAACUCUCUAAGUUUUCGUCCACCUCUUUAGGUGAGGGGUGGCCCAUUUAGGCCUCUAGUGGCUAGUCCAUUCAAACGUCUAGCCACUCUUCAUGGUAAGGAUGGAGUUCCUUUUUAUAGGCAGAUUUAGUCGGAAAAUCUAAUAUUUUAAAUAUGUUAGCGUCAAAAGUUGUCUAUCUUGUCAAGUCAUGUCAACUCCAUCUACCAGUUUUAUCUUCUAUCAAACCUCUUCUCGUGUUUUGAUAUGGUCUUCUCACCUAGUUUUUAAGUGAGUUCCUAUAUGAUUCUCCAGCUUCGUCUUUUGAUGAUAAUCCUGCAUUUAGACUCUAAAAUUAUAGUAAACCAGGCAUAUAUCUUAUGUAAAGUUUAUUUCUAAAUAUUUAUGCAAUUAAAAUAUAAGCUACACAUUUUUACACUCUUAUCACACACUUUGGUAUCAUUGUUCUACCUAAAAGGUCAUAAUAACUUGUAUUAAUACAAGUUAUCGCACCCCCAAAUUUAGAAUAAUGCUUAUCCUCAAGUAUCACUUUGCAUCUUGCUUGUCAUCAAGCACAACUCUUCCUUAAAAACUUACCUUCCCUCAGCAUUUUUAAAUUUCUCAAAAUGCGAUCAAGUUUUAUUCAUUAUUUAGGGUUUACUCUCAUUGCGUACUUCUCGCUAUGAAGACAUUUCUAAUCUCAUCAUCAUGCUCAAUGGUGGGUCCAAGAGAACUCUCAUACACAGUAGAUGAUGGAGAUGACAUUGGCAUUCUAAACAUCAGACACUGGUUGGGAAUGAGCUUUUCAUAAUGGGUGUCUAAUAUACUUACUGUGUUAGCCAACUAAUAAACAUGAUUAGCCAAGCUCUACAUGUGAGAGAUAGUAGCCUCUUAAUUCCGCUUCAGCUGUAAGGUGGAAUCAAUCAAUCACUUCUUAACAUCCUCGAAAGGGAUACUCGAACUACCUUUCUCCCAAUUCCCUUUGUUUCCUCAUUAGCUAUAGUUGUAAGUUCUAUCUUCCUGCUGGUUAUUGACAUAGUUCACCUCAACAGCAAGUCCAUGGAAUUAUUAUCCUCGUGUAGUGAACACUUGUUUCACAAGAAUAGUUAGUUCAACAAGUUCAAAUUUAAGUUCAUUUACCUCUUGUGAAGAUGUAGGGGACAAGGGGACAUGGUCUCUUGUUCCAAAUUGUUGGAUGUUCGUUACCAUGAUGGAGGUCAAAUGCAUUAUUCUCCAUAGGGGCUUAUUCACCAAGGUUUCUCCUGCAGUUUCAUCAGUGAUACUUCUAUCAUUGAAGAUAAGUUCCUCAUAAAAGUAUUGUAUUAGAAGUGCAUCUAAGAAAUGAUGAUGCAGGAAACUAUCGCAAAGGCAUUUAAUGUAUACUCAUGCAGGAACUCGUCAUUAGCCUAUGUGAUGUCAUAAAUCUCCUUCCUAAUUUUAGAAACUUAGAAAGUAGUAAAAAAGUUUUCAGGAAAAGUCUCAUCUCUACAUAAGUGGUGAUUGAUCCUCGAGGUAGAAAUAUAGUUAGUCUUUGACAUCCUAUUUUAAGAAAGGUAAUGCUCUCAUGUUGAGUUGUUCUUCUAUCACAUCACGUGGUCUUAUCUCUCCGCAAAUGUUGCAAAACUCUUUAAUGUGCUUAUGUAGGUGCUCUUAUGCAAGACCAUGGAAAAUGGAUAGUAAGUGAAUGAGACCAGUUUUAAGCGUAAAAUUACUUAUAAUCUCUAGAUAAAUAAUGCAGAGAGACUCCUGAGACAAACUAGAAGUUGUAAGGUCCCUCGGAGUCUUCUCUUGCUCCAAUUGAACCAUAACUUCCACUUCUUCUUCUCCAAAAAGUUCUUCUAAUGUACCUUUUGCACAAACUUCUUCUUGAGAAACUCUUCGUUCUCUAGCCUCCUUUCUUCGCUACCUCUUCUCCAAGCUCUGUAAAGUACAACAAUGAGUUUUAAAUCUAGAAGGACCGAGUCAUACAAAGAAAGAAAAAUAGAGAACAAACAAGAGAAAUUAAAGUGCUCCUUGACAAUGACAACAAUUUAAUUGGAUGAGUUUUGUCACCUAAAUCUAAAUCAAUGAUUUACCAAACUAACCACAAUAAACUAACCUUAAUGGCAAGACCGGAUCAAACUCGGAGAACGUGUGAAUUUCUUUAUAAAUAACCUUCCGCCUUAGAGUAACUAGUGGGGGGAGGGGGUUUAAGAGUGAAUUAUUGCAAAUGAAUGAAAUUUCACUAAAGUAAAUCAAGAAAACAAAAAAUAUGAGAAGACCUAGCUAGCUAGCUAAUUUAGCUAUUACGGAGUUUCUAUAUUCACGAUAUUUGUUUAUCGAAUUCUCAUCACCAAAAUAUAGAAAUCUAUGAAUCAAAUGAAAACUAAACUAUAAAUUCAAGGGUUGUAAAGUUGCGAUAUUUUAAAAGUAAAGAAUCAAAUAAAAAUUAAAUUCAAAACUUAGGGUGUGUUUGUAUUGACCUAAGAAAAAUUAUUUUUUUAAAAACAAACUCAUUUUUAUUUGAACUCUCAUCAUAAAAACGGUUUAAAAUGCACUUGAAAAUCUAUUUUUAGUGGUUAUGAAGCAACUUAAUUUUUUCUAAAAUUAAUCAUUUUUAAAAUUAAACCCUGAAAAUGUAUUAUUUCAAAUCCAUCUUACGGAUAAAAGUGUUAUAUUUUGACUUUUAAGACUUAAAAACGAGAUAGAAUUUGGCUUAAAACCUCGGGAUCAAAAUGUCAUUUUCCUCUAGAAUAAUGAUUAAAAAAAUUACCUUCCAAUCAUAUCCAAAUUUUGAUUGACUUCAAUUUAAAGAACGAGGUUGGUUGUAAAGUAUGCAUCCAAGUGAAUUGAUUUCAGGAUCGCACUCCUUAUUUUGGCUGAUUAUGCUAACUUAAACAUGUCUUAUCAUCUAAUUCACCUAUUAUAAUGAUGUUUCAUUGCUACUUAAAAAGAUUUAGAUUAGUUCCCACUAACGUGUUUGAUUAAUUACUAUUAUUUCAUGAUUAUGUUGAUCCAUGUUUUGUAUUAUGAUAACUAAAUCAUGAUUUAUGAAAGAUGGUGGUUGGUCAGUUACAAUGGUCAUUCUGUGGCUGUAAUACAAUUUAGAAUUAUUAGUAAAGCCCAAAUUUGUUGUACUAAUUUUAUUUAGUUAGUGAUGAGUCUAAAUAUUAUUUAAAAAAAUAUUGUUCCUUUUCCUAUAAUCUCUAUAUUUUAAAAUGUACUUUUAAUUAAGUUUUUAAAAGGAAACUAUUUCUUGUUUUAAAAAUAGUUAUUACUAUUUUAAAAUGAGAGUUGAGUAAGAGGGAAGAGGUGAGUGAGCGAUUGUUGGAGGACACAGGAUCCACUACAUUCCACGUCAGCAAAAUGUGGAAAACACAUUUGAUUUUUCUGCUUUAUUAAAAAGAAAGUUUCUAGAAGGUUAUAAUUAAAAAGAAAAGAAAAGAAAAGAAAAAGGUUAUUAGUUCUUUUAUUCCUAUGUGGGGUCACCUAAAACACGUCUCUAAAACCGGCAGAGCCUCUCAUGGUUUGUUCAUCAAUCUUGGUGCUCAAUCCCUCCCCUCACAAAACCCAAUCAAACCUAGCCCUAAUUUCCCCUCCCCCAUUAUAAUCCCACCACUAUUUCUAUUUCUCUCUAACACUUCCUUCCAUGUCCUCCAUCAAGCUCUUCGCGUCCCCCAUCCCCAUCGCCGGUUCACGACGCUCCUCCCCCAGUUUCUACGACGUCCUCCGCGUCAACCACAACGCCUCCUCCCUCGAGAUCAAGACUGCCUACCGCACUCUCGCUAAGAUUUACCAUCCCGAUUCUGUCAGAAGGUCGGACUGCGAUUCUCCUUUUGACGACGGAUCCAGUUUCCUCGAGAUUCACAAUGCGUACGAGACCCUCUCCGAUCCUGCCACUAGGGCUCAUUACGAUCUCGCUUUGGCUGCUUUAACUAGGCGGCCCUUUCUUCGUUCGUCGUCGUCGCGGUCUAGGCCCCACCGGCGCUGGGAAACGGAUCAGUGCUGGUAGGGAUUUGGGGUAGAUUUGUAGAUUUUGAUUUUCUGUACAGUAUUGAUUUGAAUGUUCUUCUUCGUGUAUUGUAUCGUAUCCGAGGAGAUCUUUUUGCGGCUACUUCCUUUCCUAUCAACAACUUUGGAUCCAAGAGUUUGUUUAUAGUCUGGAAAUUAAAAUUUGUUAACAUUACAUAAUAUUUGAAAAUUGAAUUAGUAAAACCUGGAUUUAUUAUUUGGAAAUGAAUAUUGAUAUGGAGGAGAAGUGAACAUAAAUGUUGAGAGAAUUAGGUGAUUUGUUCUUUUUCUUAAACUAUAUAAUUUCAUAUUCUUGCAUUUGCUUGCAACACCACCACAUGGUUAUGUAUGUGUGCUGCGCUAAUAUUUGCUCUCUCUUUCUCUUAUCCUGCUUUUAAUCCUUGUUUAUAUUUCCUCUUUUUCCUUCUUCUUUUCUAUUCACACUUCAUCCCCACAACUUUAUGAUCUUUUAUCUCUACCAUUAACUUUCACAUCCGCUAUUGCAUUUCAAAUUAAGCUUUCCAAGGGUGGUUUCUUGCAUACUGUUGUUUUUUCUUUUCUUGUCUUUUUCCUAUUAUUUUCACAAAUAAUCAUUUUCAUUUUUCCUUUCAAAAUUUAUGAAACCUCUCUUAAAAUUGAGCCUAAUUAAGAAUCUAUAACAAAUAGUUUCUUUUGAUUUUAUUUUCAUUAUUUUUUAAAAAUCAUGCUUCAAUUUCCAAUUUUGAUGACUUUUUUCUAAUUCUUUCUUUUUAUAUAUUUUAACUUUUUUAUUCUUUUUCUUUCUUUAUUAAUUUUUCAUACCAUUUAUUCUUCUUUUCUUUUCAAUGUUUGAUAUUUUCUAAUUUGUUUCUUUUAAUUUUUCAUAAUUAUAUUUUCAAUUUUCAAUAUUUUAGAUUAAUCUAUUUUUUAAUUUUUAAUUUUUAUAUCUAAUUUUUAAUUUUUUCUAUUUAGCUAUAUUUAUUAAUUUUUUUAUAUUUAUAUGUUUAAUUUAAUUUUAAAUUUUAAUCGGUUCAAUACUUAAAUUUAGGGAUUUUUUUUAAAAAUAAUGUCUUUUGGGAAAGUAUUUUCAAAAAUAGGGUAGUUGGGAAAGUAUUUUCAAAAAUCGAUUUGGUGUCGUGGAUCGGGCUUACGAUAUCCGAGUGGAGUCAUGGACCCGGCCCACGUUUUCUGACUGGAGUCGUGUACCCGGUACACGACUCUCGUACAGCUGGCACAUUUUGCCGCGUAAGGUGGAAGUCGUGUACCCCGUACACGACUUCCGUACAAUGAGUCAACGGUCAACCGUCCAGUCAACCGUAGGGUUCACGGGUGGACGCAAUGAGUCAACGGUCAACAGUCCAGUCAACCGUAGGGUUCACGGGUGGACGUAGGGUGCAGAGGGAGCGGACACGUGUCGCGCAUGCAGGAAGUCGUGUACCACUUCACCUAUUUUAAAAGCCCUAAAUUUCUCUCAUUCUGCCUUCAUCCCAAAUAAUUUUUCCUUCCUCUCUAAACUUUUCCUCUUCGUCUUUUUCGUUCUUCCUUCCUCUUUCCUUUCCUCUUCCUUCAUCUUUCCUCUCCUCUUCCUUCAUAUUUCAUCUUCACCUAUUUUAAAAACCCUAAAUUUCUCCUUCAUCCCAAAUAAUUUUUCCUUCCUCUCUAAACUUUUCCUCUUCGUCUUUUUCGUUCUUCCUUCCUCUUUCCUUUCCUCUUCCUUCAUCUUUCCUCUCCUCUUCCUUCAUAUUUCAUCUUUACUCUCCUCUUCCUUCAUAUUUCAUCUUCCUUCAUCUAGUUUUUUCUCUCAUUCAUCUUUCAUCUUUCCUCUUUCUAACCCAUUCUUCAUCCCAACUUCAUCUUUCCUCUUUCUAACCCAUUCUUCAUCCCAACUUCAUCUUUCCUCUUUCUAACCCAUUCUUCAUCCCAACUUCAUCUUUCCUUUCCCCCUCUUCAUCUUGUCUCUUCUUAUUUCAUUCUCCCUUCCAUCUUGUCUCAUUCAUCUUAGGAAGUCGUGUACCCCGUACACGACUUCCGUCCACGUGGGUCAAACUCCUGCAUACGUGGAGCGAAGUGGUCAAAUGUGCUGACAUGUGCAUUUAGGAAGUCGUGUACGGGGUACACGACUUCGUUCAAUUUCAUUUCGAAGUCGUGUACCCCGUACACGACUUCCUUCAAUUUAAAAAAAACACCUAUUUUUGAAAAUAGUUUGGGAAACAACCUUAUUCUUAUAAUUUCUUUCCUAACAACCCUAUUUUUCAAAAUACUUUCACAAAACACAUUAUUUUUAAAAAAAAUCCACAAAAUUAUAAAAAAUAUUCCACACCCCUAAACUUUAAAGUCUUAAAAAUAUUUUAAACUUUCCAAAAUGGUUAAAAAAUACUUUAGUUUCGAAUGAAUUUGUUUCAAAAAUAUUUUGGAAGGAUUGAAAAUUUUCAUAAAUAUCAUUAAUCCUGUAAAAAAUUUAAAAAUAUUUUCAUUAAUUCAAUUUCUACACCAAAUUUUUUAGUUUUCAAAAUAAAAAACAAAAAUUAAAAUUAAAACUAUAGUUGUAAAUUUUUAUAGAUAUUGGAUAUUUACUAAUUUAAAAUUAUUUUUUGAAUUUGUUGUUUUUAUAAUUUUUCAGAAAUAUUCAUCAAAUUUGAAAUUUCUUAAAAUUAAAACUUCAAUCUAUCAAAAUUAUAUUUUAUACAUGGGUUUAAACAUAAAAUUAUUCAUCAUUUGAUGAAGUCUUAAAAAAUCUCCUUAAAACAUACUAAAAUAUACCUAGCAAAAAAAAAUCUCACACUAACAGAUCUAUUAGACUAUCAUUGUACGUUAAUAGUCAAAUACAUGUUUUUUUUUAUUUGACAAUUAACUGUAUGUUAAUUACAAAAGUAACCAUUGAGAUUGGUUAAUUUUGUGAUCUAUCAUUUUGUAUUAAUAAUCAAAUAAAUUUAAAACAAUGGUUUUUAACUUAAAAUUUUGAUUUUGAUUUUAGUUGGUCAGAAAAUUGGUGUAUAAUUGGAAUUAAGAAGAGUAUUUCUUAACUUUUUGUAAGCUUGGGGUAUUUCUUAAAACUUUUCAAUAGUUCAUGUGUAUUUUUGAAACAAAACUUUAACAAGUUCCAUCCAAAAUAGUAAAUAUUUGCUAUAAUGAUCACUCUACACUGAGAAGAAACUAAUAAAACAUAAUUCAAACAUAGCAUGUUUUACAAACAUCGAUGAUAUAAAAGAAUAAGAAAAUCUAGAGUCAAAUUGCACCAAAGUAUAGUGCCUCAAGAUUGAGAGUAUAUCAGUAACCACGAUACCUACUCUCUCAACCAUUAAUCGAUUGGUAGCAAAACCUAACUUUAUUGUUUGUUAACAUGACAUAGAGAAGUACUAGCAGGUUGAUUUCAACAAUCUUCUCUAUAACUACUAGGACAUAUGUAUGCAAUGUGCCCCUCCUACUUGUAUUUGAAAUGUACUCUAUUACUACCCCCUCAUAUGAUGCUUGCCAACAAGAAUUGCAAAAUGGCCUCUCUCAAAGUCUCUCUGACUCCAAUAAUUUGUUGUUGUUAGUGUCAUAAUGCCUUGCCUAAGCUCAAAUUCCUCUGUGAGGGCUUCGCAACCUUUUGCUCUACCUUUCUCUUUUGACCUGAGGAGGGUUCUGUACGAAGGGGCUUUGUUUGCUCUUUCUCCUCUUCAGAGUUAAUCUUCACUACCACACACAGUGCUUCUGCUUGGGUGGUUAGCUUGAAGGCCCAUACAAAACCUUAUAGAUCUUUUCCUAGGCUUCAAACAAACCUCUCUACUCUAGCAACCUCUCUUUCAACCAAUUUAAGAGCAAAACGUGACAACACGUCUAACUUUUAAUUACACCCCUCAACAAUCAUUUGACUUGAUUCAAGUUUAGGAACUUCUGCCGCUUAGCAUCUUUGAGAAUAACAGAGAAAAUUAUAGUGUAGAAGCUCUCCUUAAAUUGAUCCCACUUUAUCGAACUAACAUUUUCACCAACCAUCCUUUUAGUAAAUUGCCACUAAAUCCUACCAUUAUCUUUGAUCAAGAAAAUUGCACUACACCUUUUACUUAUGAGGGCAAUGUUAGGUUUUAUGUCCUAAAAUUUAUUGAUAGUAAAAUGUAAUACAAUGUCAAGUAAAUCUAUACUUGACGCGUUUAUCGACUGUCAAGUAAAGUACUAUUACUUGACACUAAAAAAUCGUCAAAUAUUCUAUUGUUUGACGUCAUUUUCGUGUCAAGUAAGAUAAUAUAUUUGACAUUGUUUAAUGUGUCAAGUAAGAGGUUGUGUUUGAUGGUUUUUAAGAGAUUGUGUUUGAUGGUUUUUUAAAGUCAAGUAAGAUUAUAUACUUGACACUAUUUACAAAUCAAGUAAAAUAAUGUACUUCACACUGAAGAGUUAAAAGCUCGGGACAGCGAAAUAUUUUACAGAAUCAUUCCUUAAUUUAAUUUAGGAAUCCCAAAAUACCAAUAUAUUAGCAAUAUUUAGAAUCAAAAUUCUAAAUAAAAAACUAAGCAUACUUUUAAAUUUAAAGAUACAGAAAACUUACUCUUGUUGACAUCUCUGAAUCUACAAUCCACCAAAUUGGAGACACCACCUAUCGGAGACCUUCCUAUCCUCUGGGAUGAAAUUGGUUUGUGGAAACCAAUUGGAAUAUAAAAAAGUUUUAGAGAUAAUUGCAUAAAAGCAAAAUCAUUAGCUCUUUUUAAUUUGAUUAAGAAAAACUAUUUUUCUACUACAGAUAUAUAACUUUUUUUCCUUCAUAGAGUAGGAAAGAGAGUAUGAGAGAAUCAUGAGAUUAUAUUAAUUUAAAAAUAUUAAAUUAAUAGAAAUUUUAAAUCAACUAAUUAAUUAAUCAUUAAUCAAUUAGUUAAUAAUUAAUAAAAUUAAAUUUAAUUAAUAUUUCAUUUAAAUCUUAUUUAAUGAAUAUCUCUCCAAUAUCUUAUAGUUUUAUAUUAAUUUAAUUAAAUAGUAUUAAACUAAACUAUUAAUUAAUUAAUAACUAAAUUAAAUAUCUUAUAUUUAAUUUAAGUUAAAUUUGAAUCAUAUUCAAAUAUAAAUGUGAUUCAAAUUUAACUUUCUAUCAUAACCAAAAAUUUUAAUAUGAAUCCAAUUCAUAUUAAAUUAAUAUUUGAACUCAUUCAAAUAUUUUAUCUCUCAAAAAUUAAUUUGAAUCAUAUCCAAAAUUCAAGUUAUACAAUAAAGUUUGAUUAACAUAUAAACUUUAUAUUAUAAUGUAUCACCAUAUAUAUAUUAUAUUAAUUUCCAAAGUAAAUUUGAACAUUUCAAAUUACAACUAAUAUAAAUAAAUUUCAUUACCAUUUACGAGCUAGAAAGGGACCUAAUGGAUCUACAGAUCAGAAGCUACAACACUAUGAGAUUAAUUAGCUAAACUCAUUAACCAUAUUAAUUAAUAUUUGUUAACUGUGUGUACACUCCACUAAAGACUCAUAGUUUUAUUCUUCUUCCUGUAGAUAUAUUUAUGUGCCCAUGGAUAUAGACCAAUAAGAGUAAGUUAGUCAUUCGCAAGUGUUCGUAACAUCAACUGGGUCAAAUUACCGUUUUACCUCUAGAUUACCUCUAAUCCUUAAAUAUCAGUGCUCCUCUAACGAACAACUUGUUUAUGGUCCAACCAAUAAAUAGAAACUCUUCUUGUGCCAUAAAGAGGGUAGAGACUCUUUAUUCAAGUCCUGGAGACACCAAAUAAAGGAACACUCAUCUACUUACCCUAAAAUAGGGAAGAAGUAAAUUCCAUCUUAUGUAAUUAUGUUCCCAACUCCCCACUCGAUCUUGUCCCCAAAAUGAUAAGUGUGAGACUCAAUUCUAAUUUGAGUAAGGAAGUAAAAUUCUGCUAGAUAUUAAGUUGGUGUUAAAAUAAAUUUGCAGAAAGGAUUAAGCGAUAAAAUCUUUUAUGGUUAAAUAUACAUUUUUGCGAUUAAGUGGGGUAUUUCGCGAAAGAAGUUGUGUGAUAUGAAGAGAAAAAGUCUUCGCGUAAGUUAAAAAGUGAAAGCUUUGACAAUGUUAGACUAAGUGUUUUGGGUGGUCUUCGCAAGAAGAACCAAAUGUUUCACAAAGAAGAAGUCUGCAAGGAAGCCUUGGAGUUUAAGUUUGCAAUAAGAGUUCUAUGCGAGUAGAAGUUGGUUAGUUCGAGAGAAAGGUUUCUUAUAGUAAAAAUUUAACCACACGAUAAGAUUAUUUGCGAGAAAUGUUAAGUGGUUGAAGUUAUUCACAGUUUGGGUUAGGCGGAAAGCACAAGGUAUGGAGAAGAAAAUAUCAAAUCUGAUGUGACAGAUGUUAACGUGUAAGAUUAAGAAUUUAAGCAUAGGUAGGUUGAAAAUUAAAUUUACACGUGUAAAGUUUUAAGCAGGAGUUGCCGAACUGAGAAGAGUUUAUGCAUGACUAAGUUAGUUUAAGGACUCUAUAAAUAAGAGGAUUUGUGUAAGUAAGAAGGGGAUGAUGAGAGUUUUGUUGAAAUGUUAAAAUGUUGUUGGUUUAGCCACGUGAGAAGAUGUUUGCAAUAAGAAGAAGAAAGACUUCUUUAGUAAAGUUUGGUGAGUGUUUUUCUCUCAAAUGAAUUUAUGUUAAAAACUUUAUUAUGAUUUCUCUUUACUGAUUUGAUAGAAGAAUUCAAAUGAGAAUGUUUUAAAGAGAUUUCUAUGAAAAGUUAUGUUUUCAAGAAUGAUUUAUAAAGUUAAAGUUCGAUUUGAUGAUUAUGAUUUUAAUACUAUAAAAUGGUUUUCAAACCAUUAGUUGUUUCUUUGAGAUUAUGCUAACUUUUAUGUGCACAUAAAGAGUCAAGGCUACCAUGGGGUGUAUGGGUUACAUGGUGAUAAGAAGUUGGCUUAUGAGUUGAAAUGAGCUUAUAAAGCUUAGCGGCUUGAGCAACAAGGACGGAUAUGUAUAUUCUCGGAUGUUGUUGACACAGUAGUCUAAACAUGAGGUAAUGAGACCAAGCGUAGAGAACGAUUCGAGAUCAUUGGUGAAAUGAAAUGAUUUGUUAAGCAUAAAGAAAAGUUUUUCUUUAUGCGAAAUGAAAUGAUUUUUUGGUAUGUUUAAAUGAUUUGAUAUUAUUUUUGCAAAAUGAUUAUGAAAAGGUAUUGCGAACGGUUUUCAUAAAAUCUCACUAAGUCUUUUAGACUUACAAUUUAAAAAUUUAUCUUCCAGGAUCGGGUGUUUAGGCCAAGUAGAGAAGAAGGUUGAAGAAUUUACGGCGAGAUGAUUCAAGGCGUUUUGAAAAUUAUUAAACAUUGGUUAUUUGGUCAAAGUGUUGUAAUAAUGUAUGAAACGCCUAUUAUUAAUAAAGUAUACGUUUUGGUUUGUAUUUAUUUUGUUUGGCGUUACAUUGACCACUAUUGCCUUUUGAGUGUUGUUAAUAGUUUAAAAGGAGUUGAGAAUAAGAUUUGCGAUAAGAAAAUUUCAAGGUUGUAACUAACUCGCAUCUUAUUCCCACUACUUUGACGUUUUGGUCGUAGUGUGGUUUGGGGUGUGACAAUAAGCUUAUUGAGUCGACUAUCUGACCACUCUCACUUGUACAAAUCAAAAGACAAUCCCUCGCGACCAGGAGUUCAUAAACACUCAGGAUUAAGACUAAGUUACCUAGUUCAUCUUAAUGAAAUAGAAACCUAACUAGUUAACAGAGUUACAUCUAGUGAUUACUAUUUUACAAUCCGGUCUUAUGCAAACUCAUUGCAUAGGAUACCCACACACCUACAUGUCUCCUACACGAAUGCAUUGGACCAUUGUGUUUGUAUCAAAUACAAAGUGAGUCGUAUCCAUAAUGUUACCAAGAUAAAGUACUUAGCUUUAUCCCUAUACUAUAAACUUUUUAAGUUGAUUUUGAACAUUGAUCCUUGUAUGUCUACAUACUGUUCAAGACUCAUCAAGCAACUUACGAUGUUAGUUUAUUGGAUUUGAGUUAUUAGGACAAAACUAAUAAUAUAAUCAAUAGCAUUUAUUGAAAUUAUAAUAAUAACACUUUAUUAAUAAUGAUCAAUGGAUUAUAUUUACAAUCUACAAGUUUUAAGACAUAAUCUCAACAUACAUUAUUUACACGUCAAGUAAGAUAAUAUAUUUGACUCUAUUUACCAGUCAAGUGAGAUAGUAUACCUGACACUAUUUACACGUCAAGUAAAAUUCUAUAAUUGACAUGAUUUAUUCAUUAAGUAAAAUGAUAUAUUUGACUCAAAUAAGAUAGUAUACGUGGCAUGUAUUUAACGUCAUGUAUAUUGUUUAUUAAUAUUAAAUAUACUAAAUUUUUAGUUUUCUGCAUUAUGUGCAUUCGUUUCAAUAAGACAUAUCCAUCAACAAAAUAAAUUGUCCAACUAGCAUUUACACAACAAAAAAAGGAUAAUAUGUAAACCAACAUUAAUUUCAUUCUUCUCAACAAUGUCAUCAACAACUACACAAUUACAAUACAAUAUAACAUUUUUAAUUAUCAUAUUCUCAGCAAGGUUUGCAUAACCUCUUCUUGACAUAUUAUGAGUAUAUACUUGCUCAUCUUUCUUUGAUCAUGUUGUUCACUUCUCACUUUCUAUACAAAUUGUAUGUAAAAAUGAUUUAAAAAAAAACAAACAUGGUUUAUAUUGUGAUUAAUUUUACUACAAGAGAAAAGAUUUAUACCUAAAAUUUAGGAGACGGUCUUGACCUGGCAAACUCUUUUCAAACAUGUGUAUCGAUUAUGUGAGAAUACAAUGAAGGUGGAUCUAUCAAGAGUUAUGGUUCAUCCACAAAUGAGAUAAUAUAUUGUGUCGUCAACCAACUCUUGAAUUGACGAAAUAAAACUCCGACCUUUUUCAUAGUGGCCUUCUUACUUCGACCAUCAGCUACAAAUGCUCCCUAAACAAACCAAAUAAUACAUAAGAAAAAAUAAAACAUAUGCACUAAGUAUCAAUAUAUGCAUGAUUGGCUACCAUAAUUGCAAAAUAGCCACAACAUAGUACAACUUAAAAUAUACAAUGUGUGUAAUAUUUGCAUGAUUUCCAAAUGAGAAAGGAUUAUUACAUACCUCAACCAUAUUGUAUAUUUUUCCUUUCAACUUAGUCGGCACUAGCUUCCAAGAUGCAUGUGUAAUUGGGAUAUGAUGAUGCACACAAAAUCCAAUGAAAGAUUGUAACUUGUGCACAUUCUCACCAAUUGGUACUCCAUUUUUCAUUAUAGUCAACUAUUGUUUUUGUUAGAUUUAUUUUUAAAUAUAGUAUUAUUAAUGUGGCCCAUAUGUAUAAUAUCAUAUUUUAUCUGUUUUGGACCUAUUAUUUUAUUAAGCCCAUUAGGUAAAAAUAUAAUGCCCUAAUUAAACACCAUGAUGGGUGAUGUCUAUAAAUAAAACCUUUGAUCCUCUCACUGUCUUUAUUAAGUAGCUUAUUCUUUCCAUCAAGAAACUAAAUCAAGAUCAAAAGGAAGGCAAGUGAGAGAAACCAAAUUCCUCAAAAAGAUUAUUAUGGAUCAAGGUAUGUUAUUCUUAUCUAAAUUUAAUUGUAAAAUUCAUCUAGUUCAAAUAUCUUGGGACUCAUUGUUAAAUACAAUCUUAGGGUUUUAUUAUAUGAUCAUGAAUUAAAGUUUACAGAAGUAAGUUGGAUCAAAAUUGAAAGUAAGCAGAAGACCCAAGUUUUCUUUACCGUGUUUCGGGCAAAUUAUGUGUUAAUCUCAUUUCCAUUCCUUCAAGUAAGUUGUAGAAGGUUUCAAAAUGAAGAGUUUGAUAUAAAGUACAUUAAUUUUUAUUAAGUAUGGAAGAAGUUAAUGAGUAGUUGAAGUUAACUUUCUGAAACUGAAAAUUUCUGAAAAAGUAUAAAAUUAAAGACCCACUCAGAUGGAUUUAUGUUGGUUAUUUAUGGCAUUAAGACUUCAAGUUGAAGCUAAGGAUUCAAAAGUGUAAUUUUAGCUUAAAUUAAAAUAUGUAGGGAUUGAUACAAGUUAAUGUUGAAAAUGAGAAUUUAAAAAUAAAUAGCUUAAAUGUUAAUAAAGAAGUGUUUUAAAAAUUAUUGUGACGUCUUGCUAUGUGAAGGUAACUGAGAGGUCUAAAUAUGUGUAUCAGGCCAAACCGAAGUGGGGAAAGCGUAUAAUCCUAAGACAACGAGUUUUUGACUGUGAGUGACUCAUUUUCAAGCUUUCUUUAUACUUACACAUGUUGUCUUAUGAUAUCGUUGGGUAAUUACAUGAUUUAAAUUUUUUGUACCAAUAUUUUCAUUUAUGUUUAAACAAUGAAUUUACUCAUCAUGAUUUCAAGAAUAUGUUGUUUAGAACUACUUUAUGAAAAUGUGUUUUAUGAUCAUCUUUGGUUUUUAAGCAUAAAAUAUGUGGUUUAUGAAUGAUGGUGAUUUACCCAUAAGCCAUGUGAAUAUGUUUCCGUGGCGCCACCUAUAGUUGUCAGGGGGUUUCGAGGCUAAAAGAGGUCGUGAUCGAAGAUUCGAGAACUUGAGCCUAAGUGAGAUAUAGAUGGAGGUUUGAGAUAUGGCUUUCGGGCCUAGUUUAACCCAUGGUGGGUGGCUCUAUGUGCACAUAGGAGCGGAUGAAUGUUGUUAUUGUGGUAAGUGCUAAUUAUGCGUGAGCUCCAUUUGGCCGCAUGUUUCCUUGUGGAUAUGGAUCACAUGUGAGCUAUUCUGGAUCGUGUAUUUAGUAUGCUAUCAUAGUUGGACUGGAUAGGGAUGAAUACCAUGAUAGUUGCUAAGUAUGUUUGGGCUCCAUUUGUCCACGUGUUUCCUUGUGGUUAUGGAUCACGUGUUAGCUAUUUCGGACUGUGUGUUUAGUAUACUAUCAUGGUCAGAUUGGAUGGAUGCUACUAUUGUGGCGGGUACUAAAUUUGCGUGGGCUAGUUGCGGCCGCAUGAUUUCUUGAUCAUGUGCGUGCUACUCUUGGUCGUUUGUUUAGACACCUUGCCAUGAUCAAACUGGCUACAGGUUUGUUGGUUGAUUAGGGAUUAUGUGAUGAUAACUUUAAUUUAUUGUAUUAUUAUCGAUGCAUAUUUACACAUCGGAUUGAGUAUAUUUUUACAAGUUUUUAUAUUAAAUUACUUACUACUUACUAAGCUUUCAACUUAUGUUUUCAAUAUUUUCUCCCUCUCCCAAGUAACAACCCAAGACCAAGCAUUGUUUAGCUGUGUCGUUCUUGUGGAUCUUCACUUUUUUUUUUGUAUGUGUAUAGUUUAAAUUUUUGUAAUUCAUCGUGGGGUGGUUAGUCUUAUCUAGAGAGACAUUAUGGACUUGUGUUUUGGAAGAUCCCUAAUUAGUUUGAAUACUUUUGUAUGUAAUACGUAGUUUGCACCUUAAAUUCUACUUGAAGUUUUGAAACCGUCUGGAUGUAUGUGGUGAGACAUACUAGUUAUAUAUAGUAUCUGAAGUCCGUUUAUAAUCAUAUAGAAGUAGAAACAUAUUCUUUUUUAGGUAUGGCUACCCCAUGUUUUAGGGAAGGUGCUAUCAAAUAUUUUAUAGAUUUCUAUUGAAAAAAGUGUUUAUUAAAUCUUAUGUUUCAAAAGAAUGUUUUAAGAAGUAGAUUCACACCACAAUCUAGUUUAGAGAAAAAAUUUAGAACGAGGUGUGACACUUUUAGAAGUUUGCAAUAUUCAAUUCUUCAAAACUUCAAUUCUUCAUUCAACUAAAGACCUCUAUUUAUAGAGAAUUUCCAUAGACUUUAGGUGAGUUUGGAUCAUUUACUUGUUGGAGUUUAAAUUUUGCAAUUUUCAAUGUUUUAGAGCUUCAAUCCUUUAUUCAACCAAAGAUCUUCAAUGGGAAGGCCUUUGUUCAUAUAGAAUUUUCAUGGGCUUUAAAUAAGCUUGAGUCUAUUUGCUUGGUGGGCUUAACUGGCUUAGACCCAUUUACUUGGUAGACUUGAGUCAAUUAUCAUAUUUUGUCCAACUUUUACAUAAGAGGCUUGAAUUAGGUUGGAUAUGAUACAACUUGAAUACUCAAACCCAAAUAAAUUAUGGUUAUUACAAUUUUUGUUGUGAUAAUAUGGUGUAAUUUAAUUGAUAGAAAUUUCUUAGUCAACAACAAUAUGCAAAAUAUCAUUAAAAAAAUGAUAUGCAAAAGAUGGAAUACAUAGAAUGAAUUGAGAACAUGAAUAUUGGGGGACAAUUGUAAAAAUAGCAAAAAGAAAAAGAUUAUGAUAAUAGGAUCCAUAUCAAUAAUACAAAACCAUGUUAAAAUAAAAUCAUAACUUGUAUAUAUAUAUUUAAAAAAUGAGGAAGAGUGAUUAGAUAAGAUAGAAAAGAAAGAGAUAGAUAGGGCAACGUUAAUUGAAUCUUAGAUUUAUAAGUGUAACAAAUUUAAUAUCUAACACGAAACACCAUUCCAAUCCAAUCCAAUCCCUAGAAUUUGGUUUCAACUAACAUCGAAUUGGGGAAUUGGGGAAUUGGGGAAUUGGGGAAUUGGAAAAGGAAAAGGCGAAUAUAGAAAAACCAAAUACCAUAGUCAAUUUAGCGACUGUGCUUAUCUCCCUCCGCAAGAAAAGAAAGAAGAAGAAAAAAAAAAAAGUAAAAGCUUUUCUCAAUCUCCCAAUACUUUCUUCCUAAGCUUCAAAUUCCAGCUCCGUAAUUCUUUUAACUCUGAUUUCUCCACCAACACUUACACAUCGUGGAGCAACAUCAUACUGAUUCAGUUUACGAAGACGAAGAAGAUGAGAAUCACUGUGAUGACAGCCGACGAACAGAUUCUUUCCUUGGAUGUUGAUCCCAAUGAAUCUGUAAGUUUCUUUAUUUUCUUCAUUCACAAAACCCCAACUCCAAUUUCCUGCAUUAUAUCUUCUUCUCUCCAUUAUACCCACUUUUCUUUUUCCUUGGAUUGCUUCCUCAUGUUAAACCUUUUCCUCUUUCCUGCCAAGUAGGUUGAGAACGUGAAGGCUCUGCUCGAGGUUGAGGUGAGAAUUCUUUCUUUAAUAUUCAUUAUUGUGAUCGGUAGCUGAGGAAACUUGGGGUUUUGAACUUGUGGGAAUUGAACAUUUGGAUCUUAAUUGUUGGUGAAUUUGCUACAUUUUGUGAUCCAAAACUAUCCUACAUUUGAGAUUAAAUCCAGGAGAAGUUCUCCUUUUUAAUGGUUAUGGUUAUUGGUUAGCUCAUUCUAUCUAUGUUUGACUUUUAUCGUUGCUUAGACUCAAGUACCGCUUCAGCGGCAGCAGCUUCUGUACAAUGGAAAGGAGAUGAAAAAUUUUGAAAAACUGAGUGGCUUGGGUGUUAAAGACGAAGAUUUGAUUAUGAUGGUAUCAGCUGGCGCUUCUAGGUAUGUUUCUCUCGUUCUCAGAUUGCAACAUCUUUAAUAUAAUUCUGUAGAUGUAGUCUUAUAGUUGUAGGACACCUGAUGAGUCGAUGACAUAGCCUAGUCAUUGCACCCAUAUAACAGUGGUUACUCUCCUGUAUUUGGUGGAAUAAUCUUGAUUAGUUUAGAGUCAUCGGCGUUGUAGUAGUUUCCAAAUUAUUUUGUUUACUGAGGUGUUAACAUCUUUUUGUACCACAAAAGAUCAUAAAUAGAGGUAAAAUGUAAAGCAGACACCUAUUAUUGUUUUCUCUAGAAAUAAAAAAUCCAUCUUCUUUUCUUUCUGAACCCCAACCAAGACCUCCUUUGAAGUUUGAAAGCCUUCAGAAUUGACCCUUCAGUUGAUUUUCUUCUAUUUGAUAAAUACAUUUUCUCCCCCUUUAUCAUAGUUGCUACCAUCUCAGUCUUUGCUUUCUUACACUUUAACAAAUCUAGAAAGAAGAUAGCAUCUCAGUCUAAAGAAUACUUACAAAAAGUCUUCGAAAUUGAAUUCCAACGAGGAACAUGAAACCUUACUAAAGACCAAGCUUCACUAGGAUCUCUCUGCACACCGCAAAACACUGUUAUUUCUCUCCUCCCAAAGAUCCCACAACAAAGUGUGCACCCUUGCAAACUAGAGAAAAUGACCUUUCUUUGAGAGGUAGAUGGAGGAAGAACUUCCUGAUCAUCAAAGAACAUUUGUCUAAUGAGCAAGCUCAAAAUCAAGCUACUUAAAGAAGCCAUUCCAUACCGAUCUAGCAAACCAACACCUCCAGAGAAGGUGAUCCAGGGUUUCCUUCAUCUUCUAACAAAGGAUACAACAAAAAGGACCCAUUAACGACGAUAUCUCUCUGAAAAGCCUAUCCAUCAGGUUUGACCACGCAAAAAUUCCCACAAAAAGAACUUGAGUUUCUUUGGAAUCUUAAUCCUCCAUCAAACACCAAGGACUGACUCAACAACAUGAGAGAGGUUCAAUAAAAUCCUAAAGAAAGACGGGUAGGAUUCCAAACACGAACAUCCUUUCUUCCAAGCCUCGAAACCCUCAAUAAAGGAGAGGAAAGAGACCACCUCCAUUGUUUCCACAUUGGACAAAGGCCGGUGGAAACCAAAGGAGAAAGAAGUAUUCCCAACCCAACCCAACCAAAAAAUUCGACACAUGACAGGUUUUCAAGAAAGACAAAUGAUAUAAUCGAUGAAGCUGGUCUACCCCCCACCCAAUGAUCGUCUCAAAAAUAUGUUUCCUUAACAUCACUGACUAACCAAAAAACGAAGAUGGGAAAAAGGAAGGGAGUUGGAAAAAAUGUCUUUCCACACAAUAUAAUUCAAUGGGUCUUUAACCCCUUUUGCCACCCACUCUAGGGAUGGGGUCAUACUUGGUCACAGUAAGGCAUCUAGCCAACAGAGCUUUGUUGUCCAACCUUAAACUUUUUGCUAAGAAGUUUUAUAGCUCUAACAGCCCGUCCCCCCCCCCCCCCCCCCCCCCAAAUCAGUUUCCCCACAACUUCCCAGCUAACCAAAUGAGCUUCUCAAUGCUCUCACAAAUCAAGAUAGGCACAGUGAAGAGAGAAAAAUAAUGGAUGAUGACUCCACUCAAUACCUAUCUGAUAAGGGUUGGUCUCUCAACUUUGGAGAAGAAGCUUUUCUUCCAUGAAAACCAACCUUUUGCUAAUCUCCUCCAGGAGGUUACCCAAAAAGAGAUAGCUGCUGGGAGGUCGAGAUAGGAAGAAAGAAAGGAACUGGUAUCUUAACCAACCGAACUUUCCCAUGUAUUAAGCUUUUCCAGCUCAUAGUUUAUACCCAAGUUUUGAGGCUUUUGUUAAUUUUAAGUCCUAACAUCCCCUCAAAGGACUGUAACAUGUGAUUAAGGACAAAGAAAGAGUCCUCUUUGCCAUAUCAGAAGAACACUGUGUACUGUAAUCAUCAAACUAAAGAUGAGAUAUCCUCCUAAUAUAUGUUUCUUGUUGGGCUUUGAUUUCAAAGACUUUUUGUAAUUAUUCUCCUGACAUGAUUUUGUAUAGUUGGGCACCCUUCCUGUAGUGGGGGUCCCCUAAUUUUUGUGGGCUUGGUUUUUUGUGCGUCCAUGUACUCUUUCAUUUUUUUUCUCAAUGAAAGCCGUUUAUUUCAAUAAAAAAAACUAAAAAGGACACAGAGCCACAUCCUUAGAACCAAUCUUAGAGGGCUCAAGAAUGCUUCACUCCACCACCUCCUUUAAAGAUAUGGCUUAAAACUUCUUCAACCAAUAGGAAUAAGAAAGUAGAUAAAGGAUCCCUCAGUCUCAACUCUCAAGCCUCUGAAGGCCUCCUUUAUCGAACCCUUUAGAAAAUCUUUGAUAAGGGUUGAAUAUUUCACAUUCCUAAUGCAUUUUUACAUCCAAAUUCUCCAUUUAUACCAAAACCUUUCUUAUCCAUCACUGUGUCCAAGAAAUCCCAGUCAACAUGGUUGUAAGCUUUUUGAAAGUUGAUUUUAAUAAUCACCUUCAUUUUUCUUUGUUUUAUUAUCCCCGAUGACCUUGUUCGCAGUGAGGGCUGGAUCAAGAAUCUGUCACCUCGGUAUAAAAGCUCCUUGAGCCUCCAAAAUGGUCAAAGGAAGCAUUUUCCUUAAAUGAUUAAGCAGGACCUUCGCAAGGAUCUUGUGAACACUAGUUAUAAGACUAUAGAUUUGAAAUCCUUAACCCUGUUUGCUUAUUCCUUCUUAAGAAUAAGAUACACGGAGGUUUCUGAAAAGGAGAACUCCUUAACGAUUAUCACGGAAGAUGUUUUUUCCUCUCAUUUCUUUAAAAACUAAGAAAUGGCAAAAGAGUUGACAGAGAUCAUACUAAUCACAAGACUCGGAAUGACAAACAUCUCAGGCUCUCACCCAAGAUAUAGCAUUUCUAAAUUGUGAGUAUAUAUAUGUUUGAAGAAAGAGAAAGAAGGUGAUCACUAAGAAGAAAACAUCCAAGGCAAAGCUGAUUCCAGAGAUCAAUCCACAGAUUCAUUAGAAUAAAACUGUGCCCAAGUUCAGGCUCUCAGCCAAGGAACUAGAUCAUAUUCCCAAAAAACUCACUCUCCCCAAUUCAAGUACUCUGUUUUCUCAAUGCCUAAUUCAAAGGUGAAAUUCCUUAGAGGUACUCUGGUCAUUCCUUCCAAAAAGAAGUGUGAGACAAAUUUCCAUUCUUCUUUCAGCAUGAGUAGUGAAGAAUAUGAUCCUUUUGAAAAAAUAGGAAAAAAUGAGGAACAGUUGCAAAUGGAGCCGUUAAAAACAGACCUAAAUACUCUGGUUCUUAUUGAUAAAGAAAGGGAAGAUGAAUUGAAGUUGACGAAAAGUGUCCGGUUUGCCCAUUCUUCAGUUCAGACCAUCGGACUUCCAGAUCACCUGAAAUCAUUUGUAGCUGAUUGCAGGACAGUGUUUGGUUGAUCCUUCCCAGCAGUUUUUGAGUCCUUCAAAGUUUUCAUGGUCUUUUUUUGCACAUUAUCUGAUAGUUGUUUUUCUGUCAAAGCUGAGGAAGAGAUCAAGAGUCAGAUGUUGGUACCUCGGUUGUGUUUUAGAUCUGAAGUAGCUUGGUCGCCUGCCUUUUCCUGGUGUCUCCUCUUCUUCCAUUUUGAAGUUUUCAGUGUGCACGUUCUCAGCUGAAUUUGGGCUUUGUUUUGAAAGAUUCAUCAAGUUUUCUCUGUAUUUUGUUUUCUCUUGUUUGCUUAGGGCCUAGAAGUUUUUUUAUUAGCUUGUUUGUACUUUUGUUUUGAUCACUCUUUUGUCCUUUUAGUCCUUUCAGUCUUAGUAUAUUUCUCUUGUAAUUUGAUCUUUAGUCUCAUUAUUAUCGUUAAUAAAGAGGCUUGUUUCUUUUAAAAAAAAAGAAAAGGACAAAUAUUUCUGUAGCUUCAGCUAGUCUGCUGGUUUUCCAGCAAACUUAUCGGAUUUUAUCUCCACAAUUAUCAUUAAGUCCUUUCAAAAACAUUGGUUCAACCUUUUGAAGGCUUUUCUGUGAAACCUAUGACUGGAGAGGAAUAAAAAAAUCUUCCAUGGGACAAAUCUUCGUAUGAUUUUUUACCUAAGAAUGUUUUCUUGACCAAGUGUAUUGGAAUAGGGUGUUCAGUAGAAAUGCUUUAACCAUAAAGCUUCAUUGAAGUUUGAAUAUUGGCCUGUUACUACUCGUUGCAAUAGCAGUCAUAAUUUUUUGUUCUUCUUUCUUGUAAAAUACAUCAACGGGACUACUUUUGGUUAGGAGCCAGUGGAUUGGUGAUUUUCUUUUACUUGGGUUCUUGAAUAACUUAUUUAUGGUUAUGUGGGAAGUUUGGUGAAAUAUAGUGGUUGCUUUAGAAGUCACCUUUCUUUUGCUGAUCACGUGUUGAUGCUUGUGGAACUUGAAUUAUGCCUUUUGUGUUAUUAAAUGUAUACAAUGCGGUGGGCAUAGAGCGAACUAUUCUUUCGCCUUUUACUAAAGAGAACAUUGUGUGCUCACCGCUAUAAAGCGGCAUAUGCCUAUUUUUGGAGACCCUUCAUUCGUGGUGGGUCCCUUUAAAAAAAAUCUAUACAAUUUACACCAUUUUACUCACCCAUGCUUGCUUUUUAUUCGUAAUCUAAUGUCCAUAACCUUGCAGUGCUCCUACCAAUAACUUGAGCUUUAAUCCAGAUGGUUCUGCAGUGAACCCUGAAGCCUUCCAGCAACACAUUAGACGUGACUCAAAUACAAUGGCUCAACUUUUUCAGGUAAAAACUAACAUAUUGCUUCAUAAGUUCAUUUUUUACAUUUUCCGUUGAGAUAGAAGUUAAACUUAUCCUUUUUUCUUGGCAACAAAACAAAAUUUUCAUUGAUUUUUCAACAAUUACAAUGAGAAUAUACUCCACUUAAAAGAUUACUUGAAAGCGAGCCAAUUAGAAUUAAUUUAACUUGCAUAAUACAAUCUUACAGAAGUCACUAGAAUUAUCUCACAAGAAGCUGCUUGAUAUUUAAUUAUUCCUACCUACUCUCCUAACGGCUAACACUAACAUAUUUGUCUUCAAAAAAUAUUUCAUUCCUUUCAACCUACCUACUCUUCUGAAUCUAUUCGCUUGACUAAUUGUAAACUAUUCUCAACAGUGGAUUGAAAAACUCUAGAGAACCAAAAUCUUUUGUAUGAGAAAGGCCUAAAACUUUUGGCAGAAGAACAAGUGAAAACCAUUUAUCCUCCCUUUGGACUUAGCUCACAUACUUAGUAUAAAAAUUCCAAAAAGGACAGCAUUUUUGAAGUGUUAUCAGACACGUUUACUCCAGAGGAUAGUUUCAUAACCAUAGUUAUUGUUGAAUUUUUUUUUUUCUGGUUUCCAUAUUGGAUAAAUACACAAAUGAUGAUUAAAGUGGUUUGUUUGAAUUUCUUCACCUCACACACGAUUUGAUAUUCCAAAUACUGCAUACACCCACCUUUAAAAUCAAAGAUUUUACCUGAAACUAACAGACCUAAAGUGUUCUAGUGGCAGAGCUCGUAACAGUGAACCAAACACACCUUAUGAUUUUUCUUAUUGAUGCGUUUGAUUUCCAGUACUUGAAUAGUUCAAACAUAAAAACAAACAUGAUAGUAAGUUGAUAGGCUAUGAUUGCCAUGUAGGUGAGUGCAGGUAAAUUGAUUGCAUGUAUCAACUUGCUCCUGUAUUGAAGUUCAUUUUCUUUAAAACGAUCAUGCACCUAGUGAGUAAUUGUUCAAUUCAUAUGUGGGCUCUGCAGAGUGACCCUGAAUUGGCACAAGCUAUUGUUGGAAACGACCUGAAUAAUCUGCAACAGAUUUUAAGAGAACGUCAUCGUCAAAGAUCUGUAUUACAGCGUCAACAAGAAGAGGAGAUGGUGAGUAGGUUAUUUAUUAUUCUCUAUUAAUAGCCUAAUUGACUGAUAGAUUGAUAACCUGACUAUGAUCUCCUUAUUUCUGGUCUCUUAGGCCCUUCUGUAUGCAGAUCCUUUUGAUGUUGAGGCCCAAAAGAAGAUUGAAGCUGCCAUUCGCCAGGUUAGAAUAUUUUAUUAUCUUGUUUUAUUCCAACACAAAUUACAAAUUGUUUUCCAUUUCUUUCAUUCUUUCCCAAUGAAAGUUGUUUCUCAUUAAAAACAGAAAGAAAAAAAAGUUGUUGCCCAUCGGCAUUGACAUUGUUGGUUAAAUGCUUGGGUUAGAACUUCUUUGGGCUUAUAUGAAGAUUAUAUUUCCACCAUAAGAUUAGAAUAACAAGAGGGCUUGUGGGGUCUUGUUUUAGGUUUCUUCUUUUACUGCACACGCUCCCAUAAUUCUCUCCUGGCUGAAAUGGAGAAGUUAUUGACAAUAAAUGAUUUUUGAUAGCGGACCUUUGUUUUCAUGUUAUGUAAAAUGACUUCUGUUAAAUAACCAAUAUGGCAAUACCUACGCAGAAAGGAAUUGAUGAAAAUUGGGCUGCAGCUCUUGAACACAAUCCCGAAGCUUUUGCAAGGGUGGUAAGUGUUACAUUGACCAACAUUAUCCUCUUUUAAGUUGUAUGGUAUUUUGUUUCAUGGUUUGACGUUUCAUCUGGAAGUCUUCAGGUCAUGUUAUACGUUGACAUGGAAGUUAAUGGUGUCCCAUUAAAGGUAAGUGGAACUAGCACAAAUCAUUCAUUUUAGUUUUUUGUCUGCUACAGUUUAGAAAAUGUGAGAAGGCACUGCAUUUGAACUUGUUAAUUUCAUUAGUGGUCCUUGAUCAAUAACUGAAUAAUUUUAGAAUAGAUUCAACUGUUUGUGAUAUAUGGAUAUUGUUUCUGUGUCUACUAAGGUGAGAUAAAAAUUUAAGUGAUUUAAUGGUAUUCUAUUAGGCAUUUGUUGAUAGCGGAGCUCAAUCAACAAUUAUAUCAAAAAGCUGUGCUGAGAAAUGUGGGUAUGUGGAAUCUAUGCAUCAUCUGAUUUUCCCCUUCUCUAUAGUGGCCUAAGUAAUCGGGCUUUCAUCAUCAUUUCUAUGUGUUGCCUGAUUAGAUUUGUAAAAUUCAUAGCAUAGCAUGUAUUUUGACUUUUUUUCUGUUUCUUAUAAAAGAAAUGCAUAGCAUUUGACACAGUCUAACAAAAAGGAAAAUAACUGUUAUAAUGCCCAGCUAAUUCGCUGCAUGCUAUUAUUAUUAUUAUUAUUAUUAUUAUUAUUAUUAUUAUAUGAACUAUCGGCCACAACAUUGUUAAAAUCUCUACUGGGUUUAAUCAUCAAGAAGGAUACAGUCAACCUAUGUUUCUAACAGUUAUUAAUCUUGUUAAAAUGUGUAAGCAUGCCAUUAGACAUUACCAAAACCUAGGGACAUCAUGUAACCAAAGGAGACACUCAGGCAGUGUUUUUAAAGGCUCAAGGCGCACUAAGGCGCAUUGGUCCUCUGGAGCCUAGGCGCAAGGCGCAAAAAAAAGCGCGAGCUUUUUUUCAUAAGGCGCACUAUAUAUAAAAAGAGAAGAAAAUAUAUAUACACACACAUAUAGCAGAGCAACAAUGUAUAAAAUAUAGGUACCCAAUAUAAGUAGCCUAAACAACAAAACACAACAAAAAACUACCCAGUAUUCAACAAGUCAAUAAUCAAAAUAAAAGUUCAUCCCUAAAGAUCAAACUCAUCAUCACUAAAUUGAUCCUCGUCUUCAUUCACUCCUUCGUUAGACUUAUUGCCAUCAGUAUCUUCUUCUUCCAAAUCGAAGUCAUCUAAAUUUACUUGUUUCCGUUGCGUGGUAGACGAGGAUGAACAUGAAACAAUAGUCUUUGCUCUAGAGGUACUAGCUCUAGAAUAGAAUGAUGGUUCUUUUGCUCCGACAGCUCUAGAAACAUCACCCCACGUUAAAGAAUCAUCGUUAAAUACCAACUCAUCAUCCUCCUCAGAAUCGUCAUCCAAUCUUCCAAUCAACCAUUCAUUACUAUCAUCAAUAUCUUUCAAGGAGAUGGGGUCGACAAUAUCUCGUAGGUUGUAUCGACGUUUUAAUGCUCUGUUGUAUUUGAUGAACACUAGAUCAUUCAAACGACUUUGAGCAAGCCUAUUUCGUUUCUUGCUAUGAAGCUGAAAAAUUAGAAAGUUUCAUUGUCAGUGAAUCAACAAAUUUUGAUUAUCAUUCUCAAUGUACUUAAGGAGAGGAAAGGUAACCUGUUCAAACACACUCCAAUUACGCUCGCAUCCAGAAGCACUACAAGUAAGACCUAAAAUUCUCACAUCAAACUUUUGCAAGUUUGGAGUUGAUUGUCCAAAAUUAUCCCACCAUUCCACUAUAGGCACAAACAAAAAAAUAUAUAUAUUAAUAGAAGAGCUUGUUGCUAGUAUCGUUGAGUAAUCGUUUAGUUGAAAUUUACCUGGAGAUAUUUUGUCCCUUUGUCUGAUUGCUAAAGGUUGUCCGAAUAAUGCUUCAGCCCUCUUAUACUUGCUUAGUUCUGCAAGUAUUUUGUCUUGUACUUCCAAUGAAGCAACCAUUUUUGUUAUGCAUGAGUAGAGUCCAUUAACUAUUUCAUCAUCCUCCUGGAUGUUAGGAUUCGAAUAAUAGAAUGACAGGUUUAAAUAAUACCCCGCUGCAUGCAGAGGACGAUGCAACUGAAGCUCCCAUCUUUUAUCAAUUAUGGUGAAAAUGUCCUUGUAUUUUUCUUCAUUAUUAUUAAAGGAUUUAGCAAUAGCUUCCUUAGCUCUAUCCAUGGCCUCAUAAAUAUAUCCCAUAGGUGGCUUCUUCUCGCCAUCAACCAAUCUAAGAACUCGGACUAGUGGGCCAGAUACUUUAAGAGUGAAAACAAUUGUAGUCCAAAAACUAGCCAACAAAAUAGUCUGAACUACUCGUUUCCCUUGUUGCUCCUUACUCCAUUUGCUGUCCUUCCAUUCAUCUGAAGUAAACAUCUUCCUCAGAUUAUUCUUUUGACGAUGUAUACUCGAUAAUGUAAUGCAAGCAGUAGCAAAACGAGUCUUAGCUAGUCUAACUAACUCCUUUUGGUUAGUAAAACAUCGCAUCAUGUUUAACAAUCCAGGAUGAACAUAUAUGAAAUUGCUAAUCUCUAUGCCUCUUUUCAAUGCUUUGCGAAUAUUCGAGAUCUUGUAUAUAUCCUCCAACAUCAAAUCUAAGCAAUGAGCGGUACACGGAGACCAUAUUAACUGUGGUCGCUUUGCUUCUAACAAUCUCCCUAUUAACAAAGAAAAUAAGUACACAUUUAACGUAGAACUCAACUAAAUCUAACAAAUUAAAGUUAUAACUUGUAAGUAGUCUACAUUCUUACCUGCCAUCACAUUUGCUGAGGCACUAUCGGUAACUACUUGUCCAACAUUCGCUUCUCCAAUUUGGUCUACAAAAUUAUCAAAUAACUCGAACAUCUUCUUUCCAUCUUUCACAUAAGAUGAAGCAUCGAUGGACUCAAUAAACAUGGUGCCUUUAGGACUAUUAACUAAAAAGUUAAUUAAUGUCCUAUUUCUUCUAUCGGUCCAUCCAUCAGCCAUAACAGUGCAUCCAACCUUGGCCCACUCUACCAUAUGGUUACUCAUCAACUCAUUUGUUGCUUCUAAUUCCUUCUUCAAACAUGGAACUCUUAACUCAUGAUAAGAUGGUGGUUUCAAUCCAGGACCGAAUUGCCCAAUUGACUCAAUCAUAGGGGCAAAACUAUCAUAUGUGCAGGCAUUCAGAGGCACUCCUGCAUCAUAAAACCAUCGAGCAAUUCUUUGGAUGGUGUGCUCUCUCAUUUCCUUCUUGUAUGUCGCAUUCAAUGAAGUUUGUUUUCCUUUGUCCUUUCUAUUUUGAACCACAGUUUCUGGGUUAGGAGUAAAAAAUGCAUCCAUUGGACCCUUUUGCCUUGGCUUCUUCAAGCUCGGGCCCCUUGGUGUUGUUAUGUUGUUUACACUAACACUCCCUUCAUCUUCAUCCUCGAUACCGUAAUCUUCUACAUCAAUGUCCACAAUCAGAUUUCUUUGUUCUUUAAUCUCUUUUUUCUUGGACAUGUACUCUUUAAUUUCUUCCUUCACGUGAUCCGAACAUUUUGUACAGGCGGUGACAUUUCUAUAACCACCAACGAGGUGUUGUUUCAUUCUAUAUACCCCUCCUUUUGUUACUUUCGAACAAAAUCCACAGACAAACGUAUUUAUAUUUUGGUCAUUUUGCAAUUGACCAUAUUUCCAUGCCGGAUCUUUUCUCGAACUUUCAUCAGCCAUCUAUGAUCUAAGUUAUAAAAAAAAAAACAGAAACUAUUUAAAACAGCAGCUGUUAUUAAAAAAAAAAAAAAACAGAAGCUAUCUAUGGAUGGGAUGAAGUUGUUAUAAAUGGAGGAUUGGAGGGGAGUGUGUUGUGAGAUGGAUGGGAUGAAGGUUGAGUUUGAUGGGUUAUCGAAGGAAGUUGAAGUUGAGAAGUAUAAGAAGAAGAAGAUGUAGACUUUAGAGAGUUUUUUCUAACUCAAUGGGUAUACCAUGCUAUGAAAACAGAAAACAAUGGAGUUUGAUGUUCUUGUCAAAGAGUUACAGAAGAAGGAGAAAGCAAUGCAGAUGUUAACUGAACGAUUGAGAUACUAACCCGUGAUAAAGCUGAGAUGGAGGAGGCGAAAACUGAAGCACUAGCAGCACUGUAGCACAGAAUAUUAUUGUCUUCUCUUUUCCUCUGUUUUUGCACCAAAAAACAGAGUAAUGGCAGCCGCAGCACUCGUUUUGUGUGAAGAAGAAGGGUGGCCGGAACGGAAGGGUGGAAAAGGAAGCAAACGGAAGACGAAGACGAAGAACUGAAGUAGAAGCAGAACGGAAGACGAAGAACUGAAGAAGUAGAUGAAGAGUCGUGUGCACCAAAAAACAGAGUAAUGGCAGCCGCAGCACUCGUUUUGUGUGAAGAAGAAGGGUGGCCGGAACGGAAGGGUGGAAAAGGAAGCAAACGGAAGACGAAGACGAAGAACUGAAGUAGAAGCAGAACGGAAGACGAAGAACUGAAGAAGUAGAUGAAGAGUCUUCACGCGCGAAAGGAGAAGGGUUCUUUCUUCACGUUUACGUAAUAGGUUUAAAAAACCUAGAUAAUAAUAGUUUUUUAUAAUUAAAGCCCAGCCCAUAACUUAUAAAAAAAAGCCCACGCCUAAUUCAACUUGCGCCUAGGCGCGCCUCAAGGGAGGCGCGCGCCUAAUAUGGGCUUUUUAUAAUUCGCUGCGCCUCCUCACAAAUAAGCCCCAAGUGGGCGCCUUGAGCCUAGGCGCGCCUAGGCGCGCGCCUUAGGGCGCUUUUUAAAACACUGCACUCAGGAACUGCAUAAAGUGAGCGUAAUGGGGAAGUUAAUUCCAUUUCUAUCCACCUAGGGUCUUACUUAAGCCACUUGUCACCAUCUUUAAGGAAGAAGCCUUCAUAAUGUAAUGAUGACACCUACAGAUCAUGGGCAGCUCUUACUGUGUUACCCGAAGUGGAUUUAUAUGGUUAGGGUAUCCCUCUUUGCCCAGCCCUUAAGCUGUUUGGUUUCCUCUUUUUGCCACAUGUACCUCUUGUUUCUUAUCACGCACACAAAAUAAAAAAGUAAUAAUAAAAGAAAGACAAGAAAAAGAAAAAAAAAAUACACUAGAAGAAUCCUAUCCAUAUUGUCGCUUAAUAUUUUUGCAUAAUAAAUCUUCUACUUUUGAAGAUUUAUCUACAGCCUAUUGUUAACAGGAGCAAGGUUUCUUUUUGACAUUCCCAUUUUCCCAGAACCUCCUGAUAGGAACAUGAACUAAGAAGCACAACCAAGAUACAGACAGUACAGAGCACUAUUUUCUAAAAGAAUUGAAAAGAUGAAUAUAGUCAACAUUCAAACAUAAACUAUAAGCUUGAGAAAUCUUUUACUGAAUUUGACUAUUUAGUAUUGUCAAACAUAAUAAAUUAUAUGAUGUAAAUAUUUCAAGAUGCCUAUUUAUAUUCUGAAUACAGCACUUGACUUAAAGCAAAUUUAUUUAUUUUUAGUAAAUUGUAUUUAUUUGGAAAGGAAAAUUUCAUUGAUAAAUGAAAUAAGGGGAAGCACCAACGCCUAUAGGUUAUAACAUAACUUUCCAAUUGGAAAUUAAAUAGGAUAAGCUAUAAUGUGUAAAAGGAUCCUUAGUUUUGCUCUAAAAUGUAGACAAAACCAAAUCCAUAAAGGGGUCAAAAGAAGAAAAAGAAGCCCUGAAGAAUGCAUAGUUUAGUUAAUUGCCUCCAGAAGGACUAAACAUUUUUCAACGAUAAGAUAGGACCAAGUGUAUCACAAGACACAGACUGUUCCAAAUGAAAUUAUCAUUCCUAAAUCUUCUCACGCCAUUUCAUUAAGUUCAAUUGAGUAAAAUAUUUCUACUUAUGAAUUACUUUAGAUACCAAACAUACACUCUAAUACAAUUCAGAUUUUACCUUAUUUCAACUGUCUAUCCAAAGUAUCUAUAACAAAAUAUCUGCUUGGUUAUUUACUUCUCUACCUUUAAAAUAUCUGUUUGGGUGAUCAUCAGAUUGUUGAGGCUUCUAGAUCAACGCUACAAGGGCAUUGCUCGUGGAGUAGGCCAAUCAGAGAUCUUAGGUCGAAUCCAUGUAGCUCCAAUCAAGGUAUGUAAUCACUAGUAUUUUCUUUUUUUCCUGUCAAUCAGGUCCUACAUGCAGUAGUGUAAUUUUGUUUGACUAGGUAAACCAAGCUACAUAAUCUUAUCAAUUUUUCAUCACAAUUUCAUUGUGCUUGGAGAAGGAAUUUAAUUUGCUUCGGUCUAAAAUUUUUAGCAUUCUCUUUAUUAGAUUGGUAGUAUAUUCUACCCCUGCUCCUUUCUGGUACUGGAUUCCCCAAAUAUGGACUUCCUAUUUGGUCUGGAUAUGCUACGGAAACACCAGGUAUUACUCUGUGCCUUAUUGGACUUGAAAGUCAUGGAGGUUGUUGUCGCACAGAUAUCAUUCCUUUUUAUUUUGUUUAAAAUGUAUAGUUAUUUUCUUGUAGUGUAUUAUUGAUUUGAAGGAGAAUGUUUUGAGAGUUGGUGGAGGAGAGGUCUUUGUACCAUUUUUGCAAGGUUGGUAUUUCUAAUUUGCGAAUUUGUUCCCCAGUCGCACAUUUUUUUAAGUAUACUGAAGUUUCCUUUCGUGUUACAAAUUAAUGUUCAGAGAAAGACAUUCCCCCUUCUCUUUUUGAUGAGGAAAGACUCUCAAAGGAAGCCUCUAGCUCUGGAGCGCCAGUGAGUUCUGUUAACUAAUUCUUAUAUUUGUAUUUUCAAGUAAUUUGAGAAAAAGUUUGUGGUGUCUGUACGAUCACCAACCUCUACAAAGAUAUUUAAAUCCUGGAUUUCUGGAUGGUAUCUUUCCAAAUUGUAGUAUCAUGGUAGCCAAAGAUCAUUACUAACUGAUAUGUUCAAGUUUCUUGUGCAACUCUGCAUUUGAUGAAGAUGGGAAAAUAUUUUAUGUUGUCACCAGUUGCAACUUUCAUUCACUGGUUAGCAUAUUUUAUGUAAUGAUUAGAGCAUAGCUCAAUUGACAUACAAGUGUUUUAUCCAUGAGAUUUGUGCUUUAAUCCCCUUACUCUUACUCUAAAUUGUUCUAAUAAAUGUUUGAUAGAAGAAGUUAGGGUGCAUAAUAUGGGUAGAAAUUUAAGAAGAUACAUGGGGGUUUGUCCAUUUAGAUCCUCUUUGGUAAUUGGAAUGAGAAUGAAAGUAAAAAUCAUUAUCGAUUAGUUAGUCUUUUUUUAUAUGAGAGGUCGAACGAAAUGUAGGCACUUACAGAAGACUGGUUCCCAAAAAACUUCCGAAGAAGUUGAAGUAUCCUUUAAUUUCUUUCAAACCAGAUCCCCAAAGAAGAGAGCAUUACAGGAUCAGAACUUAGACCUGUUGGUUAUGGUAGAUCCUAAAAAUACCUUCUCUCCAUUUACCCUUGGCAAACUCCAUUCUAGGCAAGGUUGUAAGUUGCCACCCCGCAAUCAAUAGGCAUGACAACAAAUUUUCUUUUGAAAUCAGAGACAAACCUCUUUAUUAAUAAAUGAGACUAGUAUCAAAGUACAAGAGUAAUAUACUAAGAGCAAAAUAAGAAGAAUGAUAACAAUUCUUAUAACCUGUUAAAAAAAUCAUAUUUUGCUGUGGGAGUUACAGCUUUCAGAAAAAAGUAGCUGUACAGUAUAAAUCAAAGUAGUUCUAAAGUCAUGAGAAGAGUUUGAUGUCUCAGAUAUGAAUAAAUUUUCAUAUCUGUCUUUCUGAACCGUCCGUUUUGUUGCUUGGUUCUUCUAGGUGGCUUCAUCCCCAACAGAGAACAGCAGAAAUGCAAGAGCUGCCCAAGCUACAGGUGAUGAUAGUUUACUUUCUAAAUAAUGUGAUGUCUCGAUAUCUUUGAUAUUUCCUUAAUGAAUGGUUGUUAGUUAUUUUCAAUUGGGAGUCUCUUUUGUAUCCCUUUGGCCUUGGGAGAUAUCCCAUCUCCCCUUUUUUCUGGUCUCUCGUCUGUUUUAAUAUGUGAUUUGUUUCUUAUAGAAAACAUAUAUAUAGUCAAGUGGUCAAGUAUUCAAAUCUCUUUCUAGGGUUAUGGAUAUACAAUGAAUUCUAUCAUAACAUAGUACUAUCCUCCCACAACUUCACUUUCUAUUGUUCAUCUUGGCUGCUACUUUUCUUUGUGAACUUGUGAGGCUUAUUAUUUGUACAGUUUCAAGAGAUGUGCUCAUUUCUUACUCUUACCUCUUAACUUCUAUUUUGCUUGUUCUUUCUUUGAAGCAGGAAAUGUUGGGGGAGCAGCCCAGGUAAAUUUGCUGUUAAAAAUUAUGUCUAAUCACAAAUCUAAUCGCAAAAUUUGAUGGUUGUCUAUUUGUUCCCUUAAACUGAAAGAAGUGUACUUAUUAUCAUUCAUUAAACGAUGACAUUAGAAAAUUUCUAUACAAAUGAACAUACUGAAGUGCUAGAAAGUAGAAAUGACCACAUGGACUCAUGAUUUAAAGUUAAAGAACGUAUUUUUAAGGAUAAGGAACUAAAUGGAAAAAACCAUCAAAGUUGAGAGACUAAAUUGAUAAGUUGCCCGAAGGUUUACCUCUAAAUCCGGCAUUGGUUACAUGCUUUGUACACUUUCACUAUGUUUGAUAUUGUGAUUACAGGGUCCGGAAUUCGAAGCCAAAGUAGCAAAGCUCGUUGAAUUGGGAUUCCAAAGAGAAGCUGUAAUACAAGCUCUCAAACUAUUUGAUGGAAAUGAAGAACAGGCAGCUGGGUUUCUUUUUGGAUGAAUAAUCUGAAUACAAAAUAUUUGGAGUCCUUUUCUUUGUGGAUUAUCUGUUUUCGAUUCUUUUUCAAUUACCAAUUUAAUCCACACAUUCAUCUGCUUGUAUUCAAAUUUUAAAACUUAUAUUCAAACAAUAUUUAUGCUAAACCAAAAGCUUAAACAUUAUAAUGUUAUAAUGGAUAUUUUAAAGGUUUCAUGUUUGGUCUUUUCUUCCUUGAUCUAAAUAUUAACUUAUUAAGUUAUACUGUCACACUCCACCCCAAGUUAUCCUACCAAACCUAGGACAUGACACGAUGACGACAGUAGAUUUCAUUAUUUAAACCAUGUAAAUUAUGAAAGCCAUUGUCAUACUCUAAAUGCAUUUUCUGAAACAAGUGGCUUCCAAAAUCUUUUGAUGUAAACACUCCCAAAUUAUUUGUUUCAACUAACCCAUCAACCGUGUCUCACCCUACCCUCUUCAAUAGAAUUUACAUCACACCACUCUGAACAUCAUGAAAAAUUAGAAGGAAACAUGCAAGUUUUAGUUUACAAACCAUUUAAAUUUAACGUUAGCCACUUUAAAAUUUAAAUAAAACUAGUGGUAGAUAUUGAGUCUCAUGAGUUGUUUGUCUAAAGAACGAAUUAAAAAGUUAAGUAGACUUUGCAAUGUUUUUAAGUUUUUGAAAUGUUAUUUUCAUUAUGGAAUGAACUCAACUUAGUUAUGAAAAGUUGGGUUGUUACAAUAUUGUCGUUUGGAAGAAUAGAUGAAAAAUUGUUUGUCAAAUGAUAAUUUUCUAUUCAUCACACAGGUAAAAAUUGUUGUUGCUUCAAUGACUCUUCAUAAGUACUUUAUAAGGGUUCAUUCAAAAAAAAAUUGACUUCAAGCCUUAUGACGACGACAAGAUGCUACUACCUUCAAAUGAUGAAUUAAAUUAUGAGCAUGCCAAUGAAGAACAUAGAGGUUCAGUUUCUUGUAAUAGAGAUGAAUGAAGAACAUGAUCGAAUUGCAUAACUUCUUAUGUUUGGUUAAUUUUAUAUUGUUUAGGAAAAUGUGUUAUUGUUAUGUUUUGCGGUUGGAAAAUAGUUAUAGUUUUUACAGUUAUGAAUUUGCAUUUCAAGAUAUUUGUGCUUCUAAAAUAAUCCAAAACAAUUUAAUACCAAACAAAAUUAAUAUCUAGUUUUAACAUUAAUAAUUUCACUUUUCUAAAAAAAUAAAUAGUUUCAAGAUAAUGUUCUAUUAAUUUCAAAAUAUAUUUCUUUCUAAAAGAAAAUCAAAAUAUAUGUGCCUCCUUGUGAAAUUAGUUCAUACUGUUUAAUAGUCAUUUAUGGAAAUUUGACUAAAGUAUAAACAUUUUUGGUAUAUCACAAAACAAACAAAAUUAUAUACAUAAACACUUAUAAAAAGAUAUAACCAAACAUGUUAGAGGGUGUUGUGAGACCCUAAUUGCAUUAUGAACUAUGCGAUGAGAGUGCACGAUAAAAGAACUAGGUAAUGUGUUGAGACUGCAUGCAAUAGGAGCUAGUGACUGGAAGUGUUGCGAAGCAAUUGUGUAAGGAGCUUUUAGUUAUGCAGUAAGAAAAGAGUUCGUGAUGAGGUGGAAGGCGAUGAGAGAUUCCUUCACCGUGAAGUAAUUGCGUCAUUCUUGUGUAAGAAGGGUGGUGAGCUGAUUUGACCUUGUUGUCCAACUGAAUUCAGGAUAAGGAGGUGGCAGUAACACGUGACGUUUUGAUAUUGGACAAUUCUCACUGUUGGGUAGAAGCAAUAAUCAUUAUGACAUGGAAAGCUUCAUCGAAGAAGCCUAUAAAUAGAAGAAGUUUGACAAUAUGAGAAUUACUUUUUACCUUAUGUUUACCAGAAUUGCAAAAAAUUGUCGGAGAGCAACCAUGAGCUUGAGAUUUGGCAAGAGAAGUGCAAGAGAGCUUCGCAUGAGGAUUUAGGCAAGAAAAGUUUUGAUUGUGAGUGAUUUAUUCUUAAAAUGUUUUCAAACUAAAAGAAUUUCCACUGUGUUUGAAUCCUUAUAUAUAUAUUUUUUAUUGAAUUAUUGACUUCCGUGAUUUUUUUAUGUUCUCAGAUUCUUAAGAAGGAUUUGGUUUAUAAAUUAUUUGAAAUUGAAAUGUUGUGAUGAAAUGAUCUUUGGUAUCCUAUGUUGUGAUUAAUCCUCACACUUGAUGUGUGUUCUGUUGUGGAAUGUCUUAUCCUUGUUGUAUGAUCUAAAAUAGGAUGUCAUAUUCUUGCUGUGUGAUCUAGAAUAUAAAGUCUCAUACUUGUUGUGUGAUAUGGUAUGUGAUGUUCUUUGCUCGCUAUGUAAUUUGACAUUGGAAGAUGCGUUAUGCGUGAUGAAAUUGAUGGAGACUUGAUGUUGUGUUGAAUCACUCCGCACUGUCGCAACUCAGGAAAAGAGUGCGGUGUGAUUAUAUAAUCUGUUAUGAGGAAUGUGUUCCCAUGCGAUAUGGGUUUUUAUGAAUAAUUUGAAAGGAAAUGAUUUUUGUAUGAUUUAUAAAUAGUGUUAAUAUGAGAUUUGAAUUGUGUAAAUCGCCUAAUGCGUUGGGAUGAUUUAAUUUGAACUCAAAAUUUUACUAUAGAAAUGCAUAAGUGUUUAUAUUCCAUGGUUUUGCGAAAAUAAUUACAACGCAUUACGGCGGAAAUGUAUUCACUAAAUAUAUUAUAUUGGUGAAAAACCUUACUCAAUAGACAUUUUUGUCUAACUUUUCAAAUGUUUUGUUUUAUUUCUCUUCUCAAGGUAACAAAGAACAUAUAGUGUUUGACUUGUCAUUUUAAGAUUUGUAUAUUUUCAGUUUAAAGAAACUCUUGUACUUGUUUUAGAUGUAUACUUUUAUCAAAUAUCAAUAAAGUCUUAUUAUUUAUGAACGGAUUCUCAUCUCACAUUGAGUUUCAUGUUGUGUUUAUUUCGCUUACUAGGCGUGUUAUCUCGCGAAGAGAUUCACAUUGAAUGUCUAGGUGAUCAUGCCUUCAUGAUCGCAUGAAGUGAUCUUGGGGCAAGGCUUGACAGAUGUUUGGGGCAAGUAGGAAAUUAUUAUAAUCUUAGGUUAUUAUAGUUUGAUUAGAAUAAUUUGUGUUCGAAGUGUAGAUUAUUUUGUGUCUUGGUUAGAAUAGUAUGUAUUUGGUGUAUAGGUUAGUUUAGUUUGAUAAGAAAAUAGCAAACACGGUAGUAUAAUAAAUAGUAAAUAAUGUGCAACUAGUUGAAGACUUUUUAAAUACUAUUUAUUGUAGUAAGAGGUAGAAUGGAAAGUGUUUAAAUUUUUUUUAAAAAAAAUUAAAAACAAUUGAUUUUUCAAUAUUACUGAUUUUUUUUUCUUUUUUAAAACCACCUUAUUUAUUUCCGAUUAAAGGAGAAGUAAAAUUAGUGAUAUUUUAUAAUUUUAAUAUUUGAUAAAUAAUUUUACAUAAUAAGGAGAACGUGAAAUGCUGACUUCAAUUGUAAUCGCGGGUCCGCUAAAAAUUCCUAUUCCUACGCAAACCAUUUAUAAAUGAAAACAAAAAAGAAAGGCAUAAGCAUCAAAGAUUCCAACAAUAUUCGUUCCAUUAUUCCCACUUCCAAAUUCUAAAUUCUCUCGUCUUCCCUUCGCCUUUUCAUCUCCUUCUUCUCUGCAUUUUCAAUUCCUUUAACUCUUCUCUUUCAACAACUAAUUUCCUCCCUUCCUUUUGUUUCUUGGGAUUGUAUUGUUCAUCUUUUAGCUGAGGUACUACUAUUUAUGCUUACCCUUCUUUUAUUCAAUUCUAAUGCGUUUGGUUACUUAACAGAUUGUCUACAUUUGUCUGAAAUUCUACCUUGAAUCCCCGCUUUCUUUUUCUUUUCAAUUAGGUCAUUAGUUUGCGAGUUUGUAAUGUAGUUGUGAUAGUUUCACUUCAGUUGAUUUUCAUGACUCAAAAUUUCCUUGAAGUUCUUGUACUCUUGGGUUGAGAUGUUUUGAAUCUGUUAUUUACAAACUUUGGACGGUUGUACAUCUAUGUCUUCUUUUGUUCUAGUUCUUUAUUCUUGUCAAUUUGAUUUUGUUCAAACAUGUUCAAUGUUAGAGACGUGAUUAUAAUAUGGAGGAAUAGAUUAUGCUGGUGUUUGGUAAUGUAAUGAUCGGUCUGCUGGACUGCAACUAGGAGGAGCUUUUGUUGAGGUUUCUUUAAUAGCUCGCAGCAUUCGGUUGAUGUGAUGUGAUCAGUAGUUCCAAGGUUGGUUAGGUUUAUGCUGAUUCUUUUCAGAUUCUGAAAGCCCAGAAGUGUUCUAAUGUUGAAUGCUUAUCUUACAAUGCCAAGUCUGAGGCCAACCUUUCUGCUUCUCAUACUCUGGAUCCGGCAUAUCUUACUUUGUGCAUGUUAUAAUCUUUUAUGGUUAAUGCAAUAUUGUUGAGAGCAUGAACCUGAAGCAUUUGAAUGAAUGGGUUGAUUUUCUUCUGCAGAUGGUUUUAUUUUAGUGCAUUAUGGUCUAUGGAUACGAGGGUAUUGUGAGAUAUUGUGCGAUGAGAAACUGCUCAACUAGCAUAAAAUUCCAAACACAGAACAUCAAAUUAUUUACAUUUCUUUCAAUUGUAUUUGUAUUCAUAACACCAACAUCUAUCACGAGAAACCUGACUAAUUUCAGGACAAACAAUUAGAAGAAAGAAUCACCUUCAAGGUAACAAAUUCUUACACUAAAUUCUUGUAGCAAUCUUAUGUGUAUACCAUAUACACACUAACAUUAACCAUCCCCUUCAUCAGGCUUAGAAACCUUUCCAAGCAUUAAGAAUUUCAUGGAAGAUUUCAGCUAUUAGAUCCCUAUCUGCAUUUUGCAGAAAGAUAUUAAAUUCAUCUCGGAUGUCGAGUAUCUUACCAAACUUCACAAGAUACUGCAUGCAGCUGGUCUUCAGUUUUGGCAAUUGAUAAAGAGAUGCAUUCUGGAGUCUUUCAAGAACAUUCUUGGCAUCAAUAUCUUCUAGCAGACUAUCGUGGCAGGCUUCUUUUAGGUCAUCUAUGUCAUAUUUCUCAGCUGCAUGAAGAAGUGCCAGUCUAUGGGCUAGAAACUCUUCAUGUUGGAUAUUACCAUACAUGUAAUUAAGAAAAGCCUGACAAGCUUCGAAAGACAUAUCAGAGAUGUUUAACGUCGAUAGCUCCUUUUCUUUCAGGUCAUGUGAAAACAUGCUGUGGAAAACAGGUGAUCGUGAAGCAAGGAUAGCACGAUGGGCUCGAAUACUUCCAUCAGAAGCAUUAAUUAUGAUAUCGGUGUGGAUGCUUUCCUUCAGCAUUCGACCCAACGAAAUAAGAGCUCUUGAAUUUGACUGUUGUCGUGUCAAUCCAUCCACCCAGAUAGAGGAAGGUUCCCCACCCUGUCAGUAAUUUGACAACAUUGAGUUCAAAAAGGAGCUAAAUAGGUAUCCAAAUCCUUCUUUCUUUAACACACUACUUUUUUUUCUUCCAGGCAUAACUUUUGUCAACUACUUCAUAUGGCUUGUUUUUAUCUAUGAUACUUGGAUUCUGCGUUAUUAUAGUUAGCCCCACAAUUAUCUUCGGAAGAAAUAUGCUAUGCAAUAGGAACAGAGGAAUAUUUAUAUGCUUACCUCUGAUGAUGCAAUCUUCAAAUCAAGGAAUUCUACGUCAAUGAUGAACUUUCCUGUUAAUGGAACUUCAAUUUGCCAAAUAAAGUCAUUGUUUUUAAGCUGUUUGUCUAUUAUUUCUGCAUGGAUGUGAAUGUGGUAACAAUAUUGGUCAUUCGAAGAACUGAACUUUAUCAAGAAUAAGAAACAAAACUCCAACUGCUCAAUCAAAUGUCUUAACAGAGGUUAACCAUGUCCACCAUCAAAGAAUAAAAGACAUCUAGUUAUCAAGAAUAGGUCAUCUAGAUCUCUAGUAUUUGAAUUUAUAUUCAUGAACCAGAACCUAAAGAUAUAAUUGAAGGCGACUGUCUUAGCAAUCUGAAAACUAAUAACUGUUCCUUGAAAAAUGCACAGGAAAUGAGAAGAAUGAAAUUACCUGGAUGAGUCAAAGCCUUCCGAUCCCCUGCAAAGGAGACCACUCGGAUGAUGAAAGAUACAAUCGGAGGAUUAUCCCUUGUUAUGUUCGAUAUUUCUGGGUAUAAUUUAACGUAUAAAAGUUUGUUUUUUUCCACCGAUAAAUGCCUUCAAUCCAAACAAAAGUAUUAGAAAUCUAUACAUCUCCAAUAAGAAGGGGGAAAAUAGAUUAUUGUCAUUAACUUUCAUUCUCUCUUGCAAAAGAGAUGGUUUGAUAGAAUCUUAUUCUCAUCUCUCUUUCAUGACAACAUACAAAUCAAUUUCUCAAAUUUAAGCACAUUUCACAAAAAUUGUAGCUUUAAAACAAAAAAAGAGAGUAAUUUUACCAUUUCCACUUGCCGAUUUUGAAAGGAUCGGAUUUGCGGUAGGUACAGGAAGCAAGAUUUUCGAUCCUCCAUUGGGCAAGGCGGGAUGUAGUUUCUACCCUAUAAGCUGAUUCACUCAUCCUAGCAAACGCGAGGGCUGCUGUAAUUUCAUGGAUGCAACCGAAGAUACCAUCGAGGAAGUGCUCUCCGGAUUUUCCCAGGUUGGCAAAUUCUGCAGAUAUUACUCAUAAAAGUUUGUACAGCAAAACCUGUAAAGACAAAAACCUCUCUGUUUUCUCUAUCUCUUGCUUCUCUCUACUGCUUACUGAUCAAAGCAUGAGAAGCUAUGAACAAACAAAUACAAAAUAACGUUGAUAUUUGGUGUAUUUAUUGCUUAUAUUAUCGUGAAAAUUUGACUCUUUCAGUGGUGCCCAACACGCCAAGAUUUUGGGGAUGCUUUACGCCAUUGAUGUUGAAGGUUUGAUUUUGGGAAGAGGGUUUUGGAUUUUGGUUGAUAAAACGAUAUGGGUUUGUUCAAAAAUGUUUGUUGGCUUACACUGCACUUAAUUGGGUCGUGGGUGGUUGAUUCGUAUGCUUAAUGGAUCAUUCCAUUUAUUGGUGCUCCGAUUUUUAGAUUUUAUAUUAAUAUACGUAAAAUAUAUUGUACAUAUUUUUUUGUUUUUAAAGGAUUAUUUGGCUUGGUGGCUUGGUGGCUUGGUGUCUGCUCCUUCAAAGCAAAGUAUCUACACAAUCCUUCGGUGGGAUUUAUUCGUAAUUUCCUUUUGUUGAUUGUUGGUGAAUCAAGGAAACACAUGAAAUAAGAAAAGCCCACUCUGCUUUCAUGGACCCCAGUCAUGGCCAAGAGGUAUGUAAUAUAAUAUUUUCUUUAUUUUUUUCCUGAAAUUAUAUUUAUCUUCUUCCUGUCCUUUUCUGGUGGCCAAUGAUGGUCUUUUGACGCUCACAAAGCCUCCACAAAAGGCAACCAUUUUCCUUUCUUUUAACUAACCAUAGUAGAGAUUCCAACCUUACAUUUUUAGAUGGAUAGUACAGUACAUAUUCCAUGUUAGUUCAAUCAUGCUCCUGAAGUCAAUAACUAAAAUUAGAUUAUCGAGGAAAGCUUUCAUUUAGCAUCAAAGUUCUCUUAUUUUAUACCUUACAGAGAACCAGGUGUUAAAGAUGAGUUUUUGGUCUUAUACUUUGAUAUAAUAAUUUUAGUUUUUGUAUUUUUAACUUUAAUUUAUUUUAGUUUUUGAACUUUCAAAAUAUUGAGGAUCUAAGGUGAUCACUUUUUAAAAAAUACAAAAUACCAAAAUAAGUAUUUUAAAAGUACGAUGAUCAAAAUGAAUAAAAGUGUUAAAAUUACCUGCCUAUACAAUUUUAAAAUAUUGUUAACCACAGAAUGAAUAAAAAAAUAAUUAUAGUGGAAUGAAUAAAAAAAUCAUUAUAGUGGUGUUUAAGUCUAAAUUAAAUUACUAAUUGAACAUCUAAAACAUAAAUUUAAAAGAAAUGUUUGAUAGUGUUAGAAGUUUUAAUGUGCCUAAUAAAUUUUAUAAUUUUAAAAGAUUAAGUUUUUAAACUCGAUAGAUGUUCGUAAUUGAUGUAAAUAUAUUAAACUUAAAAUUGAAUGUCAGAUCUUAUACAACAAUAAAUUUAAAAUUUUAAAACCAUCAAAUGAAAUAAUUAUUCAACACCAUUUAAAAUUGAAACUUAUUAUUCAACUUUAAUCAGAAAAGUUGGAGCUUAAUUUUAAAUUUUUUUUUAUUUUUACUAUAAACUUGGACGCUAAAAGUAAACAAUUGUGACAAGCUUUUAUCCUCAUUUAAAGUUUUGCUAAUUUGCCCACUGAUUAAUUUUAAUAGAAAGCCAUAUAUAUAAACUUUUUAAUGUACUAUUUUUUUCAAGAUUAUGAUUACAAUAUUCGUCUAAGCAUACUAUAUAAUUGAUAAAAAUGAAAGUUUAAGAUUAAAUUUGAUGGACGUUAGAUCAAAAUUAGUUUUGCUUGUAGACUAAUUGAUUUCAAUGACUUGUUUUGAGAAUUAAACAGAAUAGCUUUAGAUUAAAGUGUGGAUUUAGGUUACCUUACUUUUCUCCUUUCCACUGUGUUUUUCAUAAGAAAAGGAAAGUAGAUUAGGAUCUCAAGGAAUUCCAAGGAUUUUUUUUAAUAGUCCUUUUUAUUUGAACUUUACAAAAAGAAGUGUCUUGGAAACUUGAGCAAUUGUUAAUUUAGUUUAAUUAACCUUUUGACCAUACUUAUUAUUUACCCCUCGUGAGAAUGUUAAAAGUUAGAAAUGAGAAUACGAGAAUUGAGAUUCCUUUUAUGUCAUUUAAUAGGAAUCAUUUGGCAUUGGAAUUAGAUUACUGUUCCCAUUGCUUAUUGUUUGUAUUAGGAAAGUUAAAGGAACAUAUAACUAUAGAUAUGAAAACACCCAUUAAAAAAAGAUGGGCAGCAUAACUUUUUGGAAAGAAAGAGCAAUUAUGCUGGGUGGAGGAGGACAUGAUUUGAUUUUAAUUGUUAGUUUAUUCAAUAAUAAUGGGUAGAGUAGAAGAGUGGAUGAAAGUGUCAAGUGAUUAUAAAAUAGCUAAUUGUGAGGUCCUCCAUAGAAUAGGGGGAGAGAGAUUAAGGAGAGUUUUGAUUGAACAAGACUCUCUCUCUUUGUUUUUUUACGUUAUAAUUUAGCAUUUUAAACAAUAUUACAUUCAAGUAAUGGAGUAGAGUUGAAACCUAGGAUAUAAAUUACUAGUAUUUCAACGAAUCAAACUUCCUCCAAACAGAAAAAUAUUAGACGAAUAUGAUUCUUUUGUUUAUUUAUUUGGGUAAUCCAAAUUCAAAAGCAUACUUUCUUUUUCAGGAAAAUGCAAUAUGGUGACGUAAAUUGUGAUUUGGAAAAUUAUCUAGGAAGAGUGAUGGGUUUGUUUAGCUCAUCCAUAAAACCAUAAUUAAACAAAGUGUAGAGAGUGAAAUUAAAGUCACCCAAUGCUCUCUCCUAUGCUAGCUAGGCCUCUUCAUUUCUUUCUUACAUCCAUGCUCUUUCUUGCUUAUGUCAUUUUCAUUUCUUUCUUACAUCCAUGCUCUUUCUUGCUUAUGUCAUUUUUGCUAUGUUAGUAUGUAUAAUUAUGUAACAUAUUUGAUGGCAUUGAGGUUUGAUUUCAAAAUCCAAUCGAUGAUGAGAAGAGUAGAUCAUUUAUUAUUUUAUGAUGAACAUGUUUAUUAGUUUUUACAACUUGAGAUUCUCAGCAUCUCAAUACAAAAGUUUGUCCCUCAACAAUAAAAAGUAACCAUUUAGAAAUAUAAAAUUGAUUAUUAACAUGGUUGGUGUGUGUGAGUGAAGAAGAAAGGAAUGAGAAAGUGGGACAUGGGAAAGGGAGGAAUCCUAUGGAAUCUAGUUUAGGUUGAAGAAGCCUAAAUUGCCAAGAUGAGAAGCAACUUCCAAAGGGGAUAUCCAACACACUCAUCCUUUCCUUGUUAUACAAAAGAACCCAUUUAAUAUUAUUAUUGGAUGGUACCUUUCCAUUUUAUCAUCUAAAAUCUAAAAUCUAAAAUCUGAUCUCAUCCAUGCACUUGUCUUUAUGUCCUGUUGUAUUGGGUCAAAUCAGAAGGACAAGAAUGCAACCAACUUUGAAGGAUGUGUUGUUACCAUUUUGUGUACGUGUCUUGAUGUUAAUUAUUUGUGAGGGGCCAUAGAUUGGAAUAUGAGAGGAAAUUAAGACUACUUCAAUAAUUCCUUUCUAUCAAAAGUCUUUUGUUAGAUGAGCUACUUCAUUCCACCCUUCAAACACUUCCAACUUUUUAACUCAUUCUCUGCUUACUUUUUUGUUUAUUUAUUUUCUUGGUUUAAUAAACUAUUUACACUUGUACAACGAAACAAUAUAAAACUUUUUUAACUUGAUUUUUCUAUCGUGUAAUUUUUUUGUUUUGUUUAAAUGUUCUAAUUUUUUUUACUGUAACACCUUUAUUUUGUUUUAGUUUUUAAAAUAUUUUUUCAAUUUUUCUUUUUUAAGAAAAAAAAACAUAAACACCGUUAAGAAACUUUUUCAUUUUUCAUUUUUCAUUUUUGAUUUUUGAAAUUAAAUAUAUAAAAACUCAUUUUACCUCUAAAGUUGUUAUUUCAUUACCUAUAUAUUUUACUAACGUUUCAAAAUUUGAAAAGUAAAAAAAUAUUGGUUUGAAAAAACUUGUUUUUGAUACUGACUAAGAAUUUAGCUUUUCUUUUUUUAUCAUAAAAGAAUAUGUGAAAGAUUAAAUUAUUCAAUUUUGGAAUGAAAUCACCGACUUUCAUUCUCAUAGAAUUUAAAAUAGUAAAAUAAAACUUGAAAUUGUUGGUUCUCAUAAAACUUAAAAUAGUAAAAUAAAACUUGAAGGGCCAUUUGAGAGAAAGAAAGGAACAAAGGGAAAAAGGAAUAAGAAAAGGGAGAUUAAGUGAAGGGAAUGAUUAUUAUAAUCUUUGUUCGGAGGAAUGAUAAAGUAAAAGGAAUAUGAAGCAUUAAUUAUAAUCCUUGUUUGGGGAAGAAUUAAGUGAAAGGAUUAUGGGGGAUUAUUAUAAUUCUUGUUUGGGAGAAGGAUUAUUUGGGAAAAGGAUUAUGUGUAUUUUUUUUUUAUUUGUAUGUUAACUUCCACUAUAAUAAAAAAUACAUAAUUAUUUUUUACCUAGAAAUGAAAUUAUUGUUUUUUUCUUCUCACGAACCAAAUACAAAAUGAAAAAUGUGCUAAUAUUUUUUGCACUGUGUAAAUUGUUCGUACCGUAAAACCUCUACAACAUUUUUUUUUAGUUAGGUUGUACCGUUAUCCAGACGUUCACAAAAAAUGUGUAUUGAUUUUUUAUUUUUGAUUUUGUAUAAAUAUUUUUUUAUUUGUAACGUACACCUAAUAUAUUUUGAAAAGUAAAGUUUUUUUUUUCAUUUGUACUAUAGUUUUUUCUUUCUUUUUUAACAUUAAAUCAAGUACAUUAAUUUUUGUUUUUGUGUGUAAAAUAUGUUUAUGAAAUUUAUAUCGUAAAUUCAAUUCACACAUAAAUUAUAUUAUUUAAUUUUUCAUUUGUCUUCAAUUUGAUCCGUGAAUUCAGUACAUUAAAAAUAUGUUUUUUAAAAAAAAUUUAUGGCAAAUAUUUAUUUUUUUCUACCGCAAUCCCAUAUAAGAAAGAAAUUGAAUACAUUUUUUUCAAUGUGUAAGAAAUGUUUAUGGAAUGUUUUUCGUAAACCAAAUACAAACAAAAAUUGUAUUAGUUUUUUUUUCUUUUUUGCGUUUGUCUAAGCUCAUUUAUUUUGUUCAUACUAUUUUUCAAAACGACGAAAAAUUGUAUUAAAAUAAUGUUUAUACUUCAUUUAUGCUUCAACCCCAACACACAUCAAAUAUAUAUUAAUUUUUAAAUUGAUUUUGUAUAAAAAAAAUCGGAUCAUACACAUAAUACACCAUACAAACAAAUUGUAUUAUUUUUUUCUAUUUAUGUAAAACAUGUAUUUUCAAAUUGUACCGUAAAUAUAAUACAAAAAGAAAGUUGUAUUUUAAAUUUGUAUCAUCAAUACUUACAAUAAAAAAUUGUAUUAUGUUGUUUUUACUUUUUUUUCUUAAUGGAAACUAUAAGCAACAUACUAUAGUAUAAGCAACAUACUAUAGAAAAAGACUAAUUCAUUUGGCACACAAAAAAGAAGAAGAAGAGAGUGUGAUUAAUUUGUUUGAGAAAGAAGAGAAAUAAAAUGAUUAAUUUGGAGAGAAUAAAUAAAUGAAGAAAGAGAAAGAAGAAAUAAAUGAGAAGAGAAGAAGGAGAAAGAAGAAAUAAAUGAGAAGAGAAAAAGGGGAAGAAAGAAAAUGAUUAUAUUGGAAAAUGUAAGGAUUAUAUUGAAAAAUGAAAGGAUUAAGUAAAUAAUAAAUGAGGAAAGAGAAUGAAUAAGAGGGAUUAAGGGUAGUAUUUUUCCACCCCUUAAUCCUCGAGCCAAACAAGUAAAAGACUAGAUAGUCUUUUCUUUUCCUUUCUCCAAACAACUCUUGAAAUUCUCCAACAAGCCGAUAACAAAGAGGUUUGUUGAUGAAUGAUGAUAAUCUCCUCAACUGAAUUUAAGGCAAGGAUUGAGGUGGAUUUGAGGGCACUCCAAAGAAAUUAAGGAAAAUGGGUGAGGGAACGAAGAACUAAAAAUACCUCAAAUUGUAUUUAAUUACCUCAAUUUCAUGUUUCUAUAAUUUCCUUUUUAUGGAACCUAAUUAUUAGGUUUAAACCUUAUUACUUUAGUUAGUCCAUUUUAAUAUUUUAUAUUCAAAUUAUUAAUUAUUUGAAUCCUAUUCAAAUCCAAUUCUUUUAUAUCUUAUUCUUUUAAUUUAAAUUUAAAUCUAAUGUUAGGAUAAUUGUCAUUAGCAACCAUCUUUAAAAAAUUAUAAAUAUAGCAAAAUUAUUACUAAUAAACUUGUAUGAUCCAUCAGUGAUAAACCAAUAUUUACAACAUAGUUUAAUAGAUUUCUGUCAUUGAUAGAAUUUGACAAAUUUUAUUAUAUUUGUAAUUUUUUUAAAAUGUUGCUAUAUAUUUAAUUAUUUAAAACUAACUAACUAUAUAUUGUAUUUAUUGUAGCUAAUAUAACUGAGGAUAGGUUUCCUUAACCUAACAACAUUUAAAAUUAUUCCUUCCAUACUUUCAUCCAUGUUGAUCUUAUGGACUAACGAAUUUAUAAGUUUCAAUGAUAUAUCUAAAUUAUUUCACCAUUUAUUAUACUUCAUUCAUUAAUUGUAAUGCAAAAAAUUGUAGUUCUAUAAUUUCAUUCUUACAUUAACACAAGUUGCGCGAACCAAUAUAACUAUUACAUACAAGUUGAUGUUUUAUGAGUUGUUCAUGAAUUUAAUUGGAUUAUAAGUUCAUGAAAAUAUUUGUUUAUGGUUCAACCAUAAACUAAGUUAUUCUCAAUCCAAUGAAAGAAUGAGACCCGAUUGUUUUCGUUCUAAAAUACAAAAAAUUGUUCUUAUAAAACUAAAAACAAAAUAUGGUUUGACUGUGUGUUUUGUUUUUGCAGAAUCAAAAUAAUUUAAGAUGAUUUUUAUGUUUUAUAUUUGGGUUUUAUAAAAAUAAAAUCAAAGCUGUUUUUACAACUUUUUCAUCAAAUAUAGUAAAUAAUUAUAAAGUUAUAUAUUUUUAAGUUAAAAAAUAGGUUAAUUUUCAUAAAUAUAACAAAAACGCUAAAACAUUUACCGUUUGUAUAACAAAAUAAAAAAGUCAAUGAUAUUUUCAUAAAUUCUAAGUUUGUCAUUGAAUAAUGUUGAUCAUUUUUCACUUCUUUUUUUUUUUUUUUUUUUUUUUUGCAAUUUAUUUAUCAUCUCUUCAUAUUAUUAUUUUCUUCGUACUAUUACUUCUUCAUUUUAUAAUAUUAUGGUUAUUUAUGUAAAUAUUUACCAAUUUUUUUAUUUUUUCUUUCAAAAUUUAUUUCUUUUUCUUCAUUUCUGGUUUUGUUUUCUUUUUUGUACAAGAUCUAAAUGAUAUUAAUACAUGGUCUAAAUGAUCAGUUAUCUAUUCCAAAUUAAUAUACAUGGACUACUAUCACUAAUAGUUCGUUUUGAUUUGGUACAAGAUCCUUUAGACUGGAUACAAGAUUGUUUAGAUUUGCUACGAAAUUGUUUAGAUUGUGUAUAAAGUAAUUUUUUCACAUGUGUAGGACUGAUUAAUCAUUGGGUAUUUUUGUUAAUUCGUGUUAUGGGAUUAUGGACUUUUUACUUUUUAAAAUUUGUUCUAUACACUGUAAAUAUUUUCACGUUUUGUUCUAUUUUUUAAAAAUCUCUAAAAAUAUGUAUAUUUGAUAACAAAAUAACAUUUUUUAAAUGCACUUACCAAUUACAAUCAAAUAAAAAUUUUAAAAAAAAAACAGAAAUAGAAAAAAUAAAUAUAAGAAAAUAGUUUCAUUUUUGUUUGGGCAAAAAAAGGGGAAAAAGUGAAUAUGAAUCCAACCAAAUUAUGUUUAUCUAUCAUAGUUUUGGAAGCUUUGCAACAUGGUAUUGUAGAUAAAUUUGUUAAGUCGUAAAGUUCUUUAUAAAAGAAACCAUGCUAUGGUACUCAUUCGAUGUGUUGAUGUGGAAGAAGCAAAACAAAUUAUGACAGAAAUUCAUGAAGGAAUAUGUGGAACACAUACUAAUGAACAUAUGAUGGCUAGACAAAUAUUUAGAUCUAGUUAUUAUUGGACAACGAUGAAAUCAAAUUGCAUAAAAUAUGCAAGGAAAUGUAAAAAGUGUCAAAUUUAUAUGGAUAAGAUUCAUGCAACAGCAUCUUCAUUGCAUGUCUUGUCAGCACCCUGGUCGUUUUCUUUGUGGGGAAUGGAUGUUAUUGACACCCAUUGAUCCUAAAGCCUCAAAUGAUCAUCAUUUUAUUCUUGUGGUCAUUGAUUACUUCAGUAAAUAGAUAGAGGUGGCAUCUUACUGCAAUGUUACAAGAGGAGUGAUGCUCAAGUUUAUCAAGAAAGAGUUUAUUUGUCAUUAUGAUCUCCCGAAUGGUAUUAUUAUAGAUAAUACCAAGAACCUUAAUAACAAAAUGAUGGACGAACUUUGUGAGAAAUUCAAGAUCAAUCACAGAAAUUCGACUCCAUAUCACUCCAAGAUGAAUGAGGCAGUUGAGGCAGCCAACCAAAAUAUCAAAAGAAUCAUUUAGAAGAUGACAACAACAUACAAAGAUUGACAUGAAAUUUUACCAUUUACACUGCAUGGAUAUCAUACAUCAGUUCGUACUUCAACAGGGGAAACACCAUUUUAUUUGGUUUAUGGUAUGAAAGUUGUCCUGCCUUUAGAACUUGAGAUACUUUCAUUGAGAGUUCUCAUGGAAGCUAAGUUAAAUGAAACAAAAUAGACACGAGGUCGUUAUGAGCAAUUGAAUUUCAUUGAAGAAAAAUGUUUGACACCAUUAAGUCAUGGACAAAUUUAUCAAAGAAGACUAAUGCGAGCAUACAAUUAAAAAGUGCACACUUGAAGUUUUCAAGAAGGAGAUAUGAUGUUAAAAAUUAUACUUCAUUUCAAAAGGAUCAUCGAGAAAAAUGAACUCCUAAUUGUGAUGGUCCGUUUGUGGUGAAAAAGACUUUUUUCAGGACGAGCUUUGCUUUUAACCAAUAUGGAUGAUGUUGAGUUAAAAAAUCAUGUGAAUUCAGAUUAUGUUCGAAGAUAUUAUGCGUGAAGCCUUUUCAUAGAAAAUUUCGUAGUGUCGAAAGAAGUCAUGGGUAUUUCUAGGAAACUUACAUUUAGUUCUUAGAAUGUUAUUUCCAUAUGUAUAAACUUUUCCUUACCUCCUCUCUUUGUACUCCUAUCCCAAGAAUCGUUGCUAUCUUUUCAUUUCUUAUCAUAUUUAUCAAACACUUCUUUAUUUGUCAAUCCUUUCUUUCAUUUUUUUUAAAAAUGUCAUCAAAUUAUAGUAAACAUUCAUUAUUCAUUAGCUAUCUAUUUGUUAAUUAAUAAAGAUUCAGUACAACUUAUUGUAUUUGCAAACCAAGUAAAAGCCAUGAUUUUCUCUUGUUAAGACUUAAGGAAAUGUAGGUGUUUACAUGUCCAGACAAAUUUCUCUAUGAUUGUGAGUUGGUACAAUUGGAAGUCUACAUCCUAAAGGAUUCAUGUUUUGUAAAGCCCAAGACUAAAACAACAUUAUGUCUUUACAACAUAGUACAGUCUUUCGCAGUUUGGAUUCAUUUGUUUGAUACGAACAGUUGCGAGUUUGACAACUUUAAAAUUUCUCGUGAUACAUGUCUUAUUAUAUCCUAUGACGACCAUGCUCAUAAAUUGUUAAUGGUAUUGGUAAAAUGGAGUAGUGAGCUAUUUAUUUCUUUGAAAAGCACAAUAUUUUCAAAUUAAAUUUCAACUCGGUUUUAAAAGAAGGAUGAGCACUUUAUCAAACCUAGUCCUAGAGCUAAGGUUGAUGUUUUGUUUUUUCAAAUUUUGGUUAAAUCGAGCUCAAAUCUGAAGCUGAGGUCGAAGCCUGUCUAUCAGGUCAUUUCCUUUAUUUAUCAAACCUAGUCCUAGAGCUAAUAUUGAUGUUUUUUUCAAAUUUGGUUAAAUCGAGUCCAGAUCUAAAGCUGAGGUCGAAACCUGUUUGUCAGGUACUUUCCUUUAUUUAUCAAACCUAGUCCUUGAGCUAAGGUUGAUGUUUUUUUUUAUUUGGUUAAAUCGAGCUCAGAUCUGAAGCUGAGGUCGAAGUCUGUCUAUCAGGUCCUUUCCCUUAUUUAUCAAACCUAAUCCUAAAGCUAAGGUUGAUGUUUUUUUUUUCAAAUUUGGUUAAAUCAAGCCCGGAUCUAAAGCUGAGGUCGAAACAUGUCUAUCAUGUCAUUUCCCUUAUUUAUCAAACUUAGUCCUUGAGCUAAGGUUGAUGUUUUUUUUAUUUGGUUAAAUCGAGCCCAGAUCUAAAGCUGAGGUCGAAGCCUGUCUAUCAGGUCCUUUCUUUUAUUUAUCAAACCUAGUCCUAGAGUUAAGGUUGAUGUUUUUUUAAAAAAUUUGGUUAAAUCAAGCCCAUAUCUAAAGCUGAGGUAGAAGCCGGUCUAUCAGGAUCUUUCUCUUAUUUAUCAAACCUAGUAGGUUGAUGUUUUUUUUUUUUUCUCUCUUAAAAAAUAAAAAAUUGGCCCAAAUACCUUAUCUAUUACCUUUGUCCACCUUUAAAUAUUUUCAGGAUAGACAAAGGGGGACAAAUUGUAGAUACUGUAUUUUGUCCUGCUUUUUUAUUUUAUUUAUUUAUUAUUUUUUAAAAGUAUUUGAAUUUAAAUUUAAAUUUAAAUUUUAAAUUUUAAAUCUUAAUUCUUAAAUUUUAAAUUUAUGUUUUAAAAAAAAACAUAUUUAAAAUUAAAAUGAAAAGUAAAUGUUUUUUUCCUUCUACCUAUUUUUCUCAACCAUUCCCUAUUCCUUGUUUUCCUUGGUCACUACGCUCCCACUUUCUCCCAAUCUCUCACGUUCUCCCACUCUUCCAUCUUCUUCCCCCUUCUCUGUUGUACUCUACUAUCUAAAACUACUUCAAUUCUAUCUGAAAAAUGAGACAUUGCCCUAUAAAAAGAGAAUGAGAAGAUUCAAUUGGGAGAGGAUUUUUUGCUGGGAGGAUUAUUCGAUAGAGAAGAGGGACACGUAAAAGAAUUUUUUUUUGGAAAGAGGUGAAGAGGAUCAACACAUAACUUUUUGCAUUUAAGGCAGAUCUGUAAGUUCUUUUUUUCUUUUCAUGCUUGAUGAUACUGUCUUAAUCAUUUGGCACCCAUUUGACAUCUUUUAAUUAUUUGCAUCCUUUUAAUCAUUUGACACCCAUCUCACAUUCAUUCUGUCUAAAUUACUCACACCUAUUUUUGUUUCUGCGUUAAUAAUUAUACAUAUGAUUAAUUAAUUAGUAUCUUGUAUUUGACAAUACUCAUUUUUCAUUUGGCCAAUUUUAUUUGACAUCUAUUUGGCCAUUUGACUAUUUUGAUUGCUAAGUUGAAUUCUGGUUAAUUAAUUUGACACUCAUUUGACUAUUUGAUUGUUGCGCUCAUUAAUUAGUGUUUUGCAUCUGUUUAAUUAUUUGACAUCCAUUCGACUACUGCCUUAAUUAGUUAGUGAUUAAUUAUUUGGCAUCCAUUUGGGUGCUAUGUUAAUUAUUUCAUUUGGUUAAUUAAUUAAAUGAUGUGUUAACUAUUUGGUUGUUGUCUUAAUUAUUUAGCACUCAUUUGACAUACUGAUUUAAUUAUUUGCUAUAUUUUUAAUUAUCUAGGCACCCAUUUUACAUGGGUUAAUUGUUUGUAUCCAUUUGGUAUCUUGCGUUAAUAAUUAUCCAUUUGGCAUAUGUGUUAAUUAUGCAUUUGAAAAUAAUUAUCCAUUUGGCACCCUAUAUUUGACAGUUUUAAUUUUUUGGCAUUCUCCAUGAGCUAAUUAUGUGCAUAUAGUUAAUUAUGUAUUAAUUAAUUAAUCAGUAUGCAUCUUGCUAUAAUCAUUUGACAUUCAUUAGCAUAGCAUUCUACUGUUAAUUAUUAUUUGAUACCCAUUUGACAUCCUCUUUUAAUUAUUCAUUACUCUGGCAUGAUCUGAUUAAUUAUUCUGCAUCUUUCUGCAUUAAUUAAUUAUUUUGCUCUUUAUGCAUUAAUUAAUUAUUUUGUUCUUUCUGCAUUAAUUAAUUAUUUUGCAUCUUUAUGCAUUAAUCAAUUAUUUUGAUAUUUCUGCAUUAAUCAAUUAUUUCGCAUUUUGCAUUAAUUAAUUAAUUCGCAUCCUCCGGCAAUAAUUAAUUAUCUUGCACGUGUUGUAUUAAUUAAUUAUCUUGCAUCCUACGUUAAUUAAUCAUCUUGUACAUUUUGCAUAUUGCUUAUAUUAUCCAUGUAUUUAUUUUAUCUCAGCAUAUUAUCUUUCAAGUAUUUUUCAAAUUUCAUAAUGUUUUGUCAUUGUUAUUAUUCAUUUUUCAAUUUAAAUAUAAAAAUGUAAAUUGGAGAAAAAAUAUUGUUUUAUUUUAUGGAUUUUAUAAUUUAAAUUCCAUGAAUACAUGAAAUUUUUCUAUUUGAAAUUUAAUUAAUAGAAUGUUUUUAAAUAAACACAUUUCAUAUUUUAAAUGAGACUGAGUAGUGUUUUCCAUGAAUUUAUUAAUUCUUAGAUACAUGAAAUUUCUCAUUAAACAUCUAUGAUAGAGAUUAAAAUAUCAAAUUUUGGUAUCUUAAUAUUCUUAAGGUGAAUAAAAAAAAUAUUUUAAAACAAAAAUAAACUUCAAUUUUUUAAUGGCUCCUAUGCCACCCAUAAUUAUCAAUUCAUGCUUGAGUAUUAUUUUCUUUGAUGUGAAUUGAUACACUUGGGACAUUUAAAUAAAACCUAAAUAAAAAUUUUGCUUUGUGAACCUUUAUAAUUUAGUUUAAAAUAUAAAAUUGGAUAACCAUUUUAAGAGUGUUGUAGGGUGCUAACACAUUCCCUACACACAACCGACUCCCGAACUUAAAUCUCAUGAAUUUACGCAGACCAUUUUUUUUCUUUUUGGGUGACCAAUCACACCUUAAUAUGAUUGGUGGCGACUCCAAAAUUAUUUAUUUAUUAAAUAAACGGGGAGGUCGGCCGCUCCGCGUAGCGAUCACGUCGGGACAACAUCAUUAUAUUGAUAUUUGACUUAUAACUUAGAGAUCAUAAUACACCUAUCAUCAAUUUUCACCUAAAAAUACAACAAAAUUUUUUAAAAUGAAGGAAAGAUUAAUUUUAAAUAAAAAAGAGAAAAUAAAUAAUUAAAAAAAAGAAGAUGAUUUAAUAACAAUUAUUAUUGAAAAAACUCCAAAAGAAAAAGGAAAUAGAAGAAUUAGAAAAUGUAUUUUAAAAAUUAUUAUUGUGAUUAAAUCAAUGGUGUAUUUGGAAUGAUUUAGAAAAAAAAUGUUUUUCAAAAAAUCAUUUUUAUUAACAUUUCAAGGUUGGUGGAGAUCGCCGCAGUUGGUACUCGAAAGUUCAUCGACGAAGUUGUUGUAAAUGGUACCUACUGGUUAGCUGACAAUAGUCGGAGUGGUGUUCGAAGUUGACUGACAAAUUUUUUAGAUUUAAUAAAGAAAAGAGGUAAUCCAUGGAUUUGAGCAGUGUUUACUAUUCAAACCCAUGGAAAAGAGUGUAGGAAGCCUUGGUGAAAACGAUCAAUAGUUUCCAAUGAUUAAGACGAUUGGUCGUCAUGAUCAUCGAUCAAUCACGAUUCGUCAUCAAUGGUUGAUUGUAAAAUUUGCCAACAUUUAUUAUCAAGUGUCAUUAAGGAUCAUUGAUAAGAGGAUGAAGUGAAUAUUUUUCUAAAACAUAUGACAUUCAAUAGAAAAUAGGAAAAGAAAUAUAUUCCAAACCUAUAUAUUUCGCUUCAAAUAUCAAAUCUCCUCAUUCCAAACUGAUUGACCAAACAUCCCAAACAAUACUAUUCCUUCAAUAUAUGGUUAACUAUAUAUAAAAGAGAUAAUAGAGAAUUCGUCCAAUAAAUAGUUGUAUAUUAUUAAAUCUUAAAUUUAGUGAGCAAAGUUUUUUUUUUUUAAAAAAUUAGUUAAAUGAUAAAAUUUGUUAUUAUAAUGUAAAAAAUACAGAUUAUCUUUAGAAAUUAAGGUAGGAAAAGUGAAAAGAUUAAAAAUGAAGAAAUGUGAAAUUAGAAAAGGAAAUGAUUAGGGUAUUGGAUGUUUGAUUUAUUUAUUAGUAGAAUGGGACCUUAAAAUUGGUUUAGGUAUAAAAAGAUGAUAUAAAGUACUAAUUCCAAUCAAACACGCAAAAUCACUUUUGACUAAGUAAACUUUUCCAAUUUAUUUCCCCUUAAAAAAUAACAAUAUGUAAUCACAUCAAAUUAUGACAUAUGAACUCUCCCCUUUUUAUAUUGUAUUUUGAUAUCAUAAUAUCUUUGUUAGAUGUGCUUCAUGGCCCCCAUUAAUGUACUCACCUUGGAAUUUAUGUUACCCCCACACAAGUUCCAACAACCAUUCACUCAUUCAAACUUUGGUAAUCAUCUCCUUUUUUCCAUUUUCUACUUUUUCUUUUUUUUAUUUAUUAUUAUUCUACUUUCUUUUACCACCAUUCAAAUUUUUCUUAUAUACACAUUCAAUUAUGCACAAUGGAUGUUUAAUAAUAAAUCACCACAACAAACAACCAUAUUAGAAGAGUAUAAAUUGAAAACAUUUCACUUACAGUAAUAACUAUCCACACUACGAUUUGACAUAAUGAUCCAAAAAAUUCGAUAAACUCAACCUAAACCUAUGUUAUAAACUCAUUUGAGUUUGGUUAAAAAACAAGUAGAAAUUUUAUGUGUCCGAAUGGUAAGUAGAUUCAUCUAAGAUAACUCAAUCCAACUCAACCCAAACUUAUUUAUUAAUAUUACUUGUUUUUUACUAUAUAUAUUUAUUUUAAAUCUUAUUUAAUCAUGAUUUUUUAAAAUAAUUUAUUCCGUACCAAAUCCUAAAAAAUAUUUUUUUAGUACUCUAAGAUGCAAAGUUCCAUAAUAUAAAUUAGGAAUGAGAAAUAAUUAAAUGAAGGUUUGAUUUUGAAUCAACAUAUGAAAAAUAAUAAAAAAAAGAUUUUAGAUAUUAAAAUUUUACUUAUUUUUAGAAUAGAAUUUGAAAAUAAAAGAGUGGGUAACUAAAAUGAACCCAACUAUAGCUCAUUGAGAUAUGAGAAUUCUCCAAAAUUUCAUACCACAAAUCAACCUAAUGUUCAAAUUGAAUUUCUUUCUCAUUUUUCAUUUAAGAAUAAUAGAAAUAAAGGAAACCUAAUGGUUCACAUUGGGCCUGAUAUAGGCUUCUAUAUAUCGAGUGAAAAACGGCCCAACAAAAUAGUUGAUGGGUUGAAGAAGGAGAGUGGUAAAGGAAAAUCCAACUUUUUAAGAAAGCAAAAGUAACAUCUAACUACUUUUUAGUUGUUAUUACAAAAAUGUCAUACAUCAACACUUUUUAUUCUCUUCCCAAAGGAAAAAUAAUACAUUAUUUUAUUCCAACACUAAAAUAAAUGAUUUACCUAAAGUUUAUCUGAAAUAUUAAAAUUAAAUUAUGUUUUAAAAAAUUGGGAAAUUGUUAAAAAAAAAAAAAAAAGGACCAAUUUUGGAGGGGUUGAUAACUUUUAGGAUUGGGUUUAACGUAAAGCACAAACAUAAAAUAUAAAAAGAAAAAAAGGAAAAAGAAAACCAUUUGAUAUUCUAUUCUUGCUCUACCACCCAUGAACCCUUGUCAAUGGUGAGGCAGUGACAACGGUGAAUGUCUACAACUAUGAGGCAAUUUUCCAUAGUAAAAGUUUGAAAUAUGCGAGAUGUGUGCGAGAUAAUACAUAAAUACCUAAAAGACUUCCUAAACGUGCAUAAAAGUACUCUAAUGGUCUUAAGAGAGACAUAAAUUUGAAUUCAAAACUCAUAGUGAAAUUUUGGAAUGUUCUAGAAUGUGUGCUAGAUAAAACAUGAGUACCUAAAAGUGAUAAUAGCAUGAUUGUAGUCCAAAAGUGUUCCAAACAAGUAACAACACUUUUAACAAUAUGAUGUCCACAACAAAUUAUUGAAGCCAUUCACCAACUUUUAACAAACACAUGAUGACUAUUGCCUAAACUACUAAAGCCAUAAAUGAAAACUCUAUAAAUGCCAAACAACUACUUCUUUCAGAACUUUUAACAAACAUGUGAUGUCCACACUACUAGAAAAAUGAGUUUUAAUGACACUACUAAUCAAGACACUGUGUCGUUGAAAAUAAAAAAAAUGGUGGUGUGAAGUAAAUUGUGUCCUUGAAAAUAGAAAUACGGAUUAUUUUUAGACACAAUUUAAUUUGUUUUGACAUAAUUUUUGUGUCGUUAGUUAACGACAAUUUUUUUUGUCAUUAAAAAAAAAUUCAAAUGAAAAAAACCCUAAAUUUCAAAAAAAAAAUUAAUUUCUCCCCCUCACGCAAUUGAAACUAUAAAAACCUCAAAUUUUCUCUCAAUAAAAAACGAUCAGGGUGUGACAUUUCAUAUUCCCUAAGUCUAUAAUUUCAAAAUCAUCCCCCAUCUUCCCUUUUAACCGGCGAAUUUCAUCGGUGUCAUUGCCAUGUAGAAUAAUGUCAUCAACAUAAACUAUUUUUUUUAGACUUGGAGACUUUUAUGAAUAAAGUGUGAUAAGAAUGCCCCUGAGUGUACCCUUGAGACUUGUCAAAGGUGGUAAAUCUGUCAAACCAAGCUCUUGGUGAUUGUUUCAACCCAUACAAAGACUUUCAAAGUCUGCAAACAUGAUGGCUAAACUGGGCUUCGAAUCUCGAUGGAGGACUCAUAUAAACUUCUUCUUCUAAAUCUUCAUUCAAGAAUGCAUUCUUAGGAUGAAGUUGGUAUAGACACCAGUCUUUAUUCAUAACAAUAAACAACAAGACUCUCAUAGUGUUCAAAUUUGCAACAUGAGAGAAAGUUUCAUAGUACUCAACCCCAUAAGUUUGAGUGAACCCUUUCACAACUAGCCUUAAAUUUUUCAAGAGUACCAUCAGCUCCAUACUUGAUAGUAAACACCCAUUUGCAUCCCACACUCUUGUGUCCCUUAGGUAGAGUGAAGAGCUCUUAAGUCUUGUUCUUUUCUAAGGAUCUCAUUUCCUCCAAUGAUUGCAGUUUUCCACUCUGGGCAUUCAAAGGGAACAUGGAUAUUUUUAGGUAUGGCAGUAGAGCCAAGACUGGCUGUAAAGGCUCUAAACCGACGAGAUAGGUUCUUAUAAGAAACGAAAUUAGCAAUAUUGUGCUUUGUGCAGGACUUGGUACCCUUCCUUAGUGCAAUAGAAAGAUAAAGAGACGGAUCAUACGUAGUGAUAUUUUCUAAACAAUCCUCCCUAGUGUUAUUCUCCAUCACUUUUUCAAUAACCUCAUUUUCACCAUUACUGCCUUCUCUAUUUGAAACGAUCCCAGUAUCAACAUUGUUUUGUUCACCUAUGUUCUUAGGAAUAGCUAUCUCAAACCUAUCACUUUCACUCAUUUUACUGUCAAUAUGUGAGUCAAUAGUAUCAGUUAUACCUUAAUCUCAUAGCGGUUCAAAUUUGCACCAAAGUCAGCUAAGUUGUAGGAGACCAACAUCCUUUCUAAGAUUCCUUCUAUAGUAGGUUUUUCAAAGAAAUUGGUUCAUAGGUAAGAUCGUGUUGUGAGAAUUUGGGUUAGGUAGGGAAGCAAAAAUAGGACUGGUAGACUUUAAAAAAAUCACCCAUGGAGCAGUGUUGGAAGUUACAUGGUUGUCUCCCAUGAGGUAAAAAAUGCCCCAGACGGGUAUAUAUAAGUGAGUCUACUGAACUUUCUCAAUCACCUGAUCUACAUGAGAAUCAGGUCAAUCCCAGUUUACUACUCUGGGUGCCAUUGCCUAAUCAGAUAUACCUCAGUCUUUCAGUCUUAUUAGUAUUGAUGAGAAAAAACCAUGGAUUCUGGAUUCUGUCACCAUAGACCAUUUGACUGGUUCCUUUGAAUUGUUUGUGUGCUAUUUUUCAUGUGCUAAUAACAAAAAAAUUAAGAUUACAAAUGACUCAUUGGCCUCCAUUGCUGGGAAAGGGAAGAUUUCUCCUUGUGCAUGGCUCUCCUUACAUCAUGUGUUGCAUGUGUCCAAAAUUUUUUAAAAUUUGUUAUCUAUAAGCAAGAUUACUCGUGAUCUAAACUGCAAAUCAAAAUUCUUACCUAAUUCUGUUUCUUUUCAUGUCUUGAGCUCGGGGAGGAUGAUUGAUUCUACUUCGCAUAGUAUGGGUUCGUUCGAUGAUUGACUCUACUUCACAUAGGAUGAUUGGCUAACGAACAGACCGACUUGCGAAGUAGAGAUCGACUCGGUGACGUGUGGGUUCGUUCAAUGGAGGAGGGACGCAACACUCAACCGACAGAGAGUUGUGUUGCUCUUCGUUGAAGUUGUGUGGUGGUGUUCAGUGUUCCACCGACGAUGUCGCAAUAGAGAAGGAUGCACGAAGGGAUGCAGAUGGGAAAUGAUGAAGUGAGAUGAUGAUGCUUCGACUUCAAAUGGCAAGGGGUUGACGAAACAGAUGGCGGAUGGCUGAUGUGCGACGAAGAGGUGACUGGAGAGGGCAACGACACUUAGGGUUUCUUCCAAGGAAGAAAAAGAUGAAAUAGUUUGAGUUCUUUGCAUGCAUCAUGAGAGGCUCUAAAUAGUAUAAUAAUAAUAAUAAUUAUUAUUAUUAUUAUUUCUUUUUUAUUUAGAAGAAUUUUCAAAAAUAGCACAUCAUACAAAACACUUACAACCUAUAGCAAAUUCUAUCACUGAUAGUAAUUGAUAUGUUAUAGUUAUAGAAGACUAUCAUCGAUAGAAUCUAAGAAUUUUCUAUUAUAGUUUGUCAAUAUUUUAAUUUAUUUUGUUAUUUUUAAAAAUGCCCCUGUAGUUAUUAUAACUUUCCACAGCUUAAUUAUUUAAUUAAUUAAUUAUAUACACACAUAUAAUAGUUACUCAAAUCCUUAACUCUCACCAAAAAUCUC